UGUUUCAACCUUCAGAACGUCUCCAAAAUUAAACAUCAAUUAUAUCGGAGAUAUGCUUUCUCAUUUAUCAAAAACCUAGGGCAUAUGCUUCUUGCUAAAAAGAGGAAAGAGAAAAGUAAAUAUUGUCUAUACAAAUCAUACCACUGAACAAAUUUGAAGAGAAUAAAAUUAAAGAUCACCUCCAACUUUUGACUGUCCAUCCAUAACAAGCUUCACAUCUUCAGACUUAACGGCAGCUAUAAGGUAAUCUACAAAGUCAGACCAAGAGCCUCCUAUACCAGUUCUGUCCCUCUGUGUAGAAUGAUAAGAAACUAGUGACUUCGAUUUUGAAACAUAAGAACCAAACUUCGCUUAGAUCCUCUAAAGAAUGGAACAGAAACAAAAAGAAUAAAAUAAAAAAGAUGUCAAAAGAAAAAUGAUUACAAAUUAAACCACCAAAAAGAUAGGCUAAACAAAGACAACCAUGCAAGAAUUAAUUAGUCAUAACUCAUAAGUAGCAUGUGAAAUGUAUGUUAUAUUCUCUUCUCUACCAAACAGCUUUUAUUCCAGUAAUCUAAAGAAUAUGUAAAAUGUGUCCUGUCCAUAGUUUCAUCAAUUAGUAAUAUCUGCUUCAAACAGUUUCAAAGGAAUCAAUUGAUACGCCCCAAGUCAUAUUGUAGGCGUUUAUGGAAAUUAUCAAAUACCAUUCAGUUCAAUAUGAAGUUAGGAGAAAGUUCAGUUAGGUUUCUUUUACUUUUAUCUCUCUCUAUCCCUCUUAAAGAAAGAAGUACAGUAUAAGUUUUCAUCCUAAUCGCAGUACAAGCAUCUGAUAAUUUGUUUGAUUAAGCAAUAUUUCAAGUCUAAUUGUUGGACUAGAGCUUAAAUCCUCUUCAUUUAUUUUUUUUAAAAAGUAAUUAAAUUUCUCCGAUUGGUCUUCCCUAAAUCAAUCCAGAUUAGCAAUUAGAGCAGAAAAUCUAGAAUUGAAAUGAGAUAGUUAAACUUUUGCAGGAGAAGGUGAGAAAAUUCAAAGUGGAGGAAAGUAAGUCGAAUAGGAGUGAGUAACAAGGGCAAACCAUAUCUUCAAGCUCCUGCGCAGACUUCAAAGCGUGCCAUGUAUUUGAAUGGAAAUCAGUGGCGCAUACACAGAGGGUAGAGGGAUCAGUUGACAAUCCGUGGACAUGAAAGAGGAAAGGCUUCAAAGGGGUUUUGUGAGGGGCUGACCACUCUGCAUUUAGUCGCCCAAAAACUGGUUCCAAUUCAUCAAACCCCAUUUCCAAAUUUCUCUCGAAGAAAAGGGUUUUAGUAAUUUUUAUCACCGAUACACAAAGCAAACUUUGCCUAGAGAAAGUAAGCAAAAUUUUUGUUGUUUUCUUCAAAAACACAAGUCUAUUAGGUUGUUAUAUACUGACUCGCUGAUGUUCAAACUGGGUCAUUUGCUGUUUUCAUCCUAUUUCGUGCUCAAAAUAAAUAAAUAAAAGGCUUAAUCAUCUACCGCCCCGUCCGCAUAAUUCACUUAGACACUUCAACUAAGAUUUUUAUCUAUUGAAUACCUUUAUCCUCCCAAUUUGAACCAUCUGAACAUUUUUUGCUUACCUGGCACAUUGUUUGUGUUUCACCCCAAAGAGGCGCGGGAGAGGCCUUUAGGUAGGCUUUUUUUAAGAAAAAAUUGUUCUUUUUCUUCCUCCCUCUUUACCCAUCACUUCCUCCACCACACUAGUCAUUGCCACCAUUAUACAUCCAUCUUUUUCCUUAUUUUUUCUCCGGAUACUUCACUUCUAUCUCUAUCAUUGUUUUUUGUUUCUCCAUUGCCUUCUACCUCCAUCAUUUUUUUUUGUUUUUCUAUUACCAUCGUACUAGGAGAGGAUUGGUGGUACCUUCACUGCCGCCAUGGCAGCCACCAUCAUUAGAGAGCUUGAAAUUUGAAAUUUUUUUCUUUGUUGUUAAUGUAGUGUUUUGGUGUUAAACUGAUGGAGAUUUGUGUGAAUUUUGUUAAAGGACUUUUCUAUUUAUUUUUUAUUUUGCUCACAUUUUUGUAGGGUGUUCUUCAAUCGAAAAAUAUAAUCACCUCUGGAACUCAAAAAGAAAUCCACUAUUCAUCGAAAACUGAUUAAUUUUUCGACGAAGUUCAUCUUUUCGUCAAAAAUGAAACGAGGAAGACAAGUUAAAUUUUAUUUUAUUUUUUACCUAUGGCCAACUCUUCCGUAACUCAUCAAAAAUAGCAAUAAAUCUUAAUCCUUUUGCUUGAACUCUAUGAUGCAGAUGAACUAAGAAGAUUAAAAAAAUAAUAGAAUAUUUACAGAGAGGUUUGCCAUGGGGGCUGGGGCACUAUAGAAGGAGAGGAGUUUUGAACUCCAUGGAAUAGAAGGGUAGGUAAGCUAUAGGAUUUAUAUGAUUUCUUUUUUAAUUUUAACAUAAAAAUAAUUUUUUUUUUUACUUUAUAAUAUAUUUUAUAUUAAUUUUUUUGGACUCUAAAAUACCAAAUGUCAGUAUUUAAUUCGUCAAAUUGCCAUGUCAUCGCGAGUGUAUUUCACACACAUUAUACUUUUAGCUUAUUGUCAAAAAAAUGUUUAAAUGGUUCAAAUUUGGGAGGGUAAAGGUGUUCAAUUGGUACAAGUCUUAGUUGAAGUGUCUAAAUGAAUUAUGCGGACAACUUUGAGGGGCUAUAGAUGACUUAAGCCUAAAUAAAAAUUGCUCCCUUGGAUAUCUCAUAUAUUACUCCCUUUGAUGUAUAUUUCUCGCUGUUUUGUUGCCUUCUUAAUAAAUUGUAUUGAUUAUUUUUUAUUUGUUAUGUAUAUGAUCAUUUGAACAAAAAAUUUUUAUUCUUUUAAUGGUUUCUUUUUUUCCUUCUCAUUAGGCUCUUCUAAAUAUGUUUGGUGUGAGUUAUGACUAUUUUCGACAAGCUUAUUUUAAAGAAUAUAAAAUAAAACUUGAUCUAAAUGAAAGUAAUAUCUUAAGAUACAAAAAGUAUGUCUAUUACUCCAUAUUGUCCUUCAUGUUUCAGGUUAUUGCUAAGCGUUUCAGUUAUCUAGGUUAGACUCAUUUUUAAUUUUUUAAUAUUCUAGAAUUUUUUUUUACGUGAGUCUAGAAUCCAAAAUUUUAAUCUAUCCGUACAUUCAUAAUGCAACAAUUAUACAUACAAGGCUUUCAGAGAAGUAGUUUAAUGAAAAAUAAAUUUUUAAAAGGGUCAAAAAUAUUAUUUUGCUGUUUUUUCAAAUUUAUUUUUCUCCUUCUAAAUUUUGUUAGAGUAAUAGUUACAAAAAGUGGUGAACAUUUGAUCAUAGACAAGUAGAUUCUCUAAAAAAAGUUUAUUUAUGUUGUUUUUGUGUACAUUUUUUAAAGGUUUUAACUUAUUUAUAACUAAUAUUAAUUAUCAAAAACUCUCACAUAAUUUUUUUCGCAGAGUAAUACCAACUAUAAAAUUAUCAGAUUCAAUAUUUUUUUCUGUACAGAAAAAUAAAUAGAAAAAAUGAUGUUUAAUCGCUACAUAAAAACAUCACUCAGUUUUAACAAGACAAACAUAUCAUCAAACAUAGAUUAUAAUAAAUUAUGUAAACUAUAAAAAUAAUUAGAUAUCAAAAUAUUUUUAAUCAUUCAUUAUAUAUUUAUAAUUCUUAUCGAUUAUUAAAAGGUAAUUCAAAAGCUUAAAAAAGUAUUUGUGCGAGCCAAGCGAAGCACGGACAAAAUAACCUAAUAGUAAAAUAUAUCAUUACCCUAUAAAGAACAUGAUGUAACCAUUGGCUUAAUAACUGUAACAUUAAAUUGUUGUUGUCACUGGAUUAUUAAAAAAAUUGAUAUCGCAGGGUUAUUAAAACAUCGGUGUUUUACAAAAAAUAAAAAAUUGUAGCAUCAUUAAGCCAAUGAUAAUAUCAUACUUUAAUAUUUAUUGUUAGAUAGAACAAUGUUCAUCGUAAUACAUUUUAACUGUUAAAUACAUAAUAAUAUUAUAGCAUUUGUUUUACAAAAUUAAGUUUAUUCAUAUUUAUAUGACUUAAAAAUAAUUUAUUAAUAUUAAAAUAAAAAUAAUAACAUAGUGUUAUAUGGUAACUUGAAUUAUAAAUUAAUUGUACAAAUUAAAUUAGGAUUCUUAUUUGUCUUACCAAAAAUAAAAAAUACAUAAUUUCUUGUGUUUUCUUAGUUGGAUUAACGUUCUUCUUUUUCUACAAAAACCAUUGAAGCAACCAACUAUCCACCAUUGAAGCAAUUUGAAACAAUUAUCAUGGUAGCGUUUUCCUCGUAUAUCUUUUUUUACAUAACUUAUUAAGUCUUUUUCGCAACAUGAAUAAACGUUUCAAAGAAAUAUUCUUGUUUUAAUGUAUGAAGAAAUUUAUGUUUUGUAGUGAUGAAGAUAUUUAAAGAAUACGUUUAAGAACUUUUUAGCAAAUUGAAGAAGUUCAAUACAUUAGCCAUGAAAAAUAUUUAAAAUUUUAAAGCUAACUUACCCUAUCAGUCUAAUAUCUAAUAAUUGUGUAUUGCAGGAAACUUUUGAAAUCUCUAAUUUAGAAGAGCAAAAUGCAGAAGGAAUUGAAGAUUCCUUGGAGGAUAUAGAAAGCAACAUGAAUGCAGUUGUAUCUUUUGUUCCUCAACUAGGUGAGCAAGAAUUAAGAGAGCCUUACAUCGGUAUGGAAUUUCAAUCACUUGAUACUGGACAGAUACAUACAUAAUACAUAAAGAUAAGUGACCAUAGCCAAACGUUGGUUUGUGAUGAAUGAAGAAGCAACAAGCAAAUUAAAGCAAUGCGAAAUAUCGUAACAUAAUCAUAAUUUCAUUUUAUCCUAAGGAAUGGAAUGCUAGUUUUGAAGUGGAGGACAAAAUGUGAGGGUCUCUCUCAAACUCAAUCAUGUCAUUCUCCUUCAAACAAAUUGUUACUUGUAUUCCAUCACCAUCUUUUGUGUCCAUGAGAUUAGUUACUCCAUGAUGACCAAAACUAACUGAGCUCACCCAGAAUGGCUUUCCCCAACCAAAGUCAGCUUCAUACCAAGGGAAUCCGCACCAACUAGAGCACGAAUAGAAGUCCAUCUCGUCUCCAUGCAGAAUUUUUUCUAUACAUUUCGUCAGAUUGUUAAAUGCUAAAGAGGAAAUAUCAUCAACGCUUUCCGCCUUACCAAUGGCUUCACAUGUGUCCCGUAUUGUAUUUCUUACCAACUUAACGAAAUCAUUCAACUCAUCAUCCUUUCUUCUUGCCUCAUCGCCCUCCUUGUUAGCAGUUGCUGGUAUUACACAAUUCCCUACAACGUGUUCUAAAGACGGUGCAGUACAUGACAGUUUUCCCCUCAAAUUAACAACAAACACUAAAGAUGAGUCCCUUGAAUUUCCAUUAUUUUUGGCGGAAGAAAUGUGUGUAAGAACCUUCCAUAUUAGGGACAUCACGACCACCACUCUAGAAGGUUGCUUCAUCAUCAUGUCAUUGGCUUUGAUUGUAUUUCUGAGGUUUUCUAUUGCCAAAGCAUCAAAGAGAAACCUCUUUGUAACAUUCUUAUAAUUAGGGGCAGUAGUAGUGUUGAAAUCAGGUAAUGGAAACGGUAGCGCUCUUGCUGGAAAUAGCCAUGGCAAUUGACCAAAACCGGGAUUAUCUAGUGGCAUCGUCCCUGUAAGGGUGGUGUGCGCCCAUUCAUUUACAAAUUUUACUAAAGUGAAAGCAUCAGAUACCAUAUGUAAAAUUUGUAUCCCUAUGGUUACACCUCCGUUAUUGAAUACAUUCACUUGAACACCAAAUAAUGGACUUGAUGGUAGACGAUGCAUUACAGGAAGAAGAUCAAUCAAAGACGACUCAAUAUCAUUAUGGGCUUGACCACGGAGAUAUUGGGCAAGAUCGUCUGCAUUGACUUUGGUUCGAACAUAUUCAAUACCUUCAUCAUUGCAGUCGAUGGAAAAUGGAUCAAUGCCUUUUCUAAAUCUUCCAGCAAAAGGGUAAAACUUGGUUAGCGUCUCCGACAAUGAUUUUUCAAGCUUAUCAUCAUGAUCAUAUGAUGAAGUGCUGUUCGGCAAGUAGUUGAAGACAAUUGGUACAUAUGCACCAAUAUCCAUCUGAUCGAACAAGGAAAGCUUCAAUCUCCGAAGAUUAUCCGGGGUAGGAGCUGAGGGUUUCACCAUUUUCCUUGAUUGAAUUUCAAUAUAACAAUUCAUCUUUUUUUUUGGAUGAAUAAAGUGUUGUUUCUGAAUAAAUCUAUCAAUGUUCAUUCCUAUUAUAUAUAUAGUUUGGCAUGGCGUCAAUCUUUAAUAUAUUGCAUUUAACAUUCAUAAAGUGCAUUGUUCAGAACAAACACUAGUGUAUAUACUACAGAAUUUAUUUGGGCGGUUAAUUACGCUAAAAGUUUUUACAAUUACAAAAUUUUCAGGGUAAAUAUUUUAAAUCAUAUCAGUCAAAUGUCGCUAUAUAUUACCUGUUGCAUUUUCUUGGCAAAAGGUUGUUCUUGAUUUUGGCACCAAACAUGGGAAAUACUUUAUAAACUAGAAACCUAAAAUUCCAAACAAUAUUUUCAAUAGAGUUUAUAAAUUUAUUUCUCCUCAUAACCAAAACUAUUCUGAGAGAAAAUUUACUCACUAACUAAAAAUCGAAAAUUAAGUUUCACUCAUCUAUCAAAUAUUUAAAAAUAAAUUGAGAAUGUGAAAGUAGCAUGUCGAACUAGAAUGUCCUUGAUUGGGAAAGUGAAAACUCAUUUGGACUCAUUUUGUCUUGGGAUAAAGCCAUUCCUACAAUAAUUAGCAUUAUUGUGUGAAACUCUUGUAACUUUGCAUGCCGGAAUUCCAAAAUUACAUCAAAUUUUGCCUUCAACCAAGCCUUUUCCUUUGGAGAUAAAAGAAAGUUACUCUGAAAGUAAGUCUUUUCUUAUUAUACAAUAUCUUCGCUAAAUAAUAAAUUGGGUAAUAAUCAAUCCAAUUAUUUUGAAGAAUUUUUAAGUGUUUAUUAAAAAUAAUAUCUUAAUUAAAAAAUAUAUAUAUUUAUAUUUGACGAAUGUAACCAGAAUUAAUUUAUAUUUUAUUCAUUUUUAUUCGAACGACAAAACCAUUUUAAAAUGGAUUAAUCAAACUUAUAACCAUAUAAUAUAAUAUAUAUAUAGGUUUAGUCUAUUUUUCCACCCCUACAAGUGACAAUUAAUUUUAGGGCCUCAUACGCAACAUUCUUCUACGUGAAUCGGCUGAAAAAGUUGAGAAGGAUUUAAAUGUCAUAACUUAUUAAUAAUUUUUCAGAGCUAUAAAACUUUUUGGAGUAGGAUUUGCUGGUUUCUAGAAUUUACUUCAAAUAUAGUGAAUUUUUCAAUGGUGGAAUUAAUUCCUUUAAGUAGUCAUCCAAAAUUUAAGAGUUGUCUAUAAUUAAUUUUUAUUGUUUAGAAAAUAAUAUCACCCAUACAAAUACUAUAGGUAAAACAGGUUAAAUAAAUAUAUUUUUUAAAACAAGAGUAGAACUUUAACAAUCAAGUUGGAAAAAUAAUAAAAUUCUGUAUAAUUUAAUUUGUAAUUAAUAAUAUAUAACUAUAAUGCAUGGAGAUAUUUAUGGGAAAAACUUAUAUGCGUUGUAUGUUUACACUAAGUCAAUGCAAAAUACAUUAUUAAGUGAUUUAAUGAAGUAAAAUGAAUUAUAAAUUAAAUAUAUGGUAUGUAUGUAUUGAUUUGGUGUAAACACCCGAUGCAGUUAAGUUUUACCCUUAUUUAUGUGUUAUCUUUAAAUUAUAUUAAAAGAAUAAUGGUGAGAUAAUGACAACACUAGAGCUGUCAAUAUGAGCUAGUCAACCCAUCCGGGCUAACCCAUACAUGCUUUGACAUUUUAUGGGUCAGGUCGAGCUAGCCUAUUUUUUACGUGGGUAGAAAAUGGUUGACCCAACCCACAAGUAUGUGUGCAACAGGCUUGCUGGGUCAGCCAUUUUUUAAAAAAAUUAUAAUUUUUUUUAUAAUUAUUAAAUUAAAUUAUAAAUAUAUAACUUACAUAAAUAUUAUAGUGUAAAACCUAAAUUACCUUCCCUAUUAUUUUUUAUAAUUACAUAAAUCUCAUAUUUUCUAGGCAUUUCAGAUACAUAAUUAAGGAUCCGGAUACAUUAUUGUUGAUAUAUUAUGUAUCAAUCUGUAGCACUUAUUAAGGGAAAAAACUGUAAAAUCAAUUUAAAAUCUCAUAGUAUCCAUUUGUUCCACUAAUUAAGGGGAAAAACUGAAAAUUAAAUUAGGAUUCCACAAAUUACGUUAUUCCAUUCAAAAUUAUUAUCAAGAAUUCAAAAUCCUAUAGUGUAACAAUCCAAAAAAAUCACAAAAUUAAAUUUCUUCUUGUUCAUCGUUCUCUCUGUUUCAUAAAAAAAAUUGUCAAAAUUUUGAAAAGCGGGAUGAGUUAUAAAGGAUUGUAUGGAAUCGUUGUUGGACAAACGAUUUCUUUUGUAAAUUUUCAAGUUCAUCGAAUAUCUUUUCGAUUUUGAUUCAAGAUUAUUAAAAAUUUUGAGAUUCUAAAUUUUUCUCCAGUCAUUCAUUGAAGAUCCUUUCCAUUUUGAUUCAAAAUUGACGAAAAUUUUGAAUUUCAAAAUUAUUCUCCUAGUUCAUUGAAGAUUCUUUCAAUUUUGAUUAAAAAUUAUCAAAUUUUUUGAGAAGAUCCUGUCAAUUUAAAUUGAUAAGUGUUGUAUUUCUACUUGGUACACUAAAUAAGAAAGUGUUGCCCACAAAAUUUUAGGUUUGAGAUCUAUACAUUAUUAUUUGGCAAUUGUUAUGUUACAAAUACAUUGAGUGUAAAUUCAAAUUUACGUACAUAACUAAAAAAUUAGUGUAUGAUAUAUUAUAUUUAUGUAUGUUCUUUUGUUUGAGAUCAUGAAGAUCCUUUCGAUUGAAUUGAUAUAUAUUAUAUUUUUACUAGAUAUAUUAAAUAAGUAAGUGUUGCCCAUAAGAUUUUAAGUUUGAGAUCGAUAGAUUAUUGUUUGGUAAUUGUUAUGUAUAAGAUACAUCUAGUAUAAAUUUAAAUUUACGAAUCAUAACAAAAAAAAUAGUGUUUGAUACAUUAUUAUUUAUGUAUGUUAUUUUAUUUGAGAAAUACGACACUUUAAAUUUUUUCAAAAGUACAUUACAGUAAUUGUUUGAGAUCGAUAUAUUAUUGUUUGGUAAUUGUUACGGAUCAGAUACAUUUAGUAUAAAUUUGAAUUUACGUAUCAUAACUAAAUAAGCGUUGAUACAUUAAUCGUUAAGUAAGAUACAUUACAUUUUAUACAUGAUACAUUAAUCUGAGAUACAUUAAUUUGAUGCGCUGAUACAUUAAUUUAAUGCGCAAAAAUGAGGGAUUUUGAAAAUUUGUAAAACAAUAUAUUUAAAACUCGAGCAUAUGUCCUUUCUCGAUUUCUUCGCUCACAGACGCAUCACGAAUAUAAUUUGAUAUUGUGUACGAAAACAUAUUCUUCUAAAUUUGAAUAACCGUAGAAGAUACAUAGCAACACUAGAUACAUGAUAAAAUGAUACAUUUAGUAGAGACUACUUCUUUUCAUUUCAUAAUAUAGUUUCACCAGCAAAAGAGGAUCUCCUAAAACUAAUUUUUUUGCAGGAAACAAUAGAAUACAUCAUAUCUUUUACCUUUUCCUUAUGCAUAUUGUGAAGGUGAAAAUGGAGGAGAAUCACGGUAAUUCUUUGGAAAAAAUUGUAAAGCAAAAACUUGAGUUGUUUUGAAAAAAAUUGUGGAGAGAUAUUACUGAAAAUAGAAAGAAUAUUAAAAAAUGAAAGAAGUAAAGAUUAAGGGAGUGAAAAUAGGAAGAGAUAGAGUGAGUAAAAAUGAGAAGAGGAUGAGUGAGUGAAAUAAGGAGUAAAAAUAGAAAAAAAAUGUGUAUAACUUUAUGUAUCUGGAACAAUGGGUUUGAAAGGAAAAAGAGAAAAAGAGUGAUUUUAGAAAUAUUUUUAAAUGAUAGGAAAUAAUAGAAAUUAUGAAAAAUAAAAGUUGUGUAUAUAGGUAAUUUAUCCUUUUAUAUGUAUAUAUAUAUAUAUGCAGUGUUAUUUUUCAAUGAAGUGGAUCCAUGUGAACCCACUUGACCCUAUAUGGGCCCGCCCCUGCCUACCUAUAUUUCUCAAUUCUUACAAAUCAACGGACUUAUUUAGGCCGGAUUAAAAAACUUUUUUCUUAAAUGGUCUUCAAAAAUCUUAAUUCAAACCCUAUUAAAUCCCGAAUUAGGUCAGAUCGACCCAACGAGCCUAGCCCAUAUUGAUUGCUCUAGACAAUACCUACUUUGUCCCCUCUACUCACUAGGCCACCAAACCCCUAAUCAAUUAAAUCAAAGUUAACAUGUUUUUCUCAAUCCACUUGUAAUUAUCAUAGUUUUUUUAAGAGUAGAAUAAAAAUAUUUUUUUUUUGCGAAUUCACUCACGUCAUUCUUAUGCAUGAAACGCCAGACUGAUUACUUCAAAUGUUGUGCCAAAGCUAGCUGCAUUGGGUUAAAUUUCCCCAAGCAAAGUAGUCGGAUAAAUGUGUAUGGCGUCUCCUUGAACAAAAUUUGUUAAUGAUUUCAUCUACGCUAAUGCUGAGAGGUGUGUUCCUUGCUCUACUUAUUCUAACAAACACAUGUAACUAUUAGGAACUAAAGGACUGGAUUAGGAACCACUCCCUACUUUCGUGCUUUCUAUUUGUUAAUCGUCUGUUAGACUAACAAGCUAAGACAAGAAAUAUUUUUAUUUAAUAGGAUCCCAAGCUCCAGGAGCUACAUACAUAAAAGAUAACAUUGGCUUGUGAUGAAUGAAGAAAACAAGCAAAGCAAUAGAAAACAAGAAAUAUUGCGACAUUUUAUCCAAAGGUUAGUUUGGAAGUGGAGGACAAAAUGUGAGGGUCUCUCUCAAAUUCAGUCAUGUCAUUUUCCUUCAUAGUAACAAUUAUUUCUAUUCCAUCACCAUCUUUUGUGUCCAUCAGAGUAGUUUGUUCAUAAAUACGGAAGGAAACAGGGGUCACCCAGAAUGGUUUUCCCCAACCAAAGUCAGUUUCAUACCAAGGUAAUUUGCACCAACUAGUGGUGCCAUAAAAGUCCAUCUUGUCUCUUUGUACAAAUUUUUCAAUAACUUUUAUCUGAUUGUUAAGAGUUAGAGAGUAAAUAUCAUCAACUUUUGACGCCUUAUCAAUGGCUGCAAAUGUCUCCCCUAUUCUAUUCCCUACCAACUUUACGAAACCAUUCAACUCAUCCUUUCUUGCCACAUCGCCCUCCAUAUUAGCAAUUUCUGGUAUUGAAAAAGUCCCUAGAACAUGUUCUGUAGACGGAAUACAUGACACUUUCCCCCUGAAACUAAUAACAAAUCCGAAACACGAGUCCCUUGAAUUUCCAUUUUUGGCGGAAGAUAUGCGUGCCAGAACCUUCCAUAAUAAGGACAUAACGACCACCAGUCUUGUAGGCUUCCUCAUCAUACUUGAAUCAUCUUUGAUUGUUUUUUUGAGGCUUUCUAUUGCCGAAGCAUCAAAGACAAACCUCUUUGUCACAUUCUUAUAGCUAGGGACAGUGGUAGUAGUACUACUAGUGUUGGGAUCAAAGGAUGGCAACUGUAGCAUUUUUGGUGGAAACAGGGAUGAUAAGUCACCAAACUUGUGGAGGUCAUUAUUAUCUUGAGGCAUCGACGACAACGUGUUAGUGUGCGCCCAUUCAUUUACAAAUGUAGCUAAAGUGAAAGCAUCAGCUAGGAAAUGUGAAAUUUGUAUCCCUAUGCUUACUCCUCCAUUAUUAAAUACGUUCACUUGGACACCAAAUAACGGACUUGAUGGCGAUGAUAGCUCAACAUCUUUUAUUGGAAGAAGAUCAAUCAAAGACGACUCAAUAUCAUCAUCGUCUUUACCCAGAAAUUGAGCAAGAUCGUCUGCAUUGACUUUGGUUCGAACAUAUUCAACACCUUCAUCAUUGCAGUCGAUGGAGAAUGGAUCAUCUUUUGCUAAUCUUCCAGCAAAAGGGUAAAACUUGGUUAGCGUCUCCGCCAAUGAUUUUUCAAGCUUAUCAUCAUCAUAUGAUGAACUGCUGCUCGGCAAGUAGUUGAAGACGAUUGAUACAUAUGCAGAACGAGCCAGCUGAUCAAACAAGGAAAUCUUCAGUCUCCGAAGAUUAUCUGGUGUAGGAGCUGAGGGUUUCAAUAUUUUCCUUGUCUGAAUUUCAAUAUCUAACUUCGCCAUUACCAUUUAGAUUUGGUUGAUGACAGAUACUAUAAUAACUUUAAUUCUCUCUUUCAACUUUGUACUAUAUAUAUAGAGAAUUCCCCAACUUUUUAAUCUUUAUUAGUUUAAUACUCAUCCAUCUGAUUAGUAUUUAUUAAGUACUACUCCAUCAUAACACAUGGAAAAUAAAAAAUUUAAGUAAACAAUUUAGGUCAUGUGUUGCACUUUCUUCAUCCUAUCAAAUAAGAUUGUGAAAAUCUCACACAAUAUUCUCUUUUGAUUAUGUAAAAUCACGUUCACACUAUCCCUCAUAAUCUGCAACAUAUCCGGCUUCAAAUUAAUUUAAUACUACUAAUUACUAUAAUUCUUUCUAUGUAAGUUAAAUAAUCUUCAAUUUAUCAUUUGUACAUAACAAACAACACAACAUACUCUUUCUAACUCUUAUCUUUCAUGAUUUUAUUCAAAAACUUUUUUCUAAUAAAUCAUUGGAUUAAAACGACGUGACCAGAAAAUAACACUUAUACUCCCAAAAAUAUGUUAAAUAUUUAACCUUAAAUGUCUCAUUACUUUCAUAUUCGACAUAUAUACGGGUGGAUUCGAUUGAGUAAUUUUUUCAUCAUACUAAUAUGCAAAAUAUCACAAUUUAUAGUACUUUUUGUAUAGUUUUUAAAUGUUUUUUGUUUAAAAUAUCGAAUUAAUGUGUUCUAAUUUAACUUUAAAAAUAAAUCAAGUUUAUUUGUAGAUAUUGAAAUUUUAUGAGACUCUACAAGGUGCAUUCAAUUCGAGUUGAGACUGUACAAAUUGUGUUCAACUCAAAUUAAAAAUUUUAAAAAUUAUUCAAUCCUAAACUCUAGUUCAUGCCUAUAUAAAGUAGUAUAAAAUUAUCCUAAAAAAUAUUUCAAAGUACUCCAUAAACUCUGGAAUAUUUUUUAAAGAUCAAGAUCUCAAAGAUAAUUCCAAUUCAUAUGCCUGGCAGGCCAUUAGUCAACUCUACAGACUGCCCACAUGUUUAUGCAACUUUUCAAGCCUUAAGUUUAUUUAUUUAAUAAACAUGGCACGGAAAUUGGAUUAAACAAUUAAUUUAGGGCUUCAAUUAUCAUGUGUUACGUUGUGUUAACUCUAUCUGACACCAAGGACAUAUGAUCGGGUUGAUUUAGAUUUUUUAAAUAUUAAAUUAAAUUAUUUGUAUAGAUUUUUAUAUUUAUGAGUCAAAUCAAACAAAUAAAGUUCAGAGUUUUGAAUUUUUCAAUCUCUGAUUGGUUUGAGUUUUUCAAAUACCAAAUCAAAUUAUUGUAUUGAAUUUUUAAAUUUACAAAUCAAAACCAAACUAAUAAACUUUAAAUUUUUCCAGAUUUUUAGAUUUUUUAUGGGUAAACCUUACAUACAAACAUAUGAUUAACUUGUGGUUUAAAUAUUUCUUUUGUUCCAACUUACAUACAAUUAUCUAAUGUUUCUUAAAAAAAUAACACAAAAAUAUUAAAUGAGUAUUGAUGACACAAAAAUAUUCAGUAAAAAAUGAUAAUAAAAUUAUUAUAUAAAAUAAAUAUUGUAAAGUCUUAAUAAAAAUAAUCAAAAUUUAAAAGUACUAAAUUAUGCUAAAAUAAGUUUAAUAAGUAUUAGUUACAUUAUUAAAUAUUUAAGAAAAAUUAAUUAUUUUUAAAUCAAGAUGGAACCUGGUGAGGUAAAACAGAAAAGGGGUGGCUAUGCCUUACCCUCGAUAUACAUCACAGAUUGCAAAGCAUCUGUCCAAAACUUGAAUCCAACAGUAAUUAUUUAAUAAUGGUGUGUUAAAUAAAAAUAUGAAAUAUAUAAAAGAAGGUACUAGUUUAAUUUUUGUUUUUUGUCACUUUUAUCCUUUUUCUUUCCAAUGAUGUCUUCUUUCCCGAUUAGAUUGUCCAAAACUUGAAUCCAACAGUAAAUUGAAUCAAAGAAAAUAGUAUUGGAUUAUCAAAUUAACAGGUUUAUAAUGACAUAAUAAAAUAAAAAAAAAGGAAAAAUCUUUUUGACAUUUUAUUUUUUGAAAUAUUUUUUUUUCUUUAAUAUUUUUUAACUAUAAAAAGAAAAAAACACUAGUUUAUUUUAAAACGAAAAAAAUAUGAUUGUUUUUUUAAUUUUUUAGUCAUUUAACACUUUUUAAAAAAAAUUACAAUUGACUUAUCUAUUUGAUAUUGAUUUUUAGUAUUGAAUUAUUCGAUAAGCCGAUAACCUAUUAAGACGAUAAUAAUAUUAGAUUAUUCGAUAAGCCGACAAUGAGUGCUACAUACCUCACACGACAUAAUACUUCUACUUCAUCUCAAAAGUUCUGUAUUGUGUUUUGAUUGUAAGUUGUAGUAUAUUAUUGUAGUUUACUUACUAUAUCUACUCUUAUUGAUGCAAUUUCUCAUUAUAUUUUUUAUUUUGCUAUGUCAAAAUAUUUAUAUUAAAUUCGCUUAUCUCACUAUAUCUUAUCAGAUUGUUAAAGAAGUGAAUUAUUAUAUAUUUAUUUUAUGAAAAAUAAUUAUUGGAUAAAUCAAAAAACUGAACCAUUACAUUAAAAAAAUAUUAUCAGUUUACUGUAUUUAAAAAUCAAUAAUAUAUAAAUUGAAUCACAGCACCGAUGCACGCCCCCCUUCCCACUACCUCAAAAACCCAAAAUUUAAUUUCUCUUAUUAAUGCAAGUAUGUGUUCUUUCCCAAUACUUUAAAUUUAAAAAAUAAAGUGUCCUUUCCCAAUAUCUCAUAAAACCGAAAAUUUAAUUUAUGGCCUAAGUCAUAUUUCACUUAAACACUUCAACUAAGAAAUGUACUUAUUAAAUAUUUACACCUUCAAAAAUUUAUAUCUAUUUGACACAAAUUGACAAUCAAUUAAAAAAUAAAAAUGCGUGUAUCUCAAACGCGAAUUCACAUUAAUUACCAAUAAUAAGAUGACACGUGGCAUUACAUUUAAUUUUUAUUAAAACCUCUAUAUAAUUAAUUCAUAAAGUAUUUUAAAAAAUUAAAAAAAAAUAAUCUAUUUUUUUAUUAAAGCCUCCACCCUUCCCACUUUCCUCCUCCUUCAAAAAUAUCCAUUUUGGAGUUGGUGUCGCUCCAUCUCUUUCUUCUCUUUCAUUGGUAUCAAUACAUACAAUGACACACCAUUGUUAUCUAUUCAAGCUAAAUAUGUAUUAUCUUUCAUUUCGAUAGCAUUAAAAAUUUUCACUCAUUGUCUCCAUCUUUUAUACAUUAGAAAUAAUUUAUUAGAAUUGAAAAAAAUUAACAGACUUUUGCCCAAAAAUAUCUAUUCAUAUUUUUUUAUCAUUGUAAAUGAAACUUUUUCGAGAUAUUUGAGAUGAAAAUCGAAUAAGAAAAAAGAGGAAAAUAGGAAAGAACAAUGAGGGUGAGAGAAAGAGAGGUGGAGGAAGUGUGGUGCGCGUGCCCGUGUAAAAAAAAAGAAGAUAAAAAUGGUGAAAGAAUAAUAUGAUAGAAAGAGGGAAGAAGACAACCGUCCUUCUUCUUUUUUGUUAAUUAAUUUUUUUAAAAUUAACUUAGGGGUAUAGUAAGAGCGCAUAUAUAUAUAUAUAUAUAUAUAUAUACACACACACACACACACAAAUAUCUCGAGUAUAAAAAUAAUUUAAUUUAUUUUGCUACAUUUAUUUUUUAUUUAUUUUUUAUUUUAUGAUAAAGAAUUUUUAAAAUUUAUUGAUACAAAAUAAAGUUCAAUAAAUUUUCUCUAUAAAUCAUUAUAGUUGUGUGACCUUUUGAGAUAUUAACUCUAAUUUAUUAAGAUGACAAUUAUUUAGUCUCAAAUAAUUUAAGUGAGGAAACAGUAAAUAUGACAAUAAAAUUUUUCUUUUCCUAUUUAGUUAAAAAUGUUAUAAAAAAAUAAUAUUAUCCGUUAAUUAUCUACCUUGACUCCAUUACAUGAAAUAGAAAAUUUCAUAAUAACUCUAGGGUAUAAUUGGAAAGAAUAUUUUUUGUAAACUUGUAAACCACACACAAAAUUAGUUAAGAAACAAUGAAUCAAACACUUGAUAAAAAUAAUCUCUGUAUUACUAAUCUCUGCAUUACCAAUCCAUGUAUUAAUAAACCCUGCAUUACUAAUCCCUUCAUUAUUGAUCUUUGUAUUAAAUGAUCCUUUAAUUAAUUACUUUGAAAACGGUAGAACUUUUUGAAAAUCUUAAAAUUUUAAUUCAUUCACUUCAUAAUUAAUAGAGGUAAAAUGGUAAUCUCACUAUGUCAAUAAUUAUUUUCAUAAUAAGUGUAUCAGUAGACAAAUAAUUAAGGACAGAGAAAAUAAUAAAUAUAAUGCCUUAAAAAAAUAUAAUAGAAAAAUGACUAUAAUUAAUAAAAAAUAAUUAUAAACUAAGUAUAAAAUUUUUCUAUUAAUUAUAUAAAAUAGAUAAAUAUUAUUAGAUAUCCUAAUAUUGAGGGCAAAUAAUAUUAAACUAAGAAAAUAUUCCUUAUUAGCAUAUUUUGUACUUUCUCUAUUUUAUAUUUAAGUAAAUUUGCGAAACGAUCGAGAGAAUAAAAGUUGACAACAUUGUACAAAUAGAACACCAUUUUUUAUUUUUAUCUUCUAAAUUAUUGUGCUAAUUACUCCCCAUUCAUUUAUAUAUGUCGGCUAUACUAAAAUAAGUUGUACAACAAUAUUUGUAAUAAUUUAUUUUUUUUUUCAUGAUGUUCUAACAAAAAUUGUAUUUUAAUUUUUUUAUAAUUAAUUAAAUCAAAAAUUAUUAAUUUUGAGAGUCAAUAAAAUUCGUCAUAACAUUUAAAUAUUUAAGUUAUUAGUCAUCGUGAUAUAUAUAUAUAUAUAUAUAUAUAUAUAUAUAUAUAUAAAAGACUAAAAAAAAGAUAACUCUUAUUAUAUGGAAUGGACAAUCUCUUUACAUGAAUUAUUUUUUUACAAAAUUUAAAAUAAUAGAAUUUUGUCUUUUUAGAAAAUAUGAACUUAUGGGUUAAAUUUUAUAUUUUAAAUAAUUGAAAAUUUUUAAUCAUGUUUUUUUAAAAUUUUGCAAUAUAAAAUCAUGAUAAUGGCUUAUCCAAAUGUUGAUCAUGAUAUGAAAGUAGGUUUUACCUCUUUUAUUCUGAAUUGUCUCAUAUAAGGCCUCUUUUUUUAUGAUAUUUGAGGCACUAAUAAAUAUAAAUAAAUAAAAAUAUGUACAUUUACUACUAGUACUAUUUUAUUGCUUCAUUUGUGUUCUUCCACUUUUUCAGUAAAAGGUUCAACCAUUUUCUCCAAGUCCUUCAAGUCUUGCUUCACAUCUUCAACCUGUGAACCCAUUAUAUUUGUCAUAUUAGAGAGACUAAACCAGCUGAAAAUAAUUAUAAUUAAUAAAAAAUAAGACAACGAUUUUUACGACAUAUGAUAUUAUAUUAGAUAUAGAUACAAAACAAUUUGGUUUGCAAACCUUGUGAAUGAAAUUACAAGUAAAUUGAGCAUCUUUAGCAACCACAGCAGAUGCAUUUUCAAUUGCUACAGCUGCUUCUUUGAGUAAACUAUUUUCAGGCAGCUUAACGGCAACCACUGCCAUUACAUUUUCCGUUUUAUUCGCCACCAUCGCUACUACCUCCGCUGCUUCUUCCACCUCUUCCGCCACCUUCUCUACCUUUCCUGAAUAAACAUCAAUGAAGAUUUUUUUAUCACUUCAGCCUAUUCUUGUAGCAUUUAUGUUAGACGUGUUGAAGUAUGUGAUCUAUUGUUAAAGAAUGACAUGGUAUCAGAGCAGAUCUUUGUGUGAACUCUUUUUAAGAGUUGGGCAAUUCUGCUCUCUUUGAGCUAGCUUUUAGGCUGUGAGUUAAACCUAAAAUCUAAUUUCACAUGGUAUCAGAGCAGAAUCCACCCGAUGUUGGUGUUAAAAAAUGACAAAAAUCUCACAUCGAUUGUUAAUGAGAUGGGUGGACUCCUUAUAAGGAUUGAAUAAUCCACAAUCCCUCUGAGCUAGUUUUUAGGGUGUGAGUUUAGACCUAACACCUAAUUUCACAUCUAACUCGUCUAAAAAGACUAUUCAAUAUUCAUUUAAAUUAGAAAAAAUCAUACCUUCAAUUCUUCGAAUGCUAUCCCAAUUUUCCUUCCAAAAUGGGAGGAAUAUUGAAAGUAUGGAUCCCAAAAGACAUUUUGCCCUGUAAUAGUACACUAGAUCAAAAUUCAUAUGAUCAAUCACAAUAAUUGGAAAGGGAAAAAAAGAUGACAAUAAUUAAUAAUUGCAUACCAAACAAAUAAAUUGGGCUUAGAAGGAGGUGGCUCAACCGGAGGAACCUUGCUUGCUUCAUUUUUUACCCUUACAGAUGCAAUCAAGAACCAAGGUUAUAUUUUCUGCUUAUCUCUAAACAAAAAAAUGAGUAGAGAAGAAUUAGUUACCGAUCCUUCUUAUUGGGAAUUCGAUACUCUCCUGAACUGAUAAACCGUAAUCCUGGACUUGCUGAACCACGACAAGUGAUCCUAGUUGUUGGAACUAUGCCAUGUAACUGAGAGGAUGUAGCAUCAAAGCGAACUCUAUAGUACUGGUGAAGCAACGUAACAAGACUCCGGAUUUUGUAUGAAGAUGAAGAAUUUGCAGACAUGGUUAACCAACUAAAAUUGAAGCGCGAGGAAUUAAAGAGUAGAAAUCAGAUACGUAAGUUGGAAUGAAUUGCUGUUAUUUGAACAGUUAAUAGCAUGCGAGAAAGAAGAUCCUAACACGCCAAGAAAUGAAAGAAAUUGCUUAUUUUACGUGACUUCAAGCUAAAAGUAACUUUAAGAAUUGGCUAACAAGUAACCUGUUCCUUGUAAGCUAAAACCAAUAUUGUAACUCCUCAUAUUGUUAUUGUGCCUAUCUUCAAUAAAAAUGUGACGAAGCUACAAGUACAUUCUUAUGCAAAAAUUCAAAUGUAUUGCUCCUAAAUCUUCUGAAAACAGUUAAAACUAAUCAGGACAAGUAAAAUCGUAUUACAAUACUCAGCAACAUGAACUAAAGAUACCAACCAUUUAUUGAAACUGCGUACAGUGAUGGUAAAUAAUUUAAUUAAAAAAUACAUCUAAGGUGACACUUAACUUGGAAAAAUGAAUUUUCAAUUUGUCAUGAGCCAGCUUACAUUGAGAUUUGAGCGGCAGCUUCUGUGAUUCAGUCCUAAUCAGCCGUCCAAUAUACUAAAAACUUCAAAAAAAAGUCCAACAAUAAGAAACACAUACACUAAAACAAAAUUAGGAGAAAAAGAAAGAAAAACAAAAGGCAUUCAUCGUAGCGUAUGAACUAGGCUGUAAGCUCUUGCACACAAAAUUUGAAACAAGGCAGCUAUAUGUACGUUAUUUCUCAUCCGUCCUUAAACAAUUAACUGCGGUCAUGUCCUUCCAUAUUGAUCGAAAGCUGAUCUCUGAAUCUCUUGUUAAUCCAACCAGCAAAACUUGUAGCAGCUAUUAUUGCAACCCACAGGUGUAUCAUUCUAUAGUUUGUCCGCUUCAAUGUUUUAAUACUUGCCCGCGUAUUUGUCUGCUUCCAGAAUUCGAACCCUCACCACCAUCAUCACCACCACCAACACCACCAAAUUUCACACCAAAAGUUACUCUUUCGCAUUCUCCAAAUAAACACACUGUUUCCAUCCUCUUGAUCCUUCUAAUUUCAGUCUUGGGCAUUGCUAUCUACAUAUUAUGUGCCUACGCCAUUCACAAAUUCCGCAACUCAAGAACUUCUUCACAACCGGAGCAACAAGUAGGAGGAGGAGGAGAAGAAGAGUUUAGUGAUAUUCAAACAGUGGGUCUUCAGCAAUCAGUAAUAAGCGCCAUCACAAUCCACAAGUAUAAAAAAGGUGAAGGGCUAAUUCAAGGAACAGAGUGCUCUGUUUGCUUGAGUGAGUUUCAAGAAGACGAAACUCUUAGGAUUUUGCCAAACUGUAACCAUGCUUUUCACAUACCUUGCAUUGACACUUGGCUCGAAUCACACAUCAAUUGUCCCAUGUGCCGUGCCGACAUUGUCAUCAAAAUUCCCAACACUGCAGCUUUCAUUGAGCAAAACGCGUGAUCAUCUAAAUUGUUGAGAAACAUACUUUUAUUUACUUUUAUAACAUGAACAUGCCUCUUAGCUUAUAUUCAGACAUAAUUCUUUUCCAUGUUUUUUUUUAUAAUGGAUAGCUAUGAGAUUCAAACUCAGGGUCUUUGCCACUUUAUAACAUACUAAUGAAAUGUGUGACUAUUUUAUCUAAAAACUAAGUUAAUAGACAAAGUACACUUUAUUUUCUUAGUCAUCUCUAUAUUGCAUAAUUAGCGCUGAGACUUGACCAGGAAAAUCGUGCAGAAAAUACCACGGACUUAAGGAUUGACAUUCGAAAAAAAGACGAUUCAGGAGAUCUAAGUACUUUGGGCAUCAGUGUAAGUUCAAUGGAAGAUGUGGUGAAUGCUCCUGAAGUCUGAAGGAGAGAAAUAAAGUUCAUGAUGGAAGAAGUACUUAAACAGCGGAAGCAAAAAAUCCAUAAACUUUGCAUGUGAAAUAGACAACAUACAUAUCAAAUUUUAUUCAAACAUAAAUCAAGGAAUACCUCUUGAAGUGUGUGAUAAUCUUAUGAACAUCUUUGAUCCGCAAUCUUCUGUUGUGUGAUCCCAGUAACAACAGGACUUAAGACUCGUGUGAGAAAGUCAGCUUCUCAGAUAACUGACAUUGGUUAAAGUGAAGCUUGUACACUCUGGAAUGAAAAAUAGUGCAAUAUUUCAUUGAAAAUACUGUGAUGCCAAGAGCUUUAAACUAUCAAUGCAUAUGAGUAGUUAAUUUCUUGGAACAAUGAAUGUCCAACUUGCCAUGAGCCAGCUUAGAUUGGGCAGAACAAGGAGGAAAAACAAUGGCAGCUUUUGUAAAUCUGUCUUACUCAGCCGUCUGAUAUACAGAAUUCACAAAAGUCCAAUAAGAAGAACCACAGAAUUGAAGAAGAAAAAAUAAAGGGCAUUCAUUGUCAUGUUAUAAUUUCGUUAGGAUCCAUGAUGUAAGAUGCUCCAUAUUCUCUUGGACACAAAAUUUGAAACAAGUCACAAGCCAGCAGCUAUAUGUAUCAUGUAUGUUUCUUCUCAUCUCUUGUUAAACAAUUAGCUGCAGCCAUGUCGUUUCAUAUUGAUCGAAAGCUGAUCUUUGAUAAUUCCACCGGCAAAACAUGUGGCUGCUAUUAUUGCAACCCAGAGGUGUAUCAUUCUAGAAUUUGUCCAGUGUCCUGUUUUUAUAUUUGCCAGAAUAUUUGUCUUUUUCCAGACAUUGAACUACCAAAAGAUUUCACAACUGAAGUUCCUCUUUCGCAGUCUCCACAAAAAGACACUGCCUCCAUCUUCUUGAUAAUUCUGUUUACAGGCUUAGGAAUUGCUGUCUACAUAUUUUGUUCCUUCGUCAUUCACAAAAACUCAAGAACUUCUUCACAGCCGGAGCAGGAAGUAGUAGUAGAGUAUAAUUAUGUAUAAUCCUACUAUGCAGAGUUUAAAGUAGAUAUGGAAGUUAUUUUCAAAAGAUUGUUAACUCAAAAACAUCAAACUCAAGUAAUAUUAAAUAUGAAUUAAUAUAAAUAUUAUAGUAAAAUAUUUUUGUAAAUCAUUAUAUGUGAGGGCACAUAAAAAAAAGAUAAUUAUACACUUUAUUUGACUAUAAAAAUCAAUCCUUUUAAAAAGAUUACUUAUUUCAAAAUUUUACUUUAGAAUUGGAUUGCAAAUUUAAAAAUGUAUUUUUUGACAUUAUUAUUCAAGUGAGUAAAUUUUACAAUGUAUAAAAUUCAAUAAUACCAUGGGAAAAUUUAACUCCAUAUAUUAUAUUAUACUAUAAUAUAAAGUUGCCUCUUUGAUUUUCUACCUAUAAGGUCUUAAUUAGAGCAGGUAAUAAAUGUCCAAUUUGCCAUAAACCUGUUGAGGUUUGGUGAGACAAGCAGGAAAAAAUGGCAACUUAGGUAAAUCAGUCCUCCAUUAUCAGCCGCCUAAUAUUACUAGCCUUCCUAAAAGUCAAAUAACAAGACAAAUGUCUUUCAUCCAUCUUACACUUUCGUUACAAACUAGGCUGCAAACAAAAAAAAAAUGCUCUGUUUUCUUCACGUAAACAACCAGUAGCAGCCAUGGUGUUCCAUGAUCGAAAGCUCAUCUUUGAAUCACUUGAUAAUUCUACUGGUAAAACUUGUAACAGUUAUUAUUGUAACCCAAAAGAGAAUCUUUCUCCAAUUUGUCCAAUUUCAUGUAUGUAUAUUUGUUACCCAAUUUGUAGUUUUCCCCUGUUUUCUGAAAUCGAACCACCAUUGCCACCAAACUUUUUCACCCCCAAAGUUCCUGUUUCUCAGUCUCCACAUAAACCCAUUAUUUCUAUGUCCUUGAUUAUUCUGUUUUCUGUCUUGGCUACUUCUUUCUUCCUUUUUUGUUGCUUCGUGGUUUACAGAAUUCGCAAAGCAAGAAUUUUGUCACGACCGCAGGAACCAGUUGAAGAAGAAGAAGAAGAGUUUGGUGAUAUCGUUGAUGAAGAUAUUCAUGGACCUAUGGUGGAUCACCCUAUAUGGUAUAUUAGAACAGUGGGUCUUCAACCAUCAAUCAUCAGUGCCAUCACGAUUUGCAAGUAUAAAACAGAGGAAGGAAUAAUUGAAGGAACAGAUUGCUCUGUUUGCUUGUGUGAGUUUCAAGAAGAUGAAACUCUUAGGAUUUUGCCAAACUGUAACCAUGCUUUUCACAUACCUUGUAUUGACACUUGGCUUAGAUCACAUACCAAUUGUCCCACGUGCCGUGCCGGCAUUGUCAUUGCCCCAGCUGCUGAUCCAUCUUUCCCUGAACAGGUAUUCUUAAAAGCGUAUGAUCAUUUCCUUUAAAAGUCGUAGAGAAAAUUUAAUUUUAUUCAAUUUGGUUUUGUAAGUGAAUGUGAUAGCGAGGUGUAGCUUACUCACCUUUGAGCCCAGUGUUUAAGUAUGUGAUUUAUCUUAUUUGAACGAAUGAAUACAAAUAAUUAUGUCCGUUUUGCAGAUUUCAGGGCGGAGACAUGAAGAAGAAGCUCAUUCGGGAAAUUCAGAGAAUGGCACAGAAUUAUCUCUUGACAUGGAAAACGAAGGCGAGUCAUUAGAACUACGUAGUAUGGAUAUGAGUGGAAAUUCCAAGGAAGAUGUGGGGAAUGGUACUAAUGAAGGAGUACUGUUAAGUGAAUUUAGUGCGUCAAGGAGAUCAACAUCAUUUGAAUCUUUAUCUACAGCUUCAACAUUAACUUGUACUUCAGUAUCACAGAGUUGUGAGAUGUCAGCACGAAUGAAAAAUCUUUGUUUGGACAGAGCAAUGCAAGAACAUCAAAUGAUAAGAAGAAGCCAGAGUGCUGUUCUUCUUCGGUGAAGCUUGGCUACAGCAAAGCGCCUAAUUCCAGCUCCUUUUCUUAGAUAAUCCAUCAGACAUAUGAAAUGUCUCAACAACUCUUAUAAAGAUGAGAGUUUUCCCUUUCCCUUACCCUUAUCCCACUCUCCUCCCAUUGAAAAUCAAAACUAAUACUUCAAAAAAAAAAUGAUAAGAAACAGAAUUGUAUCUAUGUAUGAGAUACUGAAUAUUAGUUGUAAUGAGUGGUGUAGUAUAAAAAGUUUGAUGAGAAAUGGAGAUCAGCAUUCAGCAAGAGAAAAAAGAAUUUCUCUUACAUUUGUCUAGCAAAUUUUGUGUUUUUCUUCUUACUAUGUUUUUUCUUCCAGAUUUACAAGUUUUGUGUUUCUUUUAUUUUGAAUGAACACUAACUCGUUCACAUUGCGUUUCUCCAUAGAUUCUCAAAUAUUUUUUGCCAGUCAGGUUUGGUUGAAGUUAUCUUGCAGCAAUCAUUUUUGUGAAAAAGAAAUUUUCGUUUGGUUAAGCAAACUUGUGAUUCUCUUCCUCCUCCUUAAUUUUCUUUAUACGCGCCGUAGAAAGUUAAUUUUUCAUUUGUGGUUGGUUUGAGUUUAUUUGGUUUUGAAAAUAUGGAGCUUGAUUUUAAACAAGAAAAACUAGGUUUAUUGAUUUUUUGAAUGGCUAAAUAAAUUUAACUAUUAAAAAUCAAAUAGAUUGACAUUAGAAUGUUAAAUAUCUAAUAUGGAGUUGAUUUGGAUUAUUGUUUUAAAAAAAAUGUGUAGACAAAAAUUUUCCAGAAUUAAUUAUCGCGAUACACCAUGAUUUUGUAGCUGAAUUAUCGCGAUCGGCUAAGAUUUGUGACAAUUUAAGUUUUACGUAUUAAUUUAAAAAUCAGGCUAAAAGGUCUGUCCAUCAAUAUAAAACCUUGAUAACUUUUCAUUAUUUUACUACCUACCUAUUAAUUUGGCCUGUCAAUAUUAAGUAGGUAUGAAGGAAAAUAAAUUACUCAAAAGUCAGUAUAUCUUCUAAUGAUCUCUUAUUGAUUUCUACAAUUUUCUAUUGAUUCUCUAGAAAUUUUGAUCAAGUCAUGUUUCUUUUUUCUUUUCUUUUGUUCUCUUAGUCAAGAACACAAUACUGGAGAGUUCGAAGUUAAAAGGAUAAAAAAAUUAUUAAAAAUUUUAAAAAGAUAUAUUAAUACCAAAACAGUAAAAUAACUCACGAAGUAGCAAUUUUGUUUGCCGGAAAAACCAAAUCGCCGUAAUAGUAGUGAUUUCUUAAAUUUACUUUUUUCUGAAGAAAAAAAAUUUGAACAAGUCGCUCCAAGAGUAGCGAUUUUCAAAAUUAAAAAAAAAUUUAAUCAUUUUUUUAAUAAGUAGCUGCAAAGCGUUAAUAUUUUUUUGCUUUAUUUAAAAAGAAAAUUAAAAUCAAAUCACAUUUUUUUAAAAUCAGCGAUUUGAUUUUAAUUUUUUUCUUUUUAAAUAAAGCAAAAAAAAACGUAAUUGUUGCCUUUGCAUCGACUUACUAAAAAAAAUGAUUAAAAAAAAUUAAUGUUUGAAAAUUGCUCCUCUUGGAGCGACUUGUUUAAAAAAAAAUUAAAAAAUUUAAGAAAUCGCUGCACUUGCAGUGAUUUUGCUUUUUUCGGCGGACAAAAUCGCUACUACUUGAGCGAUUUUGUCAUUUGAUUUUAAAAAAAUUGAUAUGCCCUUUUGAAAUUUUUGACAAUUUUUUUUACUCUUUUAACUCCAAACUCCAAUAUCGCAUGAACGGCAAAAAAAUAAUAAUAAUCCAACCGAGUCCUAAUUAUUAAAAGCAAAUAACAAAAGAAGAUCAUAAUACAAGUACCCCGUGAAAAUUAGGGAGUAGUACUGUAUGUUAAGAAUUGAAUCCUAAUCACAUAACUAGAAUCGAAUCAUAGUCGAAAGAUAGAUCUCUAUUUCAUAUCAACACCUUAAAGAUGUACAUGAUUUUACACUGCAUAUUCUCUAACUAACUUUAGAUGGAUCAUCUUUUAUAUAUAUAUAUAUAUGUAUAUGUAUUAAUUGACUUAUUUACGCGAAAGCGAUCUUCUUAAAUAUUCUUAACAGCCUAACUAACUUUCACGUGUAAUUAAUCAAGUUAAUGACUAACAGCAAUCUCCACUCAACUAUUUGCAAUUCUUUGUUAUAACCUCUAAUAGCCUCCUUAGCUUCAAGUUUGGUGAUACGAAAAUGUUUUUUAUUUCUAGCUUGAAUAUAAGAUGAAAAUGUUGAUGUCUACUCAGACUCUUAGUUUAGUUAGAAUAUCAGCAGGUUAUUCAGAUGAACAAUUGUUAGCCAUUUGAUAAGAGAACAAAUUUCUUUUAUUAGAUUUGAUACGUCAUAUUGUAAUUUAUUUUGUUAUUGGUUUACAUGAUUUGAACAAUUACGUUGCAUAGAAGUAAUAUCGCCAGGGCCAAUCCCAUUGUAUGGAUGCAACUUCUAUAAUAAAAAUAAAUAUAAUUUUCCUUUUCUACCAAAAAAUAAUAAUAAUCUUUAAAAUUUCUGGACACGCAGGAAGAAAUUUAAAUUGUCAAAAAAAAUAAAUUCAAACCUUAUUUAUGAAGAUUUGAAUGAAUCUAGAAUUAUCGAUUUUAGCAAAACUUAACUUCAAAUUAGAUAAGUCCAAAUCUAAACUUUGACUUUUCAAAUUAGUAAGACUUUCGUCUUAUAUCCCUAUUUAAUCAAAUAUUGUUUAGAAUUUCAUCAUCCCUAAUUGCUUGUUCCAUUUUUUUAAUAAUUUUUUAUUUUGAUAAAUUAAGAAAGAAUUAUUUUUUUAUCUAUUUACUAUCAAUUAAUUAUUUUUAAAAAAAUAUUUUUUUUUUAAAUUUUAAAUUUUUAUUUAAUAAGGGUAAAAUGAUAAAAUCACAAUAUCAAUAAUCAUUUAUUUAAUGAUUGUGUCAAUUCAUAUUCGAAGCAAACCAACAUCAUUAAUAAUAUUUGAGUUUGGUUCCAGGGAAUGAACAUCCAUGAAAAAGAAAUUAAGGAUUAUUUCAUGAAAAAAAACAACUUCAUAUUUCAUGUAAUUGUAUAAGAUAAAUUUGAGAAAAAUAGAGUCAUAUACAUCUUUAUUCCUAUCUUAUCAAAAUAAAAAGAUUAUUUUUAAUUAUCUCAAGUAAACCUAUAAAAAAAUCAAAUAUGUAAUAGUAGAAAAAAGUCGUGUAUAAACAAUAAUGAGAAUGAAACAAGUGUAAUCAUCUCAAAAGGGUAGUAAGACUUUGAAGGUCACUUUUGCUCACCUUAUUGUUUCUUGGAGGUCAGUCAACGCAGUUAAUUUGAUGCCUUAUUUAAAUUAAUUAUUUAGUCACUUACACUCAAAUUUCUAAAAAGAUUACCUAGUUUUGCGUUCUAGUUCCGCAGUCAAAGUCAUAUAAGUACUAUUCUUUCUUUUUAUUUGUAUUAUUUUCUUUUUUAAAAAAAAAAAAAAGAGAAGGAAUUUGAUAUUCUUGCAAAGUUCAAGUUUGCUAUAAGUGGGUAUAUAAAUGUGGAUGAGUAAGUAUAUACUUAUUAAAAAACGUUAAUGAUAUAUUUUAUAAUAUUUAAUAAAUAUACCGAAUUCUUUUUUCAAACUCAACAAGUCCCAUUAAAAGGCGAGACCUAUUCAAAUUCACAAUAUUGAAAAAACAAAAUAAGUUUAAAUUCAUAUUAUAUGAUCUUUGUAGGCACUUUUUUCUUUUAGCAUUUCCAAAUAGAAAAAAGGAAAUAUUGACUCUCACUAUAAUGGGAGAAAGUUAAUAUUGAUAAUGAUAUUGCAUGUGGAACUUUGAAUAUUUCCUAAUUAAGUGCAUGAGGAUGACUUAAUCAAAAAGUGGACGAUCAUUUCCCAGCGGACUACUCUAUUUCUAUAAUAAAUAUGUGUGUUUGGCAUACUUCUAAUCGAUACUUUGACCGAAAAAAAUAAUAAAUAAAAUAUUUUCUUAUUUCGUGAGUAAUUAUAAUAUGAUAAUGAAAUGAAUCUUGAUUUACGAGGUAAGGAUUUAUACUAAGUCAUAUAAAAGAAAUCAAAUUCCCAAUUCCCUUAACUGAUGUAGGAGAGUCCAACACUUCCAUAAUGAUAUAAUUUUUAUUUUUUGUAAUUCUAACUCAACUUAAAAAAACUAGCUUAAAAAUUAAAGAAAGUCUGAAAAGUAUAAAGAGACCAAUUCCUAUCCUUAGCCAAUGUGGGAGACUCAGCAUAUAACUACUAAUAAAUAGCUAUCACAAUCAAAAUCAAAAUUGGGAUAAUGCACAAAUACCCCUUCAACCUAUGUUUGAAAUUUUAGAGAUACACUUAUACUAUACUAAGAUUCUAUUACCCUUGAACUUAUUUUACAAGUAAUUUUCUACCUCUUUUCGACCUAUGUGGCACUAGCUUAAAAAAAAAAGUCAAUCAGCGUUGGACCCACAAGAUAAUGCCACGUAGGUCGAAAAAGGAUAAAAAAUUAUUAAUAAAUUAGUUCAGGGGAUAAUAGAACCUUAGUAUAGUAUAAGUGUGUCUUUGAGAUUUCAGACAUAGGUCAAGGAGGUACUUGUGCAUUAUCCCAUCAAAAUUAUCGAAGUCAAACAAGUUUUUAAAAAAAGUCAAGGUUCAAUUGACAAGAAUGAAAGUAAGGACACUCAAAUUUGCUCCAAAAGAAAAUGCAAAGUGUCAAGUUUUUGAUGGUGUUCUUUGCAGUUUAAUUAUAUUCAACUAUUGACUAAAGAAAUUUUGGAGUCCAUAAUAUUAAAGGAAGCUUCAACUCUUGAAAGUUGAAUAGAAUUUUUUAUUUUUUUCCCCCCUUCAUCGGCGUGUGUCUGACUUUGCACAAUUUAAUUUCGUGGAAAAUGUCGUAUCCACACCCUUUUUAAAACUACCACUAACUUUUGUUUAUUUCUCAUUUCCAAGUUAUACAAAUUCUCAUACAAAAUUAUUAAUUUACUGGCAAAAAGAAUUCAUAUUUUGCACCAAAGAUUUAGGCAUGGCUGAUGCAUUAACAGAAGACCAAAUUUCCGAGUUUCGUCAAGCCUUUUGGGUUAUCGACAAGGAUUGUGAUGGUAAGUCGAUUAAUUUCACAAAAUUAUUUUGUACUAACAAUAUAUUUUUAGUAAAGUUUGAAUAUUGUAAAUGAAGGAGUAAUAAGAAUAGAGGAACUUGCGUCAGUAAUUCAAUCUUUACAUGAAAACCCAACAAGGGAAGAGAUGCAAGAAAUGAUGAACGAAGUGGAUCCUGAUGGUGAUGGUACUAUUGAUUUUGAAGAUUUUUUGAAUAUCAUGGCUAAAAAGCUCAAGGUAUAUUUAACCAUCUCAACUAGACAAUCGAUCGAUGUAAUGAAGUUAAACUCAUGCACUUAUAUAUUGUGUACAGGACAAUGUAACGGAGGAGCUAAAAGAAGCAUUCAAAGUAUUUGAUCGCGAUCAAGAUGGAUUUAUUUCUGCUAAUGAGGUUUGUUUUAAUUAGGUACUUCCUCUGUUUAUUUUUAUUUAUUCGCUAUACUAAAAAUAAAUUGUGCGAAUGUAGUUAAGAAAUGUGAUGAUGAAUUUGGGGGAAAGAUUGACAGAGGAAGAAGCCCAACAGAUGAUUAGAGAGGCAGAUCUUGAUGGAGAUGGACUCGUAAGCUAUGAAGAAUUUGUUAAAAUCAUGAUUAUUUAGUCCCUUUUUUUAUUAAUUUACUUAGAGAUAAUUAAACAGCUCAAUUUAAUUUCUACCGUUUAAUGAGUAUUAAAUAUAUAAAUAAACCUCUUGAAAGAAAUAUUGGUCUUAAUUUAUGUACUUUAAUUUCCUUUUCGUCCUCUUUUUUAUUUCUUUUUUUAUAACUGUCAAAACAAAGACGUUUCACGUUUGAACCGAAAGCCAAAUACUACUAUUUGACAUAAUUAUUAAGGUAGAGGCGGAGUCAAGAUUAGAAAUCUUGAGGUUUUAAAUCAAAUUAUUUAAAAGUUCACAAGUUAAAAUGCGUUAAAAAAUUUAUUUUUUUAAUACAAAUAUAAAAUUUAUGAAAAAGUUAUGACGAAUUUUUGUCUAAAUUCAUGAAUUUGACGUAGAUCGAAUGAAUAAAUAGUGGCUGAUAAGCAAACGGUACUUCAUCAACGUGUUUAUUUGUUUACGCGGACAGCUUAGUUAAUUCAUAUGGGCCCUUAAUUUCUUUAUUUGACACUUCUCAAAUUGCCUUUUUAAUGUGUAAAUGAUUGUAACUCUUUCUUCGUGAUGUUCAGAUUAGAGAUUAUUAAUUUUAAUAGUAACAAAUCUGAAUUCAGUCACUCAAGCCAAGACCAGUAAUAUAUAUUUGCAGAUACUUGCCUUUCUUAAUAUUAAAAAUAAAUAUACUUUAAGUUUUGACAAAAUUUAAAUUCCCAUAAAAAAUCUAAUGUUAUAUUGAUCUAUGUACUUUAAUUUCCGUUUUGUCAUACUGGCGAAACAAGGACGUUUGAACGGGAAGGCAAAUAACAUCAUUUGACAUAAUUGCCAUAUGAAUAACGUGUUAUUUAUUUGUUUAUAUGAGCAACUUUAAGUGCCUGUUUGGUUAUGUAAUAUGAUAUCAUGAUAUGAAAUCAUAAUAUAAUAUUCGGAUACAGAAUUAUAAGAUGAAAUUUAAGUUUUGUUUGGACAUACGAUAUGAAUUUUUUAUGUUGUAUAUUUUUUUCAUAAACAUAAAAAUUCCAUUAGUUGUAAAAUUAUUAAAAUAGCCCAAUUGUUUAUUCAAUUUUGUCAAAUAAAAAUUAUAAAAUCACAUAAUAAAUUAUUACAAAAAUAUUUGUUCUCCAUUUAAGUAAUUGUUUCAUCCAGCUUUAAUUUAAUAAAAAAAUUGAACAUAAAUUGUAGUUUACUAGUUUUUAAUAUUAUUCUUUCACAUAGUACGAACAAUUUCCUCAAGUUGAACUUGUAUUUCUCGAUCAUGUGGCUGAAAAGGCGAACCAACAUUAUUACUUUGAGCCAUUUGUUGAUCAAUAUCAUUCGCAACUAUAUUUUCAUGUUUAUAAUCCAUAAAUAUUUCAUCACUUUAGCAAUCGAUUGAUGUGAGUUAUAGUGACUUUUAUGUCCGUGAGAAUAAUAAAUUUUAAAAAGUAAUGAUGUGAUUAUAAAUUUUAUUUACAUAUAAAAUAAAUUAUUAGUAGAUAUAAAUGAGGAGUUGUUUUACCAAAAUAUAAACUUGUGGAUUAAUUUUUGUAUUAAAAUAUAUAAAAAUAACACUACACACACAUUUAAGAUGUUAAAUAUCAAGUUAUAAACAAACUUUUUAAUAAUAAACUACUUAUAGCAUAUUAUUAUCAAGUUAUAGCAUAUCAAGAAAUAAUAUAUUAUUCUCAUUAAUUUUUUAUAAUAAUAAUUAACUUAUUUAAAUAAUUCAAUUACCUUAUUUAAACCAAUGUAAUUAAUUAAAUUUAUUAUUUUAAGUUACCUUUUUUAAACAAACUCUUAAUUAAUGUAAUUAAAAUUAAAUAUUAUAUAGUUACCUUUUUUAAGAUAACUACAAAGUAAUAGGGAUUUUAUCUCUAAAACAAUUACAGUUUUUUAUUAAAACUGUAAAACGUUAUCUAAAAAAAAUAAAAUUAUAUUCCCCAAAUUUUUGUUCUUCCCCAACUCUUUUUCAAAAUCAUUACCUCUGCACGCCUAUCAAAACUUUUCACCAAAAUUCGCACGCCUAAUUUAUUUUCACCAAAUUUUCUCUCAAAAGCACUUCUCUCUUAACAGUCUUCUUCAAGAAUUCUCAAAUAUUUGCAUUCAAAUCUUCAUUUUUAGCACUAAAAUCUUCAACUCUUGCGAUAAACAAACCGUACAAUGUUGAAAAGAGGCAACGAAACCCCGAGAAAAAGUAGAAGAUUGAAUGAAGAAGCAAGCUCAGACGAUUUUCAUGCUCCAUCAUUCAAAAUUUUAUCAGAAACACAAUCUCAACCUUCAUCUGUUAAAGUUAAAUCUAGAUCAGGGAAAUCAACAAUAGAAAAAAAACAUCCAAAGGAAAACGAGAAGAAGAGAAAAGGGAAAGAAAAGAAAAUUUUAGAUGAAUCUAAGAAAAGGACGAAAGAAAGAAGAAAGAAGAGGAAAGGAAAAGAAAUUGAGGAGUCAUCAAAUUCUGAAUCUGAUUUUGUGGAAGAGUUGAUAAAAUCAAAAUUCAAAAAACCAAGAGCAUCUGAAAUCGUAACUUCACAUUUACAAGAAUAAGAAGAAGAAACAGUUAAACCCAAAAAAAGUUCAAAGGUUAGUAAAAGUUAAUUUUUUUAAAAAAAUUUAUGUUCUGUUAUUUUUAUUUUCUGUUAUUUGGGUAUAAAAUAGUUAAAAUAUAAAUUUUGUGUAAAUAAAUAAUGUAUGAAUUGUGCAUGAUUCACUGUAUGAAAUUACAGAUCUCUUCAUAUUACAAUAUCAAUUGCUGAAACAUGUAUUUUUUAUGUAUGAUUCACUGUAUGAAUUGUGUAUGAUUAACUGUAUGAAUUGUGUAUGAUUCACUGUAUGAAUUUUGUAUGAUUCACUGUAUGAUUAACGGUAUAUAAAAUGUGUAUGAAUUGUGUAUACUUUAUGUUUUGAUUUGUAUAUUUUGGUGUUGAAUAUAUUGUGUAUGAAAGAAUGUUGUAAGUUUGUUUGAAAUGUGUAUGAUUACAUUGUAUUAUGUUUUGUAUACUAUGUGUAUGAAUUAAGUAUUUUUCAAUAUUAUUUUGUAAGUUUGUUUGAAUUGUGUAUGAUUUACUGCAUUAUGUUUUGUAUACUAUGUGUAUGAAUUAUUUAUUUUUCAAUAUUAUGUUGUAAGUUUGUUUGAAUUGUGUAUGAUUCACUGUAUUAGUUUAGUAUUACAUGUGUAUGACUAUGUGUAUGAUUAAUGUAUUUAAUUUUUACAAUUUUUUAGGAGAAGAAGACAUAAACACAUUUGUCUUCAUGUAUUAACAUGAAUGUGUUUGCGGAUUUGUUGACCUUUUUAGGUCAAGAUAAGUUUCAACAAUUCCUAGAUGAAACACCUUUUGAAUUUUUUUAUAAUUUGCAUCACAUUAAAAUCCAAUGUCAAUUGUUGAGAAACUUAUUUAUAAUGGGGAAUGAAAAUGUUAGGGAUGACUUUGACAUUAUGGAAAAUCAAAGAAUGAUGAAGGCACAAUCAGUGAAAGUGAAGUUACAGGAACCGUUGCUAGCAAGAAGGGUGGACCUCGAACUCAUAAAGAACAAGUUAUGGACACCACCAAUUAUUCUACUCCAAAAUUCUGUAUCAGGAAGUAGAAAUCUUCAUGGCACAAUGUACAUUUAUUUGAAUGACUUGUUUUUUUUUAACUUAUGAACAAUUUAUGUAUUUUUCGAGUUUUUUUAUUAUGACUACUCUGAUGGUUUUAUAUAAAUUACUACUGAUUAUUACUAAAAAUAUGUCUCACUUUAACAUAUAUGAACACUGUAUGAAUCAUGUAUGAAAAUCAUAUGAAUUAUGAAUGUCAUAUUAAAAUUUGACAUAUAGUACAUAGUAAUGUUAAAUUAUUCCACAAAUUUGUUUUGCAUGAAUACUAUACACUUUCAAAUACAAACAGAACGGGAUAUUAAUUAUAUUACUAGCGGCAUCAAUUUAGGAUCUGAAAUAUAACUUGGUAUAUCCCAUGUACUCUCGCACGGGAUAGGCUCGACAGGAAUGGCAUAAGCAUCUUUGAAAUUCUUGAGCCUAUAAAAAGCAGAACAUAUGCAAUAUAACAUGGGAAUUUAACAUAUGCAAUAUAACAUGCAAUUUAACAUAUGCAAUAUAACAUGGGGAAAAAAUACGACAUAUUAAUAAAAUAUUAAUAAAAACUAACCUGAUGAAUUCCAUUUGCCACCAUGUUUAAUUAAAAUUGACACAAUUUCUCCAUCAAAUCAAAUCUAAACUUUUUCAACUUUCAAUUUUAAUUGUUUUUCCAAAAAAAAAAAACCCCAUAAAAUAUGACAGAAUUCGAACAUAUGAAUAUAGUUCAAUUUCUGGAAAAAAAAUGAUACACGUUUAUGGAAAGAAAGAUGACAUAAUACAAUUUUUUAAGAAUAAAAAAUCAAAAAUAAUUACCAUUAAAAACGGAUUGAGAUAAUUAAGGUGCAUAUCUAUAAUUAAUAUAUUUUAAAAUCCCUUAAAAGGUGCACAUUUUGUUACCAGUUAAUAACAGUUACUACAUUCAAGGAAAUUAUCCAAUUUUAAUUAUUCAUUUUUUAAUUUUAUUUUUCAUCCUAUUUAGAAUAAAUAUUUACAAUAUUUUAAUUUAAAGAAAUGCUAUAAGUUGAUAUAUUAAAUGUUAUAGAAUGAAAAUCAAACUCUUAUGCCAUAACUUGAGAAUAUGACUACAUAAUAUGCUAUAUACCUAAUUUACACUUUUUUUUAAGCUUAUAGUUUUCUUCUAUUUGGCUAAUUACGGCCUUGCAACCUGACUUCAAAUAAAGAACAUAAUUUGAAAGAUGACUUUACCUCUUAUUAGAUUAAAAUAAAAUAAAUUGUUGAAGUAUAAUAUUAGUUGUUUGAUUGGGAUUAAGAUUUUGUCCAAAACGUAAGCAUAUUAUAUUAUAUUUUAAAUAAAUUAUUAAUAAGACGUAGAAAGAUCCAAAAUUAUAUUCACGAGAAACGCAAAAAUAUUGCAAGAAAUAAACAAAAAUCAUAAAUAAAGAGCAACAAUCAUUUCCACGUUAAAAAGAUGCAAAUGAAAAAUGUCAAAUUAUGGAUUAAUUACGUGAAUAUACAACUUAAGUUUACAUAUUCUCCAUAUUUCCCUUAUUUUUUUAAAAAAUACUAAAAUCUCUAUUUUUUAAUAAAUCUAAUUUAACAGAUACAUUAUUAAAUUAGAAUCCUAAUAAAUCCUAACCAAUUAAAUCUUAUCCCUAAUUUUACUCUUUAUUUUCCCCAAAUAAAGAACCCAUUUACACCACUCCCAAAAUUAAUGCGUCAAUUUCUCAACGGUUCAUCUUCUCAAUUUUGAAAAUCAAAAUUUGUGCUCUCCAUCCGUCAGCCUUCGUCUAAUCUGUCCGCCAUUUUUGUCUACUUUGUCAGCCUUUGAAAAUCAAAAUUGUGCUCUCCGUCCGUCCGUCUUCGUCUAAUCUGUCCGCCAUUUUUGUCUACUCUGUCCGCCUUAAAAAAUCAAAUCGCCAAUUUCGUCUACUCUGUCCGCCAUUUUCGUCCAAUAUUCUUGAAAGGUAUUGUGUUCUUCUUCGAUUCUCUCUUUUCAUUCUUCUAUUUUUCUAAUAUUUCAUGGAUCAUCUGUCAUUUAGUAUUGGGAUUACCCAAAUAAUCACUUCAAACUCUAAACAAAUCUAUAUUUUUGAAGAUCCGAAAUUGGUUGAAAACAAGUCUAAGAGCUUGCAUAAUUGGUUUGCAUUGUGUUGUUACAAUUAUGUAUCAAGCACAAUUUAUGUUUCAUGUAUCAUGUUAAAGUUUGUCGUUUAUAUAAAGUAUCAAGUAGACAGACUUAUAACUAUAGUUACACGUAUGUAUCAAGUACAACUUUGCAUUUUUUGUAUCAUGUUAGUAUCAAGUAGACAGACUUAUAACUGUAGUUACACUUAUGUAUCAAGUACAACUUUGCAUUUUUUGUAUCAUGUUAGGCUAUAAAGUGUCUGUUAAGUAUCAUUUUGACUGACGUAUGAUAUGUUGUUAGAAUUAUGUAUCAAGUUUAUUUUUGCAUUUUAUGUAUCAUAUUAACAACUUUGCAUUUUUUGUAUCAUGUUAGUAUCAAAUAGACAGACUUAUAAUUGUAGUUACCUUUAUGUAUCAAGUACAACUUUGCAUUUUUUGUAUCAUGUUAGGCUAUAAAGUGUCUGUUAAGUAUCAUUUUGACUGACUUAUGAUAUGUUGUUAGAACAGAUUGGGCAGCAUUGGAUGCAUAUAAAGACAAGAAAACUGGAGAACUUUUGGGUCCACAACAUUCGUUUAAUGUGGAGUUUGCUCAAGACAACAUGCAACAAAUAAGUGAUAGCCUGUGAGUAUUGUUUAUUAUUUUAUUUUAUUUUUUGUAUCUAUUCAUCCUUAUAAUUAUUCUUAUUGUUUUUGUAGUGAUUGCGGACUAUUCGUAGUUGUAUAUGCAGAAUUCUGAGUGACAAAAUCAACAUGUCAUGUAAUAGUUUUAAGAGUAGCUAUCUUCGCAAAAGAUAUGCGAUUCUUUUAUUGAAGUAUGGUCUCGACAAGAUGAAUGCUGGAUAUGUUAGCAACAGUGAUGACCCUUCAAGAAUGAAGAAUGUAUUAAACCCAUCAUCUGAAGAUGAAAUUGUUAAUGUAGGCUAGUUAGUUUUCAAUGUUUGACUUUUUUUUAUUUUCUGGAGUUGAACAAGAUGUUUGAAGUAUUUAUUAACAUAACAACACAUAUUGUUAAAUUAUGAAAGUGUUUUGAUUUUUAAAAUUAUUUAUUCUAUUACUUUAAUUUUAUUUUUAUUACCGUUAUGAAUUCAGGAAUUAUGUAUACUGUUAUUGGGACAUGAAUGUCAUUAUUGUAUCAAAACUAUAAUAAUAAUUACAUUAAUGUAAUUAUUGUCAUAAAAAAACACUUAUUAUAUAUACGUAAAUAUAUUGCAUGAUACAAAAAAAAGAAAAUUAUAUACGUAAUUAUAUUUUGUAUAUGAUACAUGAAAUAUCAAAAUAUAUAAUAUCACAAACAGUGAUUCUAGUUGUUACACUAGAUACAUGCCAGUUUUUUUUUAAAAAAAAAUUAAUAUCUUUUGUACAAAUAAGAUAUAUUCAGUACUAUGAUUUAUAUAUAUUACGAACAAUUAUUUGUCCUUCAAAAUAUGAAAUUUUUUUAAGUAUCUACACACAUGAUACUAUAUUACUAAAUUAAAUUAAAUUAGAACUGACAAUAAUUUGGGUGAAAUAUCCGCAAUUAAUAUUGAUUAAAGUAAGUUUGAACAAAGAUUAUAAAAUAAAGUAUUUGAUAUAUAAAUAUAAUAUAAAAUUUAAAUAGUGUUUAACAAAAAAAAGGAAUUAGUCUGCCAAAAAAAAGGGAAGAUCACUAAUGAAAAAUUAUAAUUUAAUUUAGAGUUUUUAUAUUGGAUAAAACUGAUCUUGAAACACACAAGUUAAUGCUUUUUUUAUGGGAUUAAUAACUGUAGCAUAUUAAAAGUAGGAAUUAAUUCAAAUUUCAGUUUUUAAUCCCCCAAAUCACUCAACAAACGGAUAAAAUAGCAUAAUAUAGAAUGUAUCCGACUGUUUUAUUAUGUAUCAGAAACUUCUUAAAAAUAAGGGAUUUUUUGUAAAUUGAAAAAAAGUAGGGAUAGAAGGUAAUUUAUGUUUUACACUAUGUGAUUUACAUAAUUUUUACAAUAAACAUAUCAACUGGCCCAUAGGAAAUAAUUAAGUAGGCGUUUCGUUAUGAUAUUAUAUUACGAUAUGAUAUCGUGAGAUAAUAGUAGAGCUAAAAAAAUUUUAAGGGGUGUCCAGAAAUAUCAACUUGUUAUGAUAAGUUCAAAAUAUGUUAUUUAAUUAUUUUGUAUAUCAUUUUAUUUGUAUAUGAGCUAAUUUUUUUCUGACAAGGGGUGUCCAAUUGGACACUUUUGACAGUAUGUGCUGUACGCCAGUGUCGUGAAAUGGAAUCAGCGUUUGGACAUGCGAUUUCAUGUCGAUUUCAUCUCAUGAUUCUAUAUUUUUCCAAAAAGCAUGCAUGAUAUGAAAUUAGUUGAUGAUUCCAUAUCAUGAUUUGAGAUAUUUGAUAUGAAAUUAGUGUUAUUUUUAUUAAAAAAAAAGAGAAAAAAAUCCUUAGAUGAUACAAGUAUCAGCAGCUUAUGGAAAUACUUAGAUAUUUCACUAUUUUUAGAUAUUUUAUUUUUUUGAGAGUUGAACUUCAUGAAAUUGAUCAAUUUUUUAAGAUAAACUUUUUAUCAUAGUAAUAUCAAAUAUGAGAAGAAUAACAACUUAUGUGAUUUCUGAAUUUAUUUUUAAACAUUAAAUUAGUCUAAUCCAAUUUGAACAUUACAACUCAAGUAUUUGAUAAAUCGUGUGUUUUACCGUUGGUUGACAUCAUUCUAAAACCAUUGUCACAGUAAAGUUGCAAAAUAUACUUAUAUAUAAGAAGGGAAAAGGCUUAAAUAUGCCAUCGAAUUUUUAGAAAAGGUUUAUUUAUGUCAUCAGUUAGAAAUUUGGCUUAUUUAUGUCGUUACCGUUAAAGAAAAGACUCAUUCAUGCCAUUAAUUUUUAACGGCGGUCUUGCAAAAUCAUUUUGGACAUGUUGCCAAUUAUAAUUCGGCCACGUAGUCUUUUUUUUUAAUAAAUCUGAAGAAAAAAAAUUGAAAAAAUUUAUUUUUUUAUUAAUAAAUUCAUGACGUGACUGAAUUAUAAUUGGCCACGUCAUCAAUUUUUUUUAAUAGAAAAAAUCAAAAUUCUAAUAAAAAUUCUUUUAAUUAAAAAAUUAAUGACGUGGCCGAAUUAUAAUUGGUCGCUUGUCAAAAAUGAUUUUGCAAAAUCACCAUUAAAAAAUAAUGACAUGAAUGAAGCUUUUCUUUAAUGGUAAUGACAUAAAUGAACCAAACUUUUAACUGAUAACAUAAAUGAUUAUUUUUUAAAAAUUUAAUGACAUAUUUGAGCUUCAGGGCAGAGAUUGGGAAAAUGACAAUAUUAACCCUUAUGUUUGACGAUAGGUUUAAAAUGGUCUCUCAAAUAUGUAUUGAACUCUAUUUGUUGCAUUUGACGGGAACUACAACUUUUUUAGAAAAAUCAGCAGAAACUCAUAUUUAGAGGUAGGGGUGUGCAUCGAUCGGUUCAGUUCGGUUUUACAUAUAAUCGAUUCGGUUUAUCGGUUAUGGUUUUAAAAUAUGCUAACCCAAUAACAAACCAAUAAGAAAUUUGUUAUCGGUUUAUCGGUUUUUGAUAUUAUCAGUUCGAUUUCGGUUAACCCAAUAAGAAAAUGUCGAUCAAAUAAUAUAUAAUAGUACGUAUGUUAUAAUUACAUGUUACCAUCUUACCGCCAAAACAUAAUAGAAAACUUUGAAUGUUGAUCAAAUUACUAACAUUCACAAACUUGCAAAAGUUAUCGCCUACAAUUACGAACUAGAAGUAAAACUAAAAUAAAAUAUUUCAACGAGACAAUCUUGAACAGUUGCUUGAUCCACCAGAUAAUCAACAAAGUUCUCACCUAUUUCUUAACUAAAAAAUCACAUAGCCUGAAAAGCUAAUAUUGAAUCUAUUUAUGUAUUAAAUUAUGUAUAUUUAAUAUUGAGGAAGGGUAAAGUAGUAAAUAACUAUAGUCUUAUUGGGUUAUCGAUUUACCCAAUAUCCCAAUAGGAAAAAUCGAAACCGACCCAAUAAUCCAAUAAUUAUUUUUUCUAAACUCAUUAAAAACCCAAUAACCCAAUAACCUAAUAACAAUAACUCAAUAACAUUUUAUCAGUUCGAUUUAUUGAUCGGUUCGGUUUUUGCACACCCCUAUUUAGAGGUAUAAUUCUAGUAGUAUUCUAUUAUUUUUUCGUUUGUUUUUAGAAAUUGGGGUAACCCUUUUAGAGGUAGUUUCAGCUAGUUUUUUAAAUUAUAGUUUUACUGUUUGGUACAUUUUUUUGUGUUAUGUAUUUAGAAAUAUGAUGAGACUUUCUUAAUGUUUGUCGAAUACAAAUUGUCAAAUAUUUGACAAUAUUUUUAAAAAAAUAUUACUAUAUAUGAGUAUCUGGGAUCUUUUUGGAUAAAACUGAAAAGCCCAAAAAUCAUACAUAUUAACCAAUUAACCAUGUAGAAUAAAACUCAUUUGUCCUGAAUUUGAAUUCUUAAAGAGCAUUAAAUUCACUAGUGUUGCCGUAAAAAUUUAUAGACAAAAAAUUGGUGUGGUUUUGUUGUUACUAGAUACGAGAAAGUUGCUCGAAUGAUAAAUAUUCUUUUACUUUGUUAGUUUGAAUAGUUAAGAUAGUAACGAUAACAUGUCCUAAAAAAAAUAUUUUUUAUAAUUACAUUUUAAAUAGUUCAAUAGGUAUAUCCUAUAUAUUUUUUAUCUUUAGAUUAGAUCAACUAUGAGAUCUAAUCAAGUUAAUUUCUAUAGUACUUCUUCUUAUCUAACUUCACUUGCUUAUCAUUGCUCGCAAAUAUAUAUAAAAGGUCAAAUUGUCUAAAUUUUGGAACAAAAUCAGACAUGAUUAUGUCGUUUUGUUAAAUGGACAUGAUACCAUCAGAACAAGUAUAUAUAUUUUGAUAAUAUAUAUAUAUCAAACAAUAAACACGAGUUACUAGUUAAACGGAAUAUGAUAAUAACAGAAUAGCUACUUAUAAAUAAUUUUUCUGUUUAGUACACAUAUUCUUUUCCUCAAAUCAUAUAUAUACCGGCACAAAAUUAUUAGUCAACUAAAUCAUCGUAAAAUACGUGUCUGUUAUCCUGACACGUGUCUAUGAAUUUUGAAGUGAUUGGACCUUAAAUUUUCAUGAGUUUAACAUCAACAGUCGACAUCUUAUAAUUAUAUAGCACAAUGUUUCACGUGAAAAAUACCAAGGGAGACAUUAUUUUACAUGUACAUUAUUGCACUGUCCAACUUUGCUUUUCUCUCUUAGAUCACUAUCAGUCCCAUGUUAUUUAGGGACUGGAAAUAAAUUCACUUGCUAAAAUAUAAUCGCACAUUUUUAAAAUGUUUUUUUAACUAAAAAUAAAAGUUAAUAAAGAAAACAUGAUUCGUCCAAUUUGCUUAUGCCUGGGUAGAUUACUGUUGAUCUGCCUACGUAAUUUCAUUUUUCUCGUCCAUAAAGUAUUGGAUUGAUAUAUACGAUUUAAAUUGACUUACGAGAAAUCUUGUCAAAUUAUUUUUAAAAUUAUAUUUUUAUUCGAUAUGUUAUAUAUAUAAUUACAAAAAUAGUAUAAUUUUAUCAUAUACUAACAAAAUUUUAAAAGAACAAAUUAAAUAAAGUAAAUAAAACUUUGUAUGAAUUGACGAAUAGAAUUAUAAUCUAUAUUUUAGCUUAUUUUGGCCCAAGUCAUUUUUGCUCGGAUUAAUUAUUGUUAACCCAAUCCAAUCCAUUAUAACUAAACAAAGUAAUUAUUCAAGAAAAAAAUAUGACUUGGUCUAGGUUAGGUUUAUGAGGAACUUUGUUCAAUUUUUUGGUAAAUAUAUUACUCCAUGUUUUCAAAAACGAUUUGAAAGACGAACUAUCCCGAAACUAAAACUUAAAAGGCGUGAUAUUCAUGUCAAAUUCGAAUCCAUCCAAUCAAAUGGUUUACAUGAAGAUAGCAACGUGAUUAUUUGAGAAAAAGACCAAAAUUAGUCCCUUAUUUUGAGUUAAAGUCAUCCUUAAGUUUUCACAUAAAGCACUAGUCGUCCCUCAUAUUUGUAAUAUUAGUGCAUUUUUUGUUGUCCCCUACACUUUUGCCUAUUUUUUGACAUUAAUUUUGAUCAUAAUUUUAUGUAAAAAAUAUCAUAUCGGCUUUUUAUAUAUUUAGUAGAAAUAAUGACUCUAUGUGAUAGAAUGUGAGAAGAAGAUUACCUUAUUCUGUUCAGUAUAAAUAUAAGUGUUGCUAAACUAAGAACAUUAUAACAUAUGACAUUGCAAGAAAAAAAAAAAUUGUGCUAUUGUACAUGAAAUCGUCGUGAUAAGCCUCUUGCCUUUAUAUGGAAUACAAUUUCUACUAAACAAAAUAAGAUAUUUUUGUUCUCACAAUCUCUCGCAAUAAAAUUAUUAUUUCUACUAAAUAUAUAAAAUGACGAUCAACUAUUUUAUAUAUAAAUUAUGAAUAAGAUUAAUACUAAAAACUAGGCAAAAAAAUUUAAUGAAGGACUAAAAUUAUACUAAUAAUACAAAUAUAAAAAACUAUUAAUGUUCUAUAUAAAAAUUCAAAAGUUACUUCUGAAUUUUUGAAUUUAACCGAGAGUCAGAGCCUGAUUAUUUUAUCUGCCCAACAAAGCAUGCAUGGAAGGUAAACGGUCAACCAUCUUUGAUGGGGUAAUAUAUCAAGUCAGUUUUUUCUUUCGUUUGCACUACACAUGACUGUAAUUUUAUUUUUGUCAUUUAUUAGUAGCUUUCUAAAGUUGACAUGAAUUUUUAUUUAAAUAUUUUGAUUAGAUUUUAUUUAUUUUAAAUAUUUUAUGUUGAAUUUUACUAUAUCAUUUUAAUAUUUUUUGCUGAAUUAACAUAUUGUGUGUUGCAUUCAUUUUGAUUGUGAGCGAGUUCUUUUUGGACUUUAUAAAAUCUUUUUCCUCCUUCUUCUUCACUUUUUAGCCCUACUACUUAUUCCACCUUCCCCCAAUAAAAAUUCAUGAUAAAAAACCUUAUAAAAUAUGAAAAAAUAAAAUUAAAAAACUAUUACACUAAUUUUAAAAAUGUUUAAAAUCAUCACACUAAUUUUAAAAAAACUUUUUAGAACAAGACACAUUUUUAAAAAAAAAGUUAGAAAAAUAUCAUAUAUAAUUUUCAAAAGCAAUAAAAAAAAAUUAAAAUCUAAUGAUUUUUCAAAAAAAAAUUGAAAGAAGAAUAAAAAAAAUGAUUGUAGAAUUGGGGAGGCAAAAGGGAAGUGAGGCAGAUGGGGUAGGGGUGAGGGUGAUAGAAGGUGGCACUGGAUGGUAGAAAAUAGGUAAUUUUAUUUAUUUAUUUUUGCUGAAAAAUUAGUUACGUUGUUAUUUAAUAAUUUAUUUUAAAAUUAUUAUUUUUACAUUCAAAUGUCACAUGUCAAUUUUUAAUUAGUCGUCAUGCCAUGUCAUCCGUAAGUAUGUUACGCACACUUUGUAAUUUUAGCUGAUUGACGAAAAGGUGUCAAAAUGAUAUAGCGGACCCCUAUUUGAGGUGUUUAAAAUGAACAAAACCUACUUAAGGUGUCAAAGUGAAAAUUGAUGCCAAAUUUAAGGGGCUGCCAAUGGGUUCAACCUUUUAUUUUAGGUAGGACCUUAACUUGGUCGUUCCCUUUUUUUGCGGAACCGCAAAUAAUUUGCACUUGUUGUACCCUCUGCUAUAAUGUCUAUUUUUUGGGUGAGCAUCGGAUAAAUUUAAUUUUACUGUGUAUAGCCUACAAAUUACAUAGGAUAUUUGAACAACAUUAGGCAAGCUUUAUAUGACAAGAUUCGAUUUAGAAGACACUGAAGGUAUCAAUCCAGAGUCAUUCGUGUGGAUAAUCACCCUCCAAAUUAACCGAAUCAUCCCACGGGACAAUAUAAUUAUCUAAUGAAAAUAUAAUGUUGUUUAAUUUGAACGGACUAUUGAUCUGCUUGAUCAUUCAUUUAUUUCAUUAACUUAAGUUGAUAAAUCAACGGUUGGUUCCCUUGAAAUUAAGCUCCCUUUAUUUUUUUUUCUUAGUUUGUGCUUUUUUUCUAAGUUUCAAUAUCGUUUUACACGGGUUUUUUUAGUUUUUUUUUUUUUUUUUUAUAAAACAUGCUAAACGUGUGAUUUUACAUCCAAAAAAUUGAAAGACCCGCCACUAAAACUAUAUACUACUAUAGUUUGUUUUGUUGUCUUAUUUACUAAAAGUGUGAUUUUAAAUCCAAAAUAUUCAAGGGCCCCCAUUAAAACUAUAUACUACUACUUCCUUGAAAGAUUGAUUUGUUGACUUAUUACCAUGUUUACACUUUUAUUUUUCGUACCCCUUAAAUGAAAAUUAUGGAUUUGCCCCGAUCGGGGAUAUCAAUCCCGGGUCAUUCGUAUGUAUGGAUAAUCAUCCUCCAAAUCAACUGAGUUAUCCAAAGGACAAUAUAAUUAUAUGAUGAAAAUAUAAUUUGUUUAAUUUGAACGGAUUUAUGAUCUGCUUCAUCAUUCAUUUAUUUCAUUAAUUUUAACUCUACAUAUCCAUUUGACAGUUAGGUGUGAAUUAUGUCAAUGAGGCGGGGCGGGUUGAAGUGGAUUUCUAAAAUUAAUGUGGACCGGGGCGUGUUGUGGGUAUAUGUGAUUUUAUAUAGGUUUGAAUUUAAUUUUAAAUUUUUUACAUGUUAUAAGAGUAAUAGAGCAUUAUUUAUUAAGAUAAUAUCUUCAAAACUACUAAAAUAUUCAAACUAGUAAAUGAGAAUGGUUCAAUAAAAAAUAAUUCAAUUACUUACGUUUUUCCUAAUUGACCUCUAAAAAUAUAAAAUUCUAAGUCAUUAUCUUAUUAAAUUAAUACAAUUUAUUAAAAAAAAUUAUUUUAAGUAUCAUUAACUAGAAAAAAAUAUUUAAAAAUAUUAUGAGAAACGAGGUAGGACUAGUUGAAAAUGUAAAAAAGGAUUAUGUGGGGCGAAGCGAAACAGAUCAAAAAUUUUAUUGAUUAAGCUCAACCCACUGGACCCUACCCAACACCGUCCAAUUGCCAUCCCUAUUAUCUACAGUAGUGACGAUCUUAUGGAUGUAGUCAAUUUAACAACUCUUCAGGUAAUUAAUGUCUUAUAUGAUUUAUUAUAGUGUGAUAUAGAUAAUGUAAGAGCCGUUGAAAUUUACAUAAAUAAGUGUAUAUAUACAUGUCAAGGCCAUUGCCAUUAUUCACCAAACACACACAAAAAGAAUAAAAGCUACUUAUAAGAAUAUGAAAAGCGUGAAAUUAGUAUCUGAGUUGCCCAAUUUAAAAGCAGUACCUUGUAAUUACUAUGUUGAUAAUCAUCUUAAAUAUUCAUCACCAUCCAUUAUUGACACUAAUCAUGAUGAUUCAUUAAUCCCCAUCAUUGAUUUUUCCCUCCUUUCCUCAAAAGACCCUUAUCAACACUCUAAAGUCAUUCAACAACUUGGUAGAGCUUGUCAACAAUGGGGAUUUUUCAUGGUACGUAGUUAGCAUUAAUUAAUUGAUCUUGUAAAAAAAAUAUUUGUGCUAUUAUUGCAUUAGUUGCACAUGCAUGAUUUGAAAGAAUAUAAUGCCAAAUUCAAUCAUGCAUAUGGGAGUUCGACGUGCUUCCUUCACUUAAACAUAUCGUAGUAAUAUUUAUCUGUUCUGAGAAAUUUGUGUGACUAUAAAAACAUUUUAAUUAUUUCUAAAUACAAAAGUGUGAUAUUUGUUUUAUUUGAAAAGCGGAAUUGAAUGAACGCAGGUUGUGAACCAUGGUAUAGAAGAAAGUUUGAUGAAGGAGUUGAUUGGGGUGAUAAAAGAAUUUUUCUUAAUGGGAGAGGAGGACAAAUGGAGAUACAAAGGGGAAAAAGUGUUUGAUCCAAUAAAGUAUGGAACUAGCUUUAAUUGUACUUCUAAUCACGACAUCACUACUACUUCUUAUUGGAGAGAUUACCUUAAACUCUCUCUUCAUCCUCAACUUCAUUGCCCCGACCAACCCAAUAACUUCAGGUAUUUUUUUUUUUUGGUCUGUCUCAAUUUAUGCGUUUCAUUUUUAUAUAAUUUUUAAUUAAUUAAAUUGAUUACUACUUUGAAAAAUCCACGUUUGAUUUUAUCCAUGAAACGUCACAAAACAAAAUCUGUCAAUGGGUCACUCAUGUCGGAGUUGGGCCUGUGCGACUGCGACCAUUUUUCAAGUUUAAAUAUUUAGCCGCUCAAUCAAAAAUAUUUAUAUCGUCGACAAAAUUUUAUAUAAUUACUAUAUUUUGUAUGGUUUAAUUUUACAGAGAAGUUUUGGGUGAGUAUGGUGAGAAAUCGAGAAAAGUGGCAAGAAAAUUACUAUCAGGAAUAUCGGAAAGCUUAGGAUUGGAAGAAGAGUUGAUGAAUAAAUCCCUUGAUCUGGACUCGGGUUACGAGGUGCUUGUUGCAAAUUAUUAUCCAGCAUGUCCACAGCCCGAACUUGUAAUGGGCCUUCCACCCCAUUCUGAUUUUGGACUGUUAACUUUUCUUAUACAAAAUGAUGUUGGAGGAUUACAAAUACAACACAAUGGAAAAUGGAUCAACAUCAAUCCCAUUCCCAACGCUAUUUUGGUUAACACUGGCGAUCACCUCGAGGUACAAUAGGCAUAAAAAAAUUAAUAUUUAUCUUAUAGAUGUAUACACUUUUUAUAUGUUAUGUAUACGCCUGCGACAACACCACACUAUUAUUACAGCUAGGAGUGGAUUUUUUUUUUCUAGAUGGUUGUGCAAAAUGUUAAAAUUUACUAGGUGCAAUGUGAUAUAUAAUUUUUUUUUUUUGGGGACAGAUAUUUACGAAUGGAAAGUACAAGAGUGUUUUGCACAGAGCGGUAGUGAACAAAAUGGAAAGGAUAUCCAUAGGAAUUGCAAAUUGCCCUGCUAUGAAUGCCACAGUGAGUCCAGCUGCUUCACCUCUAAUCCAAAAUGAGAGGUUUCCACCACUUUAUCUACCCAAGAAAUACAGUGAAUACGUGGAGAUGCAGCAGACAAAUCCACUUGAUGGAAAGUCAUGUUUGGACAAAAUCAAGAUUAAUUCACCACCAUUAAAAUAAUUUUUUUUUUUAAAAAAAAGAACUUUAUUUCUUUUUGUUUCAGUCGACUUGUCUCAAGAAAUAUGUACUUUUUUUUUUUUAUAUGUACUCAUAAUUAAGUACCAAUUUGGCAAUAAAAAGAAAAAAACAAAAAUGAUUGAGGUGUCUUUUUCUUUACCUUCACUUUUGGCAUGUUAGGUUAAAAAAAUAAAAAAAUCCUCAGAUGUCUUUUAAUUUGAUUUACGACCUGUUAAUAAUAUUGGAUAUUUAUAGGCUGACGUUCAUGAAAAAUAUCCGGUAAAAUGUGUUUUUUUUACAAUUGUUAUUGAAAUAUUACUUGAUUAAAUUUGAAUCUCUAAAAAAUUUGCUAGUUUCCGUUUUAUCAAGAUACAUAUACUUGACACAGUAUAAAUAUAAUAACAGAAGAUUUUUAAAUUUUACCAUAUUAAACUAAAAAUAUGUAAAUAUCAAAAUAUUAUUUAAUCUAGAGAUUUUAAAUAUGUCAGAUAAAACGUUAAAAUUAAUUAAAAAAUUAUCAAAAAGAAAAAAAACUAAAUUUUGUUUUUGAAAGGGAGGAAUUGGUAAAUUGUUGGUUCACUUUAACAAGCCCAUCCGUUGUAAAAUGUUACUAGAUAUGAUCAAUUGAGUAUACGAUGAGUUAGUGGUGUACUGGUGUUGAUGGAUGGAUGAGGAUAACGUGUACCUAAUUCGAGUCUCACUAAUAAAGAUAAGUUGCGUGAUAACAUUUUAUAUUAUCGAUAUUUAUAAACUUUUUACUUUUUAAGUAUAAAUAUUUGAGUCUGAAAUUAUCCAAUUAAGCUCUAAAUCAAGGUGGUAAAUCUCAAAAGUUAUAGCAGAUAGCAACAAUAUAUAAAUUUUAUUUCUUUUCUAAGUUCACAAAUAAGUGUUAUACUUGAUUAUGACUAUGAUUGAGAUCACCAUUCAACCCCUUGUGGGUGUUACUGUAGACAGAAUGCUGACAUUACCAAUAUAAAUUUUUUAACAAAUUUAUAAGAUAUCUCUAUAAAUUACCAACCUGUAUUUUUAACUUUCAAACAAUUAUGAAAGCUACAGCUCCACUUUGGUUAAACCAUCCAAUAGACAAGAAAUAGGUACUCUUUUUAAAUGUACUCAUAAUUAAAUACCAAUAGCAAUAAAAAGAAAAAAGACAAAAAUGAUUGAGGUGUCUUAAUACUUCUUCUCAACCUUUUUUUGUGGCCUUGGAGUUAAGUAGGCAACAGCAUUAUUCUUCUCUUUUUGGCAUGUUAGGUCAGAAAAAAUCUUCGAUAUUUUUUUAAUUUGAUUUACUAUUUUCUAACAAUAUUGGAUAUUUAUAGCCAUGAAAAAUAUUUGGUAAAACGUAUUUUUUAAUAAUUGUUAUUGAAUUGUUAUUCGAUUAAAUUCAAGUCUCUAAAAAAGUUUAUAAGCUUCCAUUUCGUCAAGUUAAAUAUACUUGGCACGAUAUAUAAAAACAACAAUUUUUUUUUAUUUUUUUUUACAAUAUUAAACUAAAUAUAUCAAAAUAUCAUUAAAUAUAAUAAUUUUAAAUAUGUCACAUAAAAUAUUAAAUUUAAUUAAAAAAUUGUCAAAAAGAAAAAGCAUAAACUAAAUUUUAUUUUUGAAAGAGAUAAAUUAGUAAGUUGUUGGUUCACUUUAACAAGCCCAUCCGUUGUUUCUAAAUAUGAUCAAUUGAUCAUAUGAGUUAGUGGUGUAUUGGUGUUGAUGGAUUAUAACGAUAAUGUGUAUCAAAUUCGAGUUUCACGAAAUAAAAAUAAGUUAUAUGAAAAUUUUUUAUAAUUUUAAUUUUGUAAAUUAAACCCUAAAAUAAGGUGUUAGAUCUCAAAAGCUAUAAAGAUAGCAAAAAUAUAAAUUUUAUUUCUAAACUAAGUUUACAAGUAAGAGCAUAUUUGGAUGGACUUAAAAUUUAGAGUGUUUGACAAAUAUCAAAGUAACUUAUUUUAAGUCAAAAAUGACUUGCCAAAAGCUAAAAGAUUGGUGAUGACUGAUGAGUUUUUUUUUUUUCUUUCAACUUAAAAGUCAUUUUAUAUUGAUAGUAUAUAUUACCUUUUUACCCUUAAUUCUUUUAUUUUUAUUUUUAUUUUUAUUAUCAUUAUUUUUUUUUUAUUUUUAUUAGUUUAUUUUAUUAUUAUUCUUUAUUAUUAUUAUUAUUAUUGUUAUUAUUAUUAUUAUUAUUAUUUUAUCAUUAUUUAUUCUUAUUAUAUAUUAUUAUUAUGAUUGAGAUCACCAUUCAACCCCUUGUGGGCAUUGCUGUAGACAGGAUGCUGACACUUGGGUAAUUUUACAAAUUCUACAACAUUUAUCUCUAUAAAUUAUCAACCUCUUUCCAAGCAUUUUCAUCAAUUAUGGAAGCUACAGCUCCACUUGUGGUUAAACCAUCCAAUGUCAAAGAGCUUGCUGAAUCUCCUGAUUUGCGUUGCAUACCUUACAAUUAUGUUUAUGACUCUUCCAAUUCCUCUGCUACAAAUGAUAUUGAUGAUUCAGAUUCAAUCCCCAUUGUUGAUUUUUCUCUACUCACCUCUCAUGAUUCUCAUCAACGUUCUACAGCCAUCCACCACCUCACCAAAGCUUGUCAAGGUUGGGGCUUCUUCAUGGUACGUAUUACCAACUAAUUUUGAAGUCACGUUAGAACCUAUAUAUGCACAUAAAAAAAUAAGUUAACAACUUGAAAAACAAAUUGAAACAGAGGAAGUAUAAUAUAAUAGUGGUAUUCUGUUAAUUCGUUUUGCGCAAAUUAAUUAAGUGCAGGUAGUGAACCACGGCAUACCAGAAAAUCUGAUGAAGUCAGUGAUUGAUUGCACUCAUGAAUUUUUCAAUUUACCAGAGGAAGAAAAACACAAGUUUACUGGGAAGCAUGUGUUGGAUCCUAUAAGAUAUGGGACAAGUUUCAAUACUAGUACAGAAAAUGUCUUCUUUUGGAGAGAUUUUCUCAAGGUCUUUGUCCAUCCUCAUUUUCACUCUCCCACCAAACCACAAACCUACAGGUAAAACUUAUAUAUACUGACAGUAUAACGCAAUCAAUUAUCCCUGUUAAUGUUAAUAACUUGAUAGUGUUAAAUUUAACAGGGGUAUUAUGUCGGAGUAUAGUGAGAAACUCCGGGAAGUGACAAGAAAGUUACUAGGAGGCAUAUCUGAAAGUUUAGGGCUUGAAGAAAGUUACUUGGAGAAAGAUUUAGAGUUGGAAUCAGGGCUUCAAAUCUUCGUUGGAAAUUACUAUCCACCUUGUCCUCAACCUGAACUAGCAAUGGGUAUGCCACCUCAUUCAGAUCAAGGCCUUUUAACACUUCUCAUUCAUAACCAAGUUGGAGGUCUCCAGGUUCAACAUCAAGGCAAAUGGAUUAACGUCAAGGCCCUUCCUAACUACUCUCUCUUGGUUAAUACCGGCGAUCAUCUCGAGGUAAUUAAAUCCAUUUUUCAUGUCUACAGUCACAAAGACGCGUGAUUUAAAAUUAAUCAUCGGCCUUUUAAAGUAUUGAGUUCAUUGUUGCCAAGACUAUUAAUAGUAAGAUUGAAAUAGCAAGUUAUUUUACUGUUACUUCAAGACCAAAAUUUUAUUUAAUAUGGUAGAUAUUUAGUAAUGGGAAGUACAAGAGCAACAUGCAUAGAGCAGUGGUGAACAACAAAGUAACAAGGAUAUCAGUAGUGGUAGCUCAUGGUCCAUCAUUAGACACAAUUGUAAAGCCAGCUUCUCCAUUGAUGGAAAAAGAGAACAGCCCAUCAGCUAAUUAUAUUCCAAUGAAGUACAAGGAUUACUUGGAGAUGCAACAAAGCAGCCGAAUUUAUGGAAAGUCCUGCUUGGAAAAAGUUAAAAUCCAAAGGAGCUGAGUGUUUCUAUGUAUAUUUUCCUCUUGUUUCCAAGUGUUUGAUGAUAUAAAAGUAUUAUGGAACUUCAAUAAUAUUUAUGAAUACUAUAGUUGUACGUGUAAUCUUUUAAUUAGUGAACGUUUUAGCCGUGUCUGUUUAUAUGUAUAUCUUCAAAUUAAAUGUCAUUUUCGGAUAAGAGGGUGAUGCUAGUGAAGUAGGGUCAUUCCAUAUAUAUGUCCAAUUGAUGACUCUUCCUACUCAAAUUGAAGAUUCAAUUGCUUCUCCAAACGUCCUACGUUUUUGUUUUUAUUUAUUAGUUUUGGUGUCUUUUUUCUUUCUAGAGAAUUCUACAUAUACUCACAAUUUGUUUGUGUAAGUGUGAAGUAGGCAAAAUCAAAAGAUUUGAAGUUUAUAAAUUUGAUUUACAACUUUUAACAAGUGUCAAAAUUAACAAACAAGUACGGAUAUUCAAUUUUUCUUUUAAGAAGUAACAAAUCCUAGCAAACUUUUCUUUGAAAAUCUGAUUUGGGAAUUGUGUUCAAAACAAUCUUAUUUGUACAGUUUUUCGUUGACACAAGAUUAUGUUUGGUUAUUUGCCCAAAAUUGGACAACUUUCACAUAUUCGUAUAAAAUUUGCUUUGCAUACAAUUGAAUUGAAGUAAAAUGUUUGUAUAUUGUAUAAUUAUAAGUGUAUAGGAAGAAGAUAUAUGUUUUUCUCUCGCUUUAUACAAAACAGAAACACAAUUUAUACACUUCUGUUGUAUAAAGCGAGAGAAAAUUGUAUUUCACUGCAAUUGUAUAAUUCACAAUUGUAUAAUUCGCUGUCCUUUUUCGCUGCAAUAUUUGUAUAAAAAUUUGCAUUUGUCUACAAUUGAAUCGAUGUAAAAUAUUUGUAUAUUCUAUAAUUAAGUAUAUAGCACAAAGAUAUAUAUUUUUGCAUGUGUAUAUACUAUUUUUUCUCUCGCUUUGUAUAAAACAGAAACACAAUUUAUACACUUCUGUGUGUAAAGCGAGAGAUGCGAGUAGAGAAAGAGUGGUGAACGAGAUUUUUGGGAGAGAGGCAACUAGCAAAUUUUGGCAAACGUUUGCUAUGGAGCACAAUUAAAUCAAACUAUAGCUACUGCAUUUAUUUUAGGUUAUUAGUUUGUUAUUAUAUACGGUUAUAACAAUAUAUCAGAAAAAAUUAGUUGGACAAAGCGUUAUUGGACUUGGAGUUGGGCCUUCUCUACUGCAUUAAUGACAACAGCCCAGCCACCUUAUGCUCCCCAACCAAGAACUUGGAUUACUUGUCCAAGACAUUGUCAAUUAUAAUAAAUAUUACGAAAUUUGAUAAAAAUAGACAAAUAAGUCAGGAUGGUCGAGUGGCCUAAGGCGCCAGACUCAAGUUCUGGUCUUCGCAAGAGGGCGUGGGUUCAAAUCCCACUUCUGACAAAACAUUUUUUAUUUUAUUCUUUUUUCAGUUUUUCCGUAUAAAACAGUUUUUCAAGUUGUGGCAUAGUAUAUUCUGACGUUAAAUAAAGCAGCAACAGCUAAUGAUGUCUGUUGCAAUCCCACUUCCUCACGCCACAAUAUGAUGAAACAUCCUCCUUCCUUUCCUGCUUCUGCUUCAUAGGUUGUUUAUCACAUUGUUUUAAAAGACUUUUUGAAAUUCAUUUUACUAAACAUUUGCAAAAGUUGAGUCUCUGUGUUUAUGCCUCAAGCAUCCGAUCGUAUGUUUUCAGCAUACUUAAUGUCCGGAGAGGAGCACCUCAAAAAGUUCUUCACAAAAAUAAUAAUCUCCAUACAAUUAAUUAUGACAUUACUAAAUACAUGGAGUAUUAUUUAACACUUAUUUUUUUUUAUAGGCUUUCACAAAAUGACCAGAUAGAGUAGUACACAAUAGUGCGUUUUCAAAGCUUAACUAAUAUUUAUUGUUACAACUUACGGAGUGGUGGUCGAAUAAUAAUUAAAUAUCUUAUAAAGAAAGCUCAAAAUAUAAGAAGAAAAAAAUAAGUAUAAGAUAGAGAAUUUUUUUUUCUUAUGCAAUUGUAUCUUUCAAACAUCGAGUGAUUCUCUAUUUAUGGUGUUGAGAUAUCAUUUCAACUAUUCUCUAAUUAAUAAAUACAUAGUUAUUUUAGAAGUUCUUAUCACCUUGAAAACAUCUAUGUAUGAACUCAUUUAAUAAUGAAUAAAUCUAAUAAAUAAUCCACAUAUACUAUACAAUAGAUUUACAAUAAAAUUAAAGUUUUUAAAAAGUAUUUUUACCUAAAACAUAUAACUUUUCGUAUAACCGGAUGGAAAAGAAAAAAAGAAAAAUCUCUGUUACAAAACCACAAGUUUAGUGGCAAUGUUGAUAGUGGAAGUCAUGUUGAAUUGAUUUACAUGGUUGGAUGUAGUGACGUGGCGUUACCUGAGGCGUCGAAAGACGCUGAUCGGCGCGAAUAGUGAAGUGGCAGUUUCAGAAUCACGUGUCUGUACCGGAAAAGUGGUAACCUUUUUCCUCUCACCAAAAACCCUUCUUCACUCCUUCUCCACUAUAUUUCGUCUGUAUGAAGUAAACAAAACAUAUUAGUAUUCCAUCUCUAUCAUCCCUGUUAAUCGAACUAUUUUUAGGGUUUCACUUCUGAUUGAUAUGUUUGCUGUUGAGGGAUUCAUAUACCUGAUCCAAUUUCUGGGUGUUCGUUUUUUUACCCUUGCAGACUAGCUAUAUUCUCUGAAAGGAAGGACCAUAGAUAUGUCUUUUACCGUGGAGCUGUUCGCUCAGAUGAGUCGCAGGAAAAGGAGUAAGAGGCAUUUCGCCUUAAGAGGUUCUUACCAUUUUUCUCCUUUGUUGAUUAAUUUUAUGGGUGUUCUUGUUUAUUUCGUUUUGUGCUUAUUUUUUGUUUUCAUGCAUACCCUUUUCUUGAAAUUGCAGAAUGUAACAAAAAGUUGGAACUUUUUAUGCACCGGUGUUCUUCAUCAUAUGGUCGGUAGAUCUUGUAACUGGUUGGGCUAUUAGAACUGAAGUAGUAAAUUGGAGGAGAUAGUUUUAUAGUUUAGACAAGCUAGUGAAUUUGACAAUUUAUGUGCCUUUUGGUUAGAUGUAGGUUUGAGGACUGCUUAUGAUUUAUAGGAAGCUUAAUUACUUUAAUUUUUUUACAUGGAGAACUUGGGCAAGAAGAGAAAGGGAGUAGAAAUUUCAAUGGUUUGUCAAAAAGAUGAGAGUCUAUUGACAGUAGUCAGGUCACAUUUAUCGUUGGAGGAUUAUUCUCGAAGGAAAAAGAAAUCUAGGGAAGUUGUCGUUGAAGCUGACAACUUUUGUAGGAAGAAUGUCAUUAAUGGAGUAGCUACUGCUCCGUCUUGUGGGAGUUCACGUUCACGCUCACCUGGACGAGGUCUUAAAAGGAAAAUAGGCUGUCUUGAUUCAGCUACUCGAUUGGGGCGGAAGAAGAAGAUUGAGCAGGAUUACGAGAUGGGAGAUGUUAUUGGACGAGGGAAAUUUGGGUCUGUUUUAUUAUGUCAGAGAAAGUUGAGUGGAGAAAAACAUGCUUGUAAGACUUUGCUUAAGGGGGAAGAGAUCAUUCACCGUGAAGUUGAGAUUAUGCAGCAUCUCUCUGGGCAUCCAGGUGUUGUGACACUGAAGGCUGUGUAUGAGGAUGCUGAAUCUUUUUAUCUUGUCAUGGAACUUUGCUCAGGAGGAAGGUUGCUUGACCAAAUGGCUAGGGUUGGGCGAUACCCUGAGCAACAAGCUGCUAAUGUGAUCAAAGAGCUCAUGCUGGUUAUCAGAUACUGCCAUGAGAUGGGUGUUGUGCACAGGGACAUAAAGCCUGAAAAUGUCCUCCUUACAACCUCUGGACAAGUUAAGGUUUCAGACUUUGGGCUAGCUGUGAGAAUUUCACAUGGUAAUUCAAGAUGACCUCCUCUAUUUGAAUUUGACUUGUCGGUAUUGUUCAUAUUAUCCUAUUUAGUGUGCAUGAACCGGAUACCACACCCUAUAUUAUGAUGCCUACCUGUUGUUGUCUGACUAGCUGUUUUUAGUCUUAGGCUGAAAUUGUUAUUUGUGCUCCUCAAGUGCGGUGCUUCUUGAUCUGCAUUACUCCUUGCACCCAAGAAAGAUGACCUUAUAUGCGGAUUCAGAAACAUCUUUGUUUGAUUGCCUUCAUAUACAAUUAUUUCCUUUUAUUUUGCAAUUAAAUAUGCUCUUCAGAAAACUGGAAUCACUUGUCCACAUAUUUUCCAAGUUUCUUAACUUUUAUUUGCAGAAAUAGAUUGGAACAUUUCAUACUUUACUCGAAACUUGAUGGGAAUGAAAUGUUGUAGAAAGUGCAUUAUACCCACCUUCAAUCUAUCCUAAUGUGCAUUCAAAUAUGUCUUUUUCCAGUAUACUCCUUGUAUGUGCGGUUAUUCCUUUUUUGCUAGAAGUUGACUUUACCUUUUAAAAAAAUGUGCUAAUUCAUGAUAAAUUCAUAUGUAUCUUCACUUUUUGCACCAUUUCCAAUUAGAUUCAAUCAAAGGACUUCUGAAUUUUGUAAAAACUGACAGUUCUUAUCUUAAACCCUUGAUUUUUAUCCCUACCCUUGCUUUGUCAUUUUACUGAGUGUAGUUUGGGAGGUGUUUACCUCAGAUUAUGCACAUGAAAGACUAGAAACAUUUUGGAAUUUAAUGCAAUGUUGGAUGAUGGUUCUUUACAUGCUGGUCUCAACUCUUUGUAUCCAGGAUGUUAGCUAUGUUCAUGUUGUCUCUUAUGAGCGCAUCAUUAAAUUUCUAUUUUGAGUCAUUCUAGUUCUUCUUGGAGGAUCCAUUGCACUAAACUGGGUGAAGCGGUUUUGUGUUUGUGUGUGUGUGUUUUUCUUUUGUACGUUAAUGAUGUAUACGAAAUGCUCCAUUCUUUGAUGUGCUCGUAGGUCAGAGCUUGACUGGAGUAGUUGGAAGUCCAGCUUAUGUUGCUCCUGAGGUUCUGCUAGGUGAUUACACAGAGAAAGUGGACAUAUGGAGUGUAGGUGUCCUCCUACAUGCACUUUUGGUGGGCUUGCUCCCAUUUCAAGGUGAUUCUUUGGAAUCUAUAUUCAGUGCAAUUAAGGAGGAGAACCUUGAUUUCAGUGGUGGAGCUUGGGCAUCUGUAUCACAACCAGCUCGUGAUCUGCUUUCUUGCAUGAUGACAAGGGAUGUCUCAGCAAGGUACAGUGCUGACGAAGUACUAAGUGAGUAGCCUUUCAGAUCUCUUCUAUUGUCAACUUACACCUUAUAUUCUUUUAUCAUUUUUUUAAAUUGAAAUGUAAUCAUCAAAGAGAACUAGGACUGGAUGAAGUGCUUUGGUUCUACCUCUGGAGCAUUAUUUAGCAGCAUCUGUGAGCCUUACAAGUAGAAAGGGAAAUGUGACUGAUUAUUCGUCUGCUCUGUGAAAUGACAAUGCUGGUUUUUCUUUUAAGCAGGUCUAUGCCUAUGCCACAUCCCACCUUGGGGUGCGCGGAGGGUGAUAGAUUUGUGCUUAAUCGCUUCAAACACCAUAGAAUCUAUUAAAUAUAUAAAUCUUCAGCUGAAUACACGUUCCCUCAUCUCACGAAUUGGAAUAGGUCUCUAUUUUAUCCCUGUUAACAAGCGAUAAGUUAUGGUGUUGGAAAUGCAUGUCCAGAAGACUCAGGUUGGGUUAACUAUAGUUCCUUUUCUCACGGAAGCCUCAAUGGUUUUAUCAGCACAAGAAUAUACUUUGUCAAAAAUCCUGGUGUUGAUGGACCAGUCCUGUGUUUUUUUACAUGUACAUCCCUGUUAGUGACGGGUAACAUAGUUUCUCUUUUACAUUCUUGCUCUGCAAGGUUCUCCAACAGUAUCUGUUGGAACUUCUUUGAUAUGGCAUAGAAGCAUGGAGUUCUGAUCAAUUAUUCAGUUGGAUUUGCUGGAUAAUUUAGGUAUUGGUUAUCGUAAUCAUGCCCUGAGCAAUUGAAUAUAUCUGGCAGAUCGUCUGUUUCCCUUGGAUAAUAUGCUCAAGUUGGCUCACUGUAACAGGACCAUUAAUUGCCUUGUUAAGUGGGCCACUUUGGGAUUUUGGGGGAUGGCGGAGCAAAAACUACCUGUGAAGUAGAUGAUAUAUUUCUGUUGUCAGUAUACCUAUCUUUGCUUUCCACUGUUUUUCCGAAUAACCGCAUUGCACUAAUAUCAUGACAAGCAAAAGUUGCAAAUGUCUAUAUCACACCGUUGUCUGAUGUCUCUUUUAAGACUUUGAUGAUACCAUUUUUCUUUUCUUACAGGACAUCCAUGGAUUUUGUUUUACACUGCACCCACAUUGAAGAAUCAUGCAAAGCCAAUUAGAAGCCAGCUAACUGCUACUACUAGGAUAGAGCGAGAGAGAAGAAACUUAGCCUUCAGCUCUCUCAGUGAUGACUUUGGUUCAACUUUUACAUCUGGUAGUUCGUCUAAGAUGCCUGAAGGUGAAGACUCUGGUUUUAUCGAUGCUCUCACGGUUGCUGUUUCACACAUGAAGAUAUCAGAGCCAAAGAGAAGCAGAAUAUGCAGCCCAGCCAGAACAAUCGAUCAAGAAUGUUCUCCUAACAUACAAGCUAACCACCUCUGUACAGCAUUCUGACCGGUAUGACCUUUCCUGCAGCAGCAUGUAGUGUUGCCCUUGUAAAGGUAUCCUUUUGAAGCCCAUUGAUUUGACUUCCCAACUACAUGAAGUGGUAUAUGGUGCACUGAUCUCAUUUAACCUUUGGCUCUAGAAUAAAUCAUUAAUAAACAAACCUGUCAGAUCAUACUCGACUAGUUUGGAGUUGCUUCUGUCAUGUGAAUUCAUAACAUGUCUAACUUAUAAGUUAGAAUGUGUGUGUGUGAUUAUGUAAAUAAGGCGUGUUUUCUGACUCAUUUCUAUUGGGACGUUGUAAGAAAAUCUUCAAUGGUGAUAAGAUAUAAUGCAUUUGUAAUCCAUCUUGUUCAAGAUUGGUGCUCCAUGUGAAAAAAACAAGGAUUCACUGUGAGUUUUUCCCAAAGACAAGUAUUUGUUUUGGCCUUUUCUCUUUGAGUCGCACUAUCUCUGGGUUUGGAUUCAAGAUCAUCCAUUUUCUUUAAUGUGGAGGUCCAUUAUGUUUACCAAAGUGCUGCAUUUUUUAUCAAUACACAGGGAGACAUUGUACUACUGAUGCUGCCUCCUAGUCUAUUUGCACUUGUAUUUGAAGAUCCUAAAAUGUUGGGAUCAAAUAAGAAGUGGAAACAACUUCAGAUUUGGUAAAAGCUCGAUCUUUGUUCACAUCAAAGAACUGUUUAUGGGGUUUGGCCUCACUUUUCAGAUGUUGAAAAUGUCAACUACGGAAACAAUCAAAGCCCCACUACUAGAUCAAAUAUUAAAUUUUAGAUAAGUUAAAAGCUAAAAUUAAAUAAAUCGAUCAAAUAAAAUGGGAUAUGUGUCCAUAGCGAAGUGGGGGCAUAGGCAAUGAAUAUAUUACGUUGGACGACCUAGCUGGACCCAUGUCAUUCAUUUGAAAGUUAGGUUUGAAAAAUAUAGUGUAAAUUUUUUUAAUUAGUUAGUAUUUAAAUUUAUAUAAAAAUAGACAUAUGACAUAAUAUAAAUUAUUUUUAAGUAUUUCACCUGCGAACUGACACACAUAGGAUAUUUUAAAUAAAUUUAAGAAAACUACUGGUGCAUCAGAAAUUGAAUCGCCAAUAUCAUCUUAAAUUGGAGUGUAGAAAGUAUUACUUGAUGUCCCCUCAUUUGACAUAAGAUUAAAAUAUAAUAUCCAGCAAUAUAUUGUGUUUGUGAUAUAUUUGCAGGCAACCUCAAUAGUUUGGCGUGGCACCAUUUCCACCACUAUUCACUUUGAGUCUAACUAUUUUUUUCUUUUCAAUAAUUGUGAUAUUUUAUCUUCUCCUCUCUAUUUACCGUAUGUUUGUAACUUGUGAAUUUGUUUUGUUCCAACAAUUAAAAGGAUGGAAAAAGAAUUGGAGUAUUUAAAGCAAGAAAACAAUACUACCAUCUUUUUAAUACUUUCGAAAGUUAGAUUUACGGCCAACAUACAACGUUAUCGAUAAGUAAAUGUUCUUAAAAAUAUAAAAUGGGUAAAUCAUACAAUUAUAUGUAUUAAAAGAGACAUGAAUCUGACAAUGGAGCCCCUUAGGAGAUCUCUCUUUCAUAUAAUUAAUAAUGAUUCCAAAAUGGCCACUAACUUUUACUGUUACAGUCAUUUCAAGGACCAAAUUUGGACCCAUAUCAUUUGUUAUUCUUCUUUCAUCAAGAGGACUAGUGUACAACAUCCCAAUUGCACCUACAUAUCUAACCUAUGUUUUUGCCAAAAAUAUAGGCAUGUCUCUCUAGGUCUAAAUUUCUCAGAUUUGCUUUUAUUAUAAAAUUAAUAAAAACAUAAACAAACGACAUUUUUAUUCGUUUCUCUUUUUUUUUUUGAGUACAUACACAUCCGUUUAUUACAAUCAAUCUCUUAUACAUUCAAUUUUUUUGAGAGGCCAAAGUUUCUUCUCACAAAAAUAUUUUGCGAGACGAAGUUAGGAUUUCGGACUAGAAAUAUCAGUAUAUAUAUGUACAUUUUAAGACAGGCAGUAAUGUUAUGAAUGGGAGUGAACAUUUCACUAGUCACUAGAAGUUUCCAUGCCAACACCCAACUUUUAUUCUUUAUAUAAAUGGACAAGAAAAUGAAGAGUUACCAGAUUACCCAAAAUAUAAUUUUCACACAUGAACUCAAAGGAAGAAAGUUGUCCAUACUCCAUUAGAGAAUAAAUUUGAUUUAUCAAAAUAUAUAUACUAUGCCUACUCCAUGUAAAAAAUUAAAAACUUCAUUACUCCUCCUCUCAUGAGAAAGAAUGUUUUGGAUAUUCCAACUAGUUAACACAAAAUUUUACAAGUGUGGAAAGCUUAAGUAAACUUACCAACAAAAACAACAAGAUAUACAGUAAACCUGACUCAACUUAAAAAAGGUGGAGAGACUUGUUUCGAUAUUCAAACAAAUUUACCAGAAAUACUUAAUGAGGAUUAACCCCUUUUCCCCCUCCCUAAGAGUUACACCUAUUGAGAAAUUUUAAUAAUUCAAUGAUUAGAAAAGAGAAUUAGCAAAGAAUUAAUCCACAGAAUAGUACUGUGCCCAUUACUGCACAGCCUGGAAGUAGCCUUGAAAAUCUUUUGAGAAGCCGACAAGUAUGAGAUAAUUCCAAGCAUCCCCAUGUGAGAUUUUCCCUUUUUUUCCUCACCACUCCAGCUUCUCUACUUGCUCUGCUACCUUCCUUCAACUUACUGUCACUUUCUUGAGACUGUGUGACUUGUGAGUUUUCUUUGUUGUGAAUUCUGUUUUCUAGUCUUUCAGCUUCAAAACAUGUGGGAAUCAGAAAAUGAGUCUGUUGGUGGAAGAGAUUAUGGUAAUGGAGUUCACAGUACUAGCAAGAAUGGAGUCAAGACGGAUAGUUUUGAGCAAAAAGGACAAUCUUGGUAUGUACUACUUCUUUAAAAUGGUUGAAAUUUACUAUGGUGACUUGUUGAAAUACCUCAAACUUACGUGUUCUUUGAAUAGGUAUGUAGCAACUGAUAUCCCAAGUGACCUUUUAGUUCAAAUUGAAGAUGUAACUUUCCAUUUACACAAGGUGAUUGAUUCCCUAUAACUCAAAACACUUGAAAUUUCUAUCUCAUAUCUUAUUCUUGUGGAAAAUAAUAUGACUGACUAGUUUCUCUUUGUUUACUUCACUACUGAAUAUGUAUAUAAACAAAACAAAAAGUAUCCUUUGCUUUCUAGAAGUGGGAAAAUGAACAGAAUCAUAUAUGAAUCAAGGGAUGCAGAAUUGAACAAGAUAUCUUUAAAUGAGUUACCAGGUGGACCUGAGGCAUUUGAGCUAGCAGCAAAGUUCUGUUAUGGUAUUGCUAUUGAUCUAAGUGCAACCAAUAUUUCUGGAUUAAGAUGUGCAGCAGAGUAUCUUGAAAUGACUGAGGAUUUAGAAGAAGGCAACCUUAUAUUCAAGACUGAAGCUUUUCUCAGCUAUGUGGUUUUAUCUUCAUGGAGAGACUCUAUACUGGUGCUAAAGAGCUGUGAAAAGUUAUCACCAUGGGCUGAAAACCUACAAAUCGUUCGAAGAUGUAGUGAAUCCAUUGCAUGGAAAGCUUGUGCCAAUCCAAAAGGAAUAAAGUGGCAAUAUACUGGUAAGCCUGCAAGUGUUUCUAGUCCGAGUUGGAAUCAAAUGAAGGAUUCAAGCCCGAGUAGAAACCACCAAGUACCUCCUGAUUGGUGGUUUGAAGAUGUUACCAUUCUCAGGAUUGAUCACUUUGUGAGAGUAAUUACUGCAAUCAAGGUAAAGGGAAUGAGACAUGAACUGAUUGGCGCUUCCAUUAUGCAGUAUGCAACUAAAUGGCUGCCAGGUUUAAUCAAAGAAGGAUCCGGAUUGGCGGAAGAUGGCUGUAAUAGCAGUAAUAGUAAUGGAAGCAGUAGUUGGAGAGGGGGUCUCCAUAUGAUAAUAGCAGGAUCAGGAGAAGAAAUACCAACUGUCCAGGCCAAAGAUCAAAGGAUGAUUGUUGAAAGCCUAAUUAGCAUACUCCCACAACAGAAGGACAGUGUUUCAUGUAGCUUCCUUCUUCGACUAUUGAGGAUGGCAAACAUGCUUAAAGUGGCUCCAGCUUUGAUAACAGAACUGGAGAAACGCGUAGGCAUGCAAUUUGAGCAGGCUACAUUGGCUGAUCUCCUCAUACCAUCUUACCAUAAAAGUGAAACCAUGUAUGACAUUGAUCUCGUCCAGAGGCUUUUGGAACAUUUCAUAAUUCAAGAGCAGACAGAAAGUUCAAGUCCUAGUAGAUAUCCAUUCCACGAUAAACAUAUGCAGGAUGGAAGUCAAAGGGGUACAAAUCUAAAUGCCAAGAUGAGGGUGGCAAGGCUCGUUGACAGUUACUUAACAGAAGUAUCUAGAGAUAGAAAUCUUUCCUUGACAAAGUUUCAGGUCUUGGCAGAGGCUUUGCCAGAUUCAGCAAGAACAUGUGAUGAUGGACUUUAUCGAGCAAUUGAUUCCUAUCUUAAGGUAUUUUAAUCCAAUCCUGUCAAUUUAUUGUUGGGUGCAUCCUUAAUUGAUAUCCUUAAAGCCAUUGCUGUUGAGCUUGUAGUUUGAUUUAUCAUGAAUGUAGUUUGCCUUUCUGUUCUGAACUCUCAAUGUUCCAAUAUUAGCCUGCUUACAUAUCUUAAUAGUAAACUUACAGUUAUAACAAGUGGCAUGGUUAAGAAUUCUAGAAUGUUGUAUAUGCUAAAGAUCAAAUUGAUCACAUAGAAGUAAAUCGUCUGUAAAUAUUGAAAUUAUGCUGUCUGCAUCAUAGAAUUCUAGCCCAACAUGCUUAUUUUUUUAACAGAAACUCACUCACUGAUAUACAACAUAACAGGCCCAUCCAACACUCUCAGAACAUGAAAGAAAGAGGCUUUGCAGGGUGAUGGAUUGCCAGAAACUCUCUGUUGAUGCUUGCAUGCACGCUGCUCAGAAUGAAAGGCUCCCACUACGAGUGGUGGUGCAAGUUCUCUUCUCUGAGCAGGUGAAGAUAAGCAAUGCAAUAGCCAAUAUCUCUCUCAAAGAUGAAGGGGAAACUCAUUAUCAACCCCUGGUAUCACACCAUAAGUCAUUGCUUGAAGCAACGCCACAAUCAUUUCAAGAGGGAUGGACAGCAGCCAAGAAGGACAUAAACACUCUUAAGUUUGAACUAGAGACUGUGAAGACUAAAUACGUAGAACUCCAAAAUGACAUGGUUGACUUACAGAGACAGUUCGAUAAGAUUGCAAAACCAAAACAAGCCUCAGCAUGGACUGCAGGUUGGAAAAAGUUGAGCAAGCUCACAAAAACGACAAAUGUAGAAACACAUGACAUCAGUAGUCAGAUCCCAAAUGCUGAACAGACCACAAAGCCUAGAAGGUGGAGAAAUUCCAUUUCCUGAGAAGGAAAGGCUAUGAUAGAAGACUAUCGGUUACAAGACUACCUCACAGAGUCAUUAUGUGUUACCUAAUAUUCAAAUUAUCAUGCUUCUCCUAUCACAAGAGUAGUUAAGACUUUCAUUUUCAUUGUAGAUAGAAAUUGUGAUAAUAGCACAAUUUAUUAUAGGUUCUCUAGUUUUACUGGUGAUUCGUUUCUCUAUAAUGAUUGUACCAUCUAAAAUUUGCAUUCGGAGGUGCAGUAAAACUGGUUUUGCUUGGUUACAUACCACCACAGACAUGCAGUUAACUGAUUAUUAUUCUGUGGCUAUCCAUAAAGAAUUACAUGAUAUAAAAACUAAUUUGACCAAGUGUAAUACAGACUAAUGUAGUAUUCUAUGUCAAUCGAGAAGCCAUAAACUAAAUGAAUAAGAUACAGCUCUGUAUCUGGUCUCUCAACAGUAUGUAGUUCAUUAGAGCAAAAAACUUAGUGAGGUAACUUUCAAGAAAAUACUUGAUUACCACUAAAGGUGCUCCUAGGUUAGAAAACUGGUGGUGAAAUGGAAUAUCAGAAGCAUUGCAUAUCUUUCUGAAUCAAGUCACGUCUUAACCAACAUAACAUGUCAAGUAGAUAAGAAGGCAACAUAACAUGGCAAGUAAGUUUAAACUUCCAAACAAAUGAAACAAGGAGAUAAUGUAACAAAAUAUAAGAGGUCUAAUUUCAACUCAAUUACAUUAAGCAUCUUAUCAUUCUGAUGAACAAGGAUAAAGACGGUGUUUGGGUCAGCUUGUGCGCGGUUCGACUAAUCUCCCAUAUAUAUAGUACCUACUACCUCUCACCAACACAAUUGUUGAGUAAAUCAACCUUAGGGAUAGCUUUUAUGCAUUGGAAAGUAGCAAAGGAAAAUUAUUGUAACGAAUUUCCAGAAGAUCAGUUGCUACUUGAUUACCUUUAGAAACUUCCGGCUUCAAUAUUAGUGAAAUGUAAUGAAUAGUCAUGUAACCAAAACAAAAAAGAAGUAUCAACCAACUAAAAUUGUAAUGACAUAAUUGUGGAGUAAUAAAGAAACAAGCAAACACAAACUAGAAGAUCUCCAAUUAAAAGGCUUGUGAUGGAUGAAUAACUUAAGUAACAUACAAGAAUGACGAUUAUGUCAUGUCUCAAAUUAACUUGCCGAAUCCCAAAAGAUAAACAUAAUAGCAGGAAUGAGUGUUUUAGAGCUCUAUAUCUCUCUGUCUCUUCUACUUGUUCCUUCUUUCACUUUACAAGAUUAGUACAUCUGUCUUGGCGGACUUGUCUGUCCAGUAGUUGAAAGUUUCAGACAGAUGGGAUCGAAAGCCUUUCACGUUGACUCCUUCAUUGUUCUAUGCACAAAGUGGAUGUAACAUGGAAAUAUUAGAGGACAAAAACUUGGGAACUACUUCCUCCAUGACACUACUCACUAGAUAACAAACAAGCUGCUGGUUCAUUGACAUAUAUGUUGUAUUCCUUAAUUUCCAAUGAUGAUAUUCAUUAAAUGAAUCUCUGUACUUUCCACUUAUUGAAGGUAUGCAAACCUCAUUGAUCUUUAUAGGCGUAUAUAAAAUUUGAUGUUCGGUGUACAAGAACAUAUAAAGGGGUUUAUAUGAUUUUGAACUAUCUAUGUAUUGCAUUUGGGCGUUCAGAUCCUUUCACUAACAUGGCUCCAAAAGACUAACUCGCUAACAGAGCACGUUCUUGGAGUUUUACUGUUCUCCUAAGGAUAUGUGACGCGAAAUUUCAAAAACUAGUGCAUAAACAAUGAACAACGAUGAUAGUAACCACAAAGCUAAGCUAAAGUAAGAUGAGUUUCCAGUCCAACACAUAAAUUGUUAUACAUCAGAACACUUUUUUUCCUUAAUAAAUUACAUGUUACAAUCAUGCUUGUUAAAAUUAGUAGCGCUUCUUUACCUCAUUAAGAUUAGUAAGGUAAGACCUAGUCUCCGUUGCAUGUACUUAUCCUUGUUGAGGAUCUUUUGUUUUUGUUAGUAAUAAAAAGUCGCUAGACACGCCAUUUUGUUUUCCUUUUUGCAGUUACUCUUGGUUGAAUAUUAGGUUUGCCCCUUGCUGGAUGUGCUUUAGAGAUUAGACCAUUAACUUCAGUUAAGGUAGGUAGAAAAGUUAUGUUAGUGUAAAAAUCCUAAAAUAAUAAUAGGGUAAUACCAUUUAUGUAUAUAUUUCUUUCUAAAGAAGAAAUGAAAAUUAUAACCAAUUGCACACUUUCACACCCUUUUCAUUGAUUUCAAUAUCUGAAUCAUAGCUUGCAAUACCUUCAAAAGAGCUGUGAUUAUGAAUGUUGACAUGGUAGCCCUUUUCAUAGAAUUAAUAAUACAAUUUUGGUAUGCGGAGUUAUUUUGUUCAGCAUUUGGUUAAUUAAUUAGUCCCAAGAACUUACAAUUUGCACUAAAAGUGGUGGGGCUCAAUCCCAUAUAGAAGGUGAGAGAGCCUAAAUCUUAUGGAUAUUCUCGUCUAUCCUAUCUCACGUACCAAACAACCUCUAGGAUUUAGUUACAUCCAUUAAUAUUCAACAGUUUAAUUAAUUUUUUCCAUCAUAAAUGCAAUUUAACUUGCUAUUAUUAGAUUAACUUUCAAAUUACCCACUAAUUAGUAUUAUAAAUAGUUACAUAUAACUUAAUCUGAUGAUGGUAUACAAACUUUUUAGAACACCAAUAUAAAGAAGUUUAACCUCAGAAAACAUUAAUCUUUCUCCAUAUGGAAAUAAAACAACCCAUUUCCAGUUUAAUAACAGUAAUAAUAAAAAAUAGACAUCAGUAUCCAUUCAACACAAGGUGCAAGCAAAUAUGAAAAGGAUCACAAGAACACAGAGGAGGCAAAAAUAAAAAAAUCUUAUUACUAGUAUCAUUUAAAGUAGAAAAAAGCAUAAAGACAACACACACAGCAAUAAUAUGAUGAAACACAAGGGUCCAUCAAGCUCAUAAAAAGACACCACGCUGAAAACUCACAAGUCUCCAACUACAACUCACCCAUCCAAAGUGGAAACAAACCUAACUUUAAGACAAGAUUUGAUCAUGUCUCUCCAUCAGCCUUUUCAUGAUAAGCUUAGAGAGAAGGGCCCCCUUAUUCAAUGCACUUCUUCAACAUCAAUGCCAUCACUGCCCUUUGUGGAAUCAACAGAAAGAUCAAAACAUCAUAGCUACUCAUUCUGACCUAUAACAGUGGGAGACUCUGACCCUGUGCUGGUGAGAGAUAGCAAAUACCAAGCGAAAUAGUUGCAACAAACUGACCCCAACAUAACCAACCACAAAAGUAAACCAUCAUACAGUCAUUCAAUUCAAGAAACAUAAUAGGGUGGAUGGUGGGACCCCAAAUCACCAAAUGCGCAUGCAUAGAAACCAUGGUUUUCUCAAGAUUUUAAAGGGUCCCCCUCAUUCACAGCACUCAUCUUUUGAACUUUGAAAUUCUACUUUCUUAACCACAAAAGCUAAAAAUAAUCAUUCCUCGUCGACCAUAGACAUUCCCCUUUUUGUUCUACCCCUUGCAAGUAAAAGAUCAAAAGAAUCCCACUAAAUCUUUUCCUCUAGUGGAUAAUAAUACUUGUUGCACUGUAGGACUGAUGAGGAUGGCAAAUGCUUCACAAUUUAACUACUUUCAACCAAAUAAUGAUAUACGGCUUUUCUGUACUAUCCAAGCAACUGUACCCCUAAAAAGUCAUAAUGCUACUGUUGUAGGGGUUGGAUACUAGUCUGUUCUUUAACAAGAGGCUGGGGGAUACUCUUGAGGGAGCUCAGAUCCUAAGGCUUUGGCUUUACCCCUCAAAGACUUCAAGUAAUUGAUUGCUUCAUCAAUAACCAACAACGGGUCCUUGCUCUUUAUCCCAGGAAUCAAGCUCUCAAGAAUCCUCAAGGUUUCACGAAUUUUAACUUUCCUUUCCCUAGUGCUCAAACUGGAAUCCUUAUCCUUCCCACUAGAAGGAAGAGAGCCUCUAACACAUUUUGCUUCCACAUCAUCAUUGGGCCAUCUAGAUUCUAUGUAUGAUGAUUUCUUGUACCCACCAUCUAGCAAUCUUUGCCUUUUGCAUGUGCCAUCAGAACUGGCAACUUCUUCUGUAAGUUCCACAGACUGUUGCUCAUGCUCACCGCAGCCGCAGCACCCCUGUUUUGCACAAGGAGAGCGAUCUGUGCUAGUUACUUCAUCAUCCUCACCAUAAAAAUCAUCAUCUUCGUCGCCUUCAAUGUCAUCAGAAGAGAAAAGCAACGCAUUGAUCUCAUCUGUAUCUUCAAGCGUAUUACUUUCUUCACCAUUAACAUAACUUUCAUCCGAUUUCUCUCCAAUAACGGGCUUCACUUGAAAUCUUUGCUCAACUACAACAUUCAGGUUCUCAUUUUGAUGCAAACCAUAAGCACCAAACACUUCUUUCGGUGUAAUAAUUUCAUCCUCAGCAGGACGACCUUGACUAAAGAAAAAUCUAGUUUGAUUUCCAGAUUGAUCACAAAUGAGAAACCUCUUCUGAGGAUUUGUAGAUGCAUCAGUUGGUGGGGACUUAAACCCAAUCAAGUGAGGCAGAAAGCAUUUAGUAUCACUUGAAUACACAUUUUUGGUGGGAACUAAGUUUGGCCGCCAAUUGACUCCAUUGUGACAUGCUUCCAUGGAAUUCGGCAAACAAGGGAUAAAGCAUGAACGCCUAGGAGAAACUGCAUUUGCAGCACAUAUGGCAGGGGUAUACAGAGAUGGAACGCCUAGGUGAUGUCCAGGUUGCAAGAGUGUAGUGGCAUAAUUCAAAUUUGGUGAAGUCCAUGCAGGAUCCUGCUGGUAAUAUUGGAGCUCGCUGGUCGUAACCAUCUAGACAAAAGAGAAACCUAACAUGCAUAAUGUAAGAAAUUAGAUGGAAAACCAUAACAAAAAGCAACAGAAGUUUAACACAAAUAGCAGCAGAAAGACUAGAUGCAUACCAGUAAUAUGAAUUGUACAAAUUCCACCUUAAAUUACUUUAAGGACGCAAAUAACAAGAAAUUACUAUAAAGCUGGAUUUAAAACAAAGGUAUGAACUCAGAGCAUCUACGUCACAGGCUUCAACAACUGACGGAAGUAUUCAGCCUGGUAAGCAAAAAAACAGACUGUUAGUUUGGCAGCUUUUCAAUUACAUCAUAGAAGCCCACAACUGAGUAGAACAGUUAAAUAUCACAGUAAUUAUCCAUAAGUGAGGCAAUAAUAUAGAACGAACCUGGCAAUUCUCCAAUGGUUGAAAGCAUGCUAUAAACCUGACUCUAAUCGUUGCUCUCCCCGUGAUUCCAUUCUCAUGCUUUGAGGCCCGAAAUCUUGUUUGGCUUGCGGCUUGGCACACCAUAACUACUUUUAACCUUCCAAUGAAAUCAAAAUCUAUGCCAAAGACAAUUUCUGAAGCCCAAGAGUAAUAGGUAACUAGCUUUUGGAGGAAAAUGGAGACUACAACAAAGGAGAAGCUUGAAGAAAUUGCAGUAUGAGAAAAGCAAUCUGAAAGACCAAUAAUGAGCACAGGAUGACAAAGUGCAAACAAAUCAAAAUCAGGACUCCGAGGAUUAAUUUGAUUAGCAGUUGCCUAUCUUUCAGCUAAUCCUAUAGAUUUAUCAAGAAAAAAGACAAAACUAACUGGUUACAGUUGAUAGGCAGAUGAAGAGAAUGGUGAGACAAAAAAAAUCUGGCUUAAUCGGAGAAAUGACUUAAAGGAUCACCCUGCAAUACAAGUUCAAGGGGAUGACACAGCAAAGCACAUCAAUUGACAGACUCAGCCACCGCAUAUUGUUACUCCUUUACACAACAGAAGUUUUCACAGUUGUGGUAUAUUGUCAAUAGGAAGUUAGUGCACCUGAAAGAUUUGGCAACAUAUGUAUCAGAGUCAUGAACCAGAACAACUAAACAGUUUGCAAUGUAAUAUCACCAAAAUCCUUGAGAGAAAAUAGAAGUGUAAAUUACUAGACAGUGAUGGUUUUUAACCCACACAAUGUAGCUGAAACCUAUCUCUUCUUCCAUUUCAUAUGAAUAAUAUUCAAAAAAAAAAGCUAAAGGAAUUGAAGGGAUGUGGAGUAACUUAGUCACUAGGCACAAAUCAAUCAAAAUCAAUAACCAAAUCAAAUCAGGCUCCUAUAUCAGGACACUAUACAGCUCUCUAUGAGUUCUCAUGAACUUAAACACCAAAACCCAUACUAAAUCCAGAUAUCUUUUGCAAUAAAUAUAAAAUAAAUAAAAAGAAACAAAACUGAUGUUCUCAACACUAAAACCAUAAGUUGAAGGCCAAAUCAUCCAAGAAACCCCAUCAAGCAAAUGCUUCUGAAAAUCUUUUGAAGAGGCAAAAACACACAAACACGGGGAGAUUGAAAUCAAGAAUUCAGAAAAAACAUGAAAAAAUGAUAAUAAGGGGUUUUCAGAGAUAAGAUUAAAAAGAUUUCCCAAAGAUCCUAACCGUCACCAAACCAGAUAAACAAAAGCCUCAUAAUUUAAAGUAUCAAGAUUACGUAAAGAAACAUAAACAGUGUGCAAAGUAAAAAAUUCUAGUGAAAAACGUAGAAUGAAGAGAUCCAAGACAAAUGUAAACCAGCAAGCAGUAUGCAGAGAGAGAGAAGCAGAUGCAGAAUGUAAGCAGGUAUAAGAAGAAAAGAUGAAAGAAGUGAUGCAAACAUCCAAGAAAAAACACACAUGGAGAUACAAUCAAGAAUUCAGAAAAAAAAAUAACAUCAAGAAAACCUAAAGAUGAAAAACUGAUAAUAAGGGGUUCUCCAAGAUUAGAUAAAAAGAUAUCCCAAAGAACACAACUUUCACCAAACCAGAUAAAUCAAAGUGCUUAUCAUUUAAAUUAUCAAGAUUAUGUUAAAGAAACAUAAACAGUGUCUAAACUAGGGAAAAAAAAGGUAUCCGGAAACUUACAAUGAAGAGAUUCAAGACAAGUGUAAUUGAGAGAGAAGAGGCAGAAUGUGAAGUAAUUAUUGUUUGAAAGUAGAAGAAGAGCAGAUGAAAGAAGAGGUGAUGUAAUUUGGAAAGGAUAGCAUUAUAUAUACGUUCUAAUGACAGCUUUACCCUUCAUUACAAUCAUAAAUACAAUAGUAUCCUUUCUUCUUGUUGUUUUUUUCACGUUUGAGUUGAAAUACCUAUUAAUAAAACAAUUAUUGAUAUAAUAAGUAUAUUAUCAUGUUCCUACUAAUCAAUGUCUAGGAUCGGUUUUGAAAAUUAACGUGAAUGUUAGGAAUAAAACAUAGAAUAAAAUAGGGGAUUGUUUGUUUAUAUGUUUAAAAAAGUGACAAAUAAAAAUAAAAAUUUAUUUUGAGAAGAAAUAACAAAUAAUAAAAGAGAGUAACGUUUUAAAUACUUUUUUACCAUUAUCCUUGUAUUUUAAUGUAUAAGAAACACUAGUAUUUUGAACUCAAGAUUCAAACCAGGCCAAUUGUCUCGCAUAAAGUGAUCAAAUUGAGUACUAUAAACAUCAACGUGCAACAAAAUCAACAAAAAUGAUGAUUUUGCAAUCAAGUAUAAUUAUUAGCAAUGAUUAUAUUCAACGAAAAAAAAAGUGAAUUUAAGCUGUGACAAUAAAACAUGAUGAAACGCACACUUAAUUUAGUCCCUUGUGCCUUCGAUAUUUAUGAGGAUCAUCAUGCCAGUAUUGAUUAGCUUUAAGGACUCAGGCCGUGACUUUAGGAGGCAAUGGGUAUUUAAGGUCCAUUAAACAUCAUUAGAAAGUUAAGCAGAAAGCAUAAUUGUAAAUUGAAAAGCUUAAUUACUACUCCACAUGAUUCCAAAAGAGAAAAUAAAAUGAUUAAAACCAUGGUGUGAAAUAAGACUUUCAGCCAAAGCAGGUUCAACCACUCGCUAUAUAUUAUAUUAGAUUCAAUAAGUAAUAAUCGACAACCACUUCAUAUAAUUAAGUAAUUUUUUAAAUAAUGGAUAAUCAUAAGAGUAAAUUUAGGUCUGCACUUUUCAAGACACAAAGCAACCACUAGCAUCAAUUGAAGGGAUUUGUUAGUUUGUUGCUGAUUUAUUUACAUUGUAACAAUUGGCAGUGACACAGAAGUAGAGAUGUGUAGAGUUGUGAGACAAUAACAAAUUAACAUGACUGAAGGCUUACCAGAGAGACCAAUUUGAUCUCUAAAUGGUAAUUGAGAAACAAAGUAUGUAACAAACAACAAAGUUCCUUUCAAGAUGAGUAUCUUACUGUGGAGAGCCCUAACCAUUGAGGGGUACUGAUGAUAAGGUGGGUAGCUAAUGAUUGAUGUGGUAGACCCUCAUGGUGCACCUUUUUGGCCACAAUCAACUGGAUCUAAGAUGGUGUGGCUUCUUCUAUGCCACACUAGGAAUCGAAGUUUUCAUGAUAUACAAUGAAGACAAAUAUUACUCCACCGCUGGACUCGUAAAAACACCACUAUCUCUGAAAUUAUCACCUCAUCUACUUGUGGCCUAAAGCAAAGUAAUGAGGUCAUUCCAGAUUGCUCAUAUGAUCAUUCAAGCUCCAGGCAAUGUCGCAUGGACUAGAAUGGUGCAUCAGCAAAGGGAUAAGAUAUAUCAUAGCUCAUAAAUGGGAAGGCUGUCAUUCCUUGCAAAAUGACACAUUCAGUGAUUAAGAACCUGGUAUUACAGUAUGACAUAGUCAUCAAACACUGCCUGACAGAAGCCAAUCAAGUUGACAAGCACCAGCUACAAACUGGAAAAUUCCUCAGACUAUCAUGAACAUCAAGAGUUGCCUCACAGAUAAUUACAGGUCUUUGUUUCUUAACACUGCAUAAGAGCUGGGAUCCACCCAGCAUACCCUUCAGGAGAAGGGAAUAACGGGCAAGACACAAGGGUACACCACAAAGACAAUCACACUCACAUUCUCAUUCCCAUCGUUUCCUCCUAGUUUUGUCAAAUUGAGUUUCCACCAAUUCUUUUAAGCUAUCAAUUUUUGUGAUGAAACAUUAGGCUAUUAUACAUAAGGCAAUAGGCAAGCAUAUAGAAUGCGACAAGGAGAAUAGUACCCCAUAUUAGUUGGAGUUGACCAUACAAACUCUUACAUCCAUUCCAUAUUAUAUUUCAUUACUAACUAAUUUGUCUUGCAAGGCAAAUUAGUAGUCUCAUAGAAGACCAUUAUCCAGACAAAAGCUUCAAAGCAUUUAUUAUUGCCUUAAUCUGUUUCAACAAGUUGCAUUAGAGCAAAAGAGUACAUGAGCAGUUCUGAUACCCUCAAGCUGUCUACUGUAUAGUGUACAACAGCUCCAUCGGGAAUGCCCAAAUGUUAGCAAAUUGCUCAUUGUGCACCUAGGACUUCAAUCUCAAAAACCAGAACUGAGUUGGGCUGAAUACCCCAUGCUGGAAAUCCACCAGCACCAUAAGCAUAAUCAGGGGUGCACUGCAAAAUUGAAGACAUCAGUUUAAACCUCUCCUUAUAGAAGAUCUUAAUACAUAAAAGCCUAGAAACUUUUUUCAUAUAUGUACACAAUUAUAGUAAGAUUAAUACUCUUAGGAAGAAUGCAAUUAUUGUAUCAUCGCCAUUCCAUUAUAAACUUUGCAGCCAAUCCCAUCAAAAAGAUGGAGAUGAUGUGACCAUGAAAUGGGCAGUAAUACGAGGCAGAAAUUGAAAAACGACAAUUAGGGGGAGUUAUCUGAAACCAUCAAUCCACUUUAGAGUGUCAAUUGUAGAAAACAUCAUAAUGUCUUCCUAUAAGCCAGUCAGCCAAAAGGAUAGAGACAUUUCAGUGAAGUGAAAAUAAAUCAAAACUCAACAAUGUAAAAUAACUAGGAGAUAUCAACCUCCUUAUUUUCCAAUUGACUCUUAGUUUUCUGACUAUAAACCCAUAACUCAAUGGGAGUCUAAACUUCAUAACAUGGAUAACACAAACAUAAUUAACUCCGUGAUUGAUUUGACUUCAACUGAGAAUCAAAAGAAAAGAGAAGGCAUUUACCGUUAAUCGAGCAACUUCUCCCAAUUGCAUGCCCAGUACUCCUUCAUCCCAUCCUGUAAAUAAGGAGACAUAAGAAUAAAAGAAAUGCAAGCUGAGAGAACUGUCACUAUGGUCUACAGCGUUCUUAAGUUUCUCCCUUUGAAGACCCCAGAAGGAGGUGGGGAUUUGUUCAUAAUGGGCACAUGUCUGACAAAUAUAGAAGGAUCUAAAAAUGCCACUACAAAAGUUCACCACAGCCAAAUUUUACUUCGUAAGUCAGCUAUGAGCUUUUGCUUUGAGAAAGAAGUGUUAGUUUAUCCAACAUUAAUCUGGUAUCACUCAAGAGACCGAAGAAUCAGCUGAACUAUAUGUGUGCUUCAAGGGAAAAGAUAUCUUAGCUCCUUCCAUAGUGUCUUUUCUAGAAUGAUAGCAAGUUGGUUGUCUCAACUUAAAGACCUACCAUCAUUUGCCAACAAAUCUAUAACUCUACAUGAAUCCACCUAUGUCACAUUUAGACCUCUUUGGCCACCAACGUAGUAAGCUUUUGUUUGCUUUACAAAAGUGUAAGUUCUCUUGCACUAAAAGCUGUCCAGUAUAAGAGCUAUAAGCUUCCGGACCACUUCUAUGGUCAGAAAUUGGGUUUGAGAGAAAUUUAAAAUGACAAUUGAAAUCAAUAAGAAAAGUAGUGGGAUCACUACUAUAAGUUCCAUUCAUGGUUAGUCCAAUAUAAGACUACUAAAUUUUCCAAAUUAAUUGUCCAAUUGAAUACAUUAUCACGCAUUACUUAUAAUAACAUACUAACGCAUAAACUAGGAAAAACAAAUCAUAUAAAUCGAGAUAUACAGGAGUCGUAAGUACCUUUGAUAACUUUGCCUUGGCCGAUCUUGAAAGAGAAAGGCUGCUGGCCUGGAUCCUUAGUGCUGUUACACGUAAAAUUAAGCAAAGAUAUAUACUACACAUAACCCUGCAUCAAACUUCAUAAAUAAAUAAAAAAAAACAGUUUACCUCCAGAACUUCUGACUCAGGUCUCUAUCUUUCCCUGCAGGCAUAGAACAAUAAAAACAAUAUUAACCAAAAAUACUACUAAAAACUGUACUUACUAAAAAUCAAACUAUAUUAAAGAUCCGAUUCAUCUAUAAAGAAUAAAAACAGACUGAAUUAGAGAUUAACUAGUUUGAUGCGAUUAAUCCCUUGUGAAAAGAAAAUGGAUCUUUUUCUUUGGCGAAAAAAGAAAGAGGACUCACCGUAACCAGUGCAGUGGACGGUAACAGUUUGACCAGGCUGCGGUUUGGGGCCAUUUCCGGCUCUGAUAACUUCCUUCUCCACUCCCAUUUUUUCCGGUGAUUUUGAUGAAAUCUCCGACUUCUUGAUUUAGGGUUUGAUGACUGAAACUGUAGUGCUUGUCAAUUUCAAGGGUCAGUGUCACGUGAUUCUCGCGUGCGGCAGCGGAAUAUCUUCGUUACUUUCCUUUUUAUACCCUUUUACAUUUUAUUUUUUUUUAUAUAUGGGCGGAUUUCUAGCUUGUUCGAGGAGAAUAAAAAUUGCUUACUUUUUUUUUUUUUUUUGAAAAAAUGCGAUAAAUUAAGGUCUUAUUGUCUUUAAAUUUGUAUUGUUUUUAAUUUUUUGUAUUUUUUUUACUUACGUGAUAUCUAUAUAUCUCUCACGCGUCAAUUGUGUGGAUGCACGGAGUGUGCCACGUAUGACAAAAAGUAUAUAAAAUCACAAAAAAAAAAUAAGUUCAAGGGGUAAUAAGACCUUAGUUUAGUUUAAUUGUGUCUCUGGAUUUCGAUCAUAGUUUAGGGGGUAAUUGUGUAUUUUUCCUCUUUUUUUACUUCUUCUUUUGUAUGAGUUUUUGGCCGAAAUUAUCCCUAUCAUAUGACUAAACCUAAAGUAUAUCCUUUUAUUAAAUAAGUGAAAAAAAUCCUGAAUUAUUAAAAAAGUUGCAAGAUGUAUCCUUUUGUCUAUUUUUUUUUUUUAAGAAACUCACGUCGCAAUUAAAAAUGUGUCAAGUCAAAUGAAUAUAUGUUCACAUGGUUAAGCUAAUCAAAUUAGGCGGUUCUUUUCAAUUUUUUGAAAUUGAGGGUUUAAAUUAUAUUCAUACAAAAUAUAUUCAAAUUCUAAAUAUUCUUUGAAAAAAACAAAUACUACUCCAACUUCAAAAAUUUCCAAUAAAGUAAUUAUAUAUUUUUUAUUUUAAUAACUAAUCAGCUACAUAAUAUCACAUUAUUUCCAGCAUUUUUAUACAUGGUAUAAAAUGUGAACAUUGUAUACAUAAUAUACCCUCAAUAUUUUAUUAAAAACUCUCUAAAUAGUUGGAUUUAAUAUAUUUGAAAUGAUUUCUUUACGUAAUCUUUCUAAACUUCAGAACAUAAUGUAUGAAUUAUUCAGAAUUUAUGUAUUGGUUGAAGUCACAUGAUCGAGAAAUGCAAGUUCAACUUGAUGAAAUUGUUCGUACUAUGUGGGAAGAUUAUAUUAAAAACUACUACACAACAAUUUAUGUUCAAUUUUUUUUAUUAAAUUAAAGUUAGAUGAAACAAUUAUUUAAGUGUAGAACAAAUACCUUUGUAAUACUUUAUUAUGCAAUUUUAUUUUUUUAUUUGAUAAGAUUGAAUAAACAAUUGUGGCUAUUUAAUAAUUUUACAACUUCUGAAAUUUAUAUAUUUAUGAGAAAAUAUGUAACACAAAAAUUUCAUAUCACAUGUCCAAACAAAACUUCAAUUUCAUUGAUUCCAUAUCAUAUUACAUGACCAAACGGGCCCUUAGAUAAUAUAAGAAUGUACAUUAAAUUUGAGUCAUAGUUGAAAAAUGAUUUAAGCCAAAAACUCUUUUUCGUAGCAUACUGAAAAUAUAUUUUCUAUUACUUACUUAUUUUUAUAAAUUUAAAUUUCUCAAGUACCAUUAAUUUAAUAUUUUUUAAUUGUUCUAUCAAGAACACUAAUAAUUUAUGAGUCUGGAGCCUAAAGGGUAUAAAAUAUUAACAAAAAUUUCAAAACGGUAUAUAAAAUUUUAUACUAACCAAAACAGCAAAAUCGUUGCAUCAACAACGAUUUACUCCACCGAAAAAAGCAAAAUCGUUGCCUCUGCAGCGAUUUUGAAAAAUAUGUUUUUUUAAAAAAAAUGAAAUCGCUACCUAGGCAGCGAUUUUAAUUUUUUUAAAAAAAAACCGCUGCCUAGGCAGCGAUUUAUAAUUUUUUUUAUAAAAUCGUUACCUUUUUUUAAAAAAAUGUUGAAGUCGCCGCCCACGCAGUGAUUUCCAAAAAAAAAAAUCGCUGCCUAGGUAGCGAUUUUUUUUAAAAAAAAAUUAUAAAAUUUUUAAAUCGCUACCUAAGCAGCAAUGUCAUAUAUAUUUUAAAAUAUGUAAAUCGCUUAGCGAUUUUAUAAAAUAAUUUUUUUUAACAAAACAAUUUUAUAAAAAAAUCUUUUUUCAAAAAAAACGUUGUGUAGGCAGCGAUUUAAAAAUUUUAUAAUUUUUUUAAAAAAAUAAAUCGCUGCCUAGGCAGCGAUUUAAAAUUCUAAAAAAAAUAAAAAUUUUUUGGAAAUAGCUGCCUGGGCAGCGACUUCCACAUUUUCAAAAAUACGUAGCGAUUGUUUUUAAAAAAAAUUAAAAAAAUUAUAAAUCAGCGAUUUUUUUUUAAAAAAAAUUAAAAUCGGUGUCUAGGUAGCGAUUUUAUUUUUUUAAAAAAAAUUCACAUUGUGCAAAAUCGCUGCAGAUGCAGCGAUUUUGCUUUUUCCGGUGGAGUAAAUCGUUGUUGAUGCAGCGAUUAUGCCAUUUUGGUUAAUAUAAAAUUUUAUAUAUCGUUUUAAAAUUUUGUUAAUAUUUUGUACCUUUUAGGCUCCGGACUCAAUAAUUUAUUCGGCAUUAUACUCUCUCUGUCCACUUUUAGUUAUUAAAGUUUCUUUUUAGAGUCAAAUUAUGAGAAUUUUAAUUGAUAUUUUGUGAUAUAUUUUUUCAUCAUAAUUCAUAUUGAUUGUAUCAAUAUGAUGAAAAAAUAUAUCACAAAAUAUCAAUUAAAAUUCUUAUAAUUUGACUCUAAAAAUAAACUUUAAUAACCAUAUACUUAUUAAAUAUUUAAUUUUUUUAUUUAAGAUAUCAAAUUAAUGUAAUAUAAUUUAACUUUAAAAAUUAAUCAAAUUGAAUUUAAAAAAUACGAUAUAACAAUUAAAAAUAAACUAAGAAAGUAAGUAUUUAAAUUAAAAUAAAUACCUUUUUGGUAAGAUUUUCAAAAUGGAGUUGCAAAUGAAUUUAUCAGUUUACCCAUCAUUAAUAGUUAUUCAAUUAAGAUUUUUAAAAUUUCAUUGACAAGGCUGGUGCAUAAUACAAUUUUGCUUGAAUUAAAGGUGCAAUUUGGAAAUGUGCCAAAACAACAGUAAUUAAUAUAUAUAUAUAUAUUUAAACAUGUGAUUUCACGUUACUUUCAAUCAUGAGAUAGAAUCUCAUAUUCUCCAAAAAAUUAUAUCUUGGGAAGUCAGUAUUAUAUUUGAAAAUUUUUAAAUAUAAAAAUUGACCCAUGAAACAACUCCAUAUAAAUCUACUUGUCAUUUAUUUCAUAGGUAAAUGAAAUUUAUAAUCAUAUAUCGAUCUGGACACAUAAAGAAUUCUCAGCGUCGAGAGAGAUUUGAGAUUUUGUAAGUAACGUAGUGAGUGUUUUCUAAGAAGGGCUUCGAAGAAGAAAAUGAAAUAGGAAUAACUGCGCUGGUCAUAAUAGAUCGAUUUUCAUGCUAGUUCUUGCUCCAACAUGAAAGUGGACUGCCGAGCUACAAAUCCUACGACACAUAAUUAUUUUUAAAAAUUUAUCAUUCUCACCAACAUAUUUAUUAUUACUUUAAAUCAAUUCUACUUAUCAUCUAUAUUCAUAACUACUACUUCAUUGUCUAAUAAAAAAAACUACUUUUUCAUCUAUAGUGAGUGAACAAGACCGAUCACAAUAGCUUUGUAAUAGUUUAUUAUGUAAUUUUAUAAAAUUUUAUUUAUUUGUUAAGAUUGAGUAAAGAAUUGAGAUUAUAAUAGUUUUACAACUUUUUUAAUUUAUGUUUAUGAAAAGUAUAUGACACAAAAAUUUUAGAUCGAUUCAAAUAAAAUUUUAAUCUAUCUUGCAAUUUCAUAUCAUGAUUUUAUAUUCGCAUACCUUAGAAUAAGACAUUCCAUUUUAUGAUUAGAUGAAAUUGUUUUUAUUGUAUGAAAAUUUAAAACAGUCAUUACACUUUUCUCCAAGUGCUUAGACGAAUAAUAUAAUUUAGGUGACACGAUACAAUUCUAACACUCUUUACAUUAUUAUUUUUUUCUUAACCUCGUAAUAUAUGUAAAUUUCAUGUAUUUGCUAUGAAGUUCAUAUAAAAGAUGCAAUAGUGUUCUACGAAGUACAUUUUUUAGAUAUGAAUUUGGACAUAAUGUAGAAUGAAAACAUGCAUUUAAUGCAGACAUCAAUAGUAAUAUGUAUGUUGAGAAUUAGCUAUCGAGUGAUAAUGAUCCUUAAACUAUUUGCCUAUCGAUUGAUUAAUGAGAUAUAUAGCUUACUAUUGUUAAUUUGCUUUUAUCAUUUAAGUUAUUGAUUGUAUACUUUUUUACAUAUAAAAUUCAAAUAAAAUUUAUCGUAAUUACACAAAAUAAUUUUACAGCAAAGCAAGUUAGCCAACUUUCGACUAAAAUUACCAACUUUAGUUGAAUCUAGAAUAAAAAAUUAAACUGAUAAUAAAUAGAUUAAAUCAUAGGAACCAACCUAAUAAUUAAAAGCUCUAUUUGAUUUUUCAAAUAAUUGAAGAAGUAUAUAUAUUCCUCCCCCGGUUAUAACCCUAAGUUUAAAUAAUUGAAAGUUGUCAGUUUCCAUUUUGAUACAAUAAGAUAACGCCAAAUCAAAAUGGACCUUGAUACUCUGUCAGAGAUAAGAGUACUCAUGUGAGCAAUCAUGUCAUACCUAAACUUUAUCCACCGACACUGUUAACUUACUUAAUCUAUCAUUUAUAAAUCAAAUUGAUCAAUUAAUUUAAUACGAAAAAAGUGUUAUUGAGUUAAUGAAUUUCAAUGAUUUUAUAUAAAAGAAUUAUUUGAUUAUUGGUUCAAUAUUAAUUUUAUAAUAUUGAAUUAUUAGGUAAAGUUGAUAACUAAUUAAGAUAGUUGUAAUGUAUGACUUUACCUAUGUAUGAAUAAUAAUGUCAAUAUGGUUACUACCUUUGUUCAAUGCUUUCAAUUCGAAUUAUUGUCCUAGUUCUUAUAUUUGUGUUGCACUUGUAUAGUUUUUUCAUAUUAGUUACUAUUGUUAUGCGCAUUCUAUAAAAUUACAUUAUUAUUUUAUCGCGCCAAAUUGCGGAGAAGUCAUAUAAUUAUUUAAUGACCAUUUUUUUAUUAGUUAAUUCGAAAUGGAACUAUUGAUGAUAAAAAAUUGAUAAAUAAAAAAAUAUUUUGUUGAAUUAAUUAUUAAUUUAGCAUUUAUAAAAAUAAGGAAAUAAUAAUAUAUAAAAUCAAAUCAAACCGAGAAGUACAUCGUAAUAAACCUUAAAAAUGAUAAUGACAAUCAAUCAUGGAGCUAGGGGAUUUGAGGAUCAGUAAGGAAAUAGGCAAUAAUUUAGUUGAUUACAGUUUUAAUUGUGGAAGAAUUUUUCAAUUCAUAGUUUAAUUAAGUGGCCUAGUACGUAAUAUACUACUAAAUGUUUUUUCUUUAUUUAAUACUCCACCUUAAUAAAAGUAUUUUGGUUGGUGCGACGUAUUCUAAAGGGAAACUCAACUACUUGUCUACACGUAAAAGUAAAGAGUAGUUGUUGAAGGAAUUGAUUGAUAAUCUUAUUUUGCAUGCAUGGCCUAAUAUACCACUCCCAACUUUUAUUUUCUUUCUUUGUUCAUUUCAGGUUUAUGCAAUUAAUUUCUAUUAUUGUAAAACAAAAAUAUAUACAAAUGUUCAUUAACCAAAAAUCUCAUGCUUUCGACGGAUUUAUAUAAGAUAUAUUUUUAUCGUGAUUCUUAUUGUUUAUUUUUAUUUAUUUAUUUUAAAUUUUAUAUUCUUUUUUAAGAAAAUAAAUAUUUCAUUACCUGUGUUAAUUGACUAUGUAUAAUCUUAGGUAUAGAAAUUAAUUUGAAAAAUAAGUAAUUAAUAUUGAGAGUAAUAUAUACAAAAAAUAAUAUUAUUUUUUCUCUCAAUAUACUUAAAGUGAAAACCAAAAAUAAAUAUCGAUCAAAGUAUAUAAAAAACAAGUAAAAAUAAAAGCAAAAAAUACUUAGUAGUGGAGAUUUUGAAAAAAUGUAUAUAUGAUAUUUUCUAAAAAGAACCAUACACAUUCUGAAUAUUUUCAUUAAUAUUCAACUACUAUAUUACUAGGUCUUCCUUCAAGUUCUAAAAAUAUAAAAAAAACACUUUUGUCCGUUGAUGAUUAUCUACCUGUCUUCUACGUAAAUUAAAUUAAUUGCUUUGUCCUAAUUUAUUGCACAAAUAACGCUGUGUGGAACAUUUAAUGAAGAAAUGAAAGAAGUUAAUUAUCUAUCAUCAAUCCAUCAUCUUUCUAUUUGCAAUUUUCAUAAUUUUUAAAAAAAAUUAAAUAAUAGUAAUUUUAAUUAAUAUUUUAUUGUAUAUUUUUUAAUGUUGAUAUGUAAAAAUUUUAUAUUUAUAAUAUUUUUCAUUUAAUAUUUAAAUAUAUCAAACUAAUAAUUUAAUUUAGUUUUAAUAAUGAAUUAAAUUAACUUUUAAAAAAUGUAUGAUAAUUAACAUGAGAUGAAUAGAGUACUUAUCAAAUAAAAAUAUUUACAUCUGACUGUAUAUCUUUAUCAUCUGUACGUGUUAAUUUUUUUACACCAUAAAAUUUUACUCUUGACAUGAUACUUUUAACACGGUAAAAAAGAAAAAAUAGGAGGUAAAACGGAAAAAUAGUAUAACAAAGAAGUAACGUCCACACACGCAUGCAAAACCGCUCUAUUUUUUCUUAUUAAAUCCACCCGUUUCUAAUAUCUAUAUGCUUCAUAUCUUCUUCUUCAUCAUCCUCUCUUCAACAUUUUUUUCUCUUAAAAGACAAAAAAAAGGUUAUUUUUUCCCCUUAAUUGUUGAUGUUAGUUGAGUUAUAGAUCAUCUAAUUUCAUUUCUGGGUGUACCUAGAAACUCAAUUUUUCAUGGGGUUUUCUUGACCUUUUUAUUGAAUGCUUCCAACAGAAAAAAUCAUGGAGGUUGCUAGAAUUAGACAAUUGUUGCUCCUUUGGAGUAGAAUCAAAUCUACCCGUGUUUCUCUUGUGGGUGGCAAUCACACCGCCGCUAGGUUUUGUACUCGCUAAAUUCACCUUUCUUCCGUCGCUGGAUUUUCCCCUUUCUCUCUCUCUCUCUCUCUCUCUUCUUGUAGCACAAGGUACGAUCAGUUUUUACAGACUCUUCCGAUAGGUUUGUUGUAAAAGCAUGGAUUUUGGUUUUGUGUAUUGCCCCAAAAGGGGGGAAAUCAAGGGGAAUCAUUUUCCCGAGUUGAAAAUUGGGUUGCAUCAAGACGCCGUUUUGAUUAUUAAGCUACCAGAUUCGAGGGCUUUAAGGAUUAUGUCACGGUCUUUGUUCUUUGCAAUGGUUCUUUUCAUAUUGCCGUCAAUUGGGUCCAUUUUAAGAGGCUCAUUCGAUGUAAUUGAUGAUUCUUAUGUGAAUUCUGAUGGGAGGGACUUCAAUGUGUUGCAUAAUCUUUUUCGCGAUUUGGCAGAUGAAGGCCUUGUCAAGAAGGGGCAUAAAGGACUUGUUUUGAGUUCUGAGAAUGAUCGUUUGAUCAAAGAUUUGGAAUUGUCGAAUGACAAUGUGGUUGAUUUGGUGCUUGAUUCGGAUAUGGAUUACAAGAAUUCGAUUCCAAAUGAGACAUUCGAUUUUGCAAUUGCUCAGAAUGAAUGGAACAGUAAGUUCAUUGACCGUGUACUCAAGAUUGGUGGCAUUGUUGUAACUCAACUCAGCAAUGAUCCUUUAGCUGAGCUUAAAGCUCUAGCAAACUACAGAAUCGUGUAUAUUCGACGAUUUGACAAGACUUUGGUGGGAGUUAGGAAAACUGGGGUACUAAAUGCUGAACUGAAUUCACAGAAAAAGGACAUUGUUUGUGGAAGCACACCUGAGGCUAAAAAAGUUGCAUUGAAAGGAUUAGAGGAUGUGUUGCUCGAACCGCCAAAAAGGGCAUUGCUGAAAUCAUUUUCAAGGAAGAUGAAGUUUCUUCCUGAGUUGUUAGGUGAUUCUCUUGAGAAUUACCCUCGAAGAAUCUUCAUUUCUGAUGAGAAAAAUGGGGUAGCAGAAUGGUUUAAGAGGAGCUACCCUGCAAAUAAUCAAGAUUUCGAGAUUUACAACUUGGAUGUUGAAAUCCAAGAGUCAGAGCAAUCAGGGGAUGGAGUAGCCUUAGUUGGGACAGCAGAAUGGUUGAGCAAAAAUGUUAAGGAAGAAGACUACGUUGUGAUGAAGGCUGAAGCAGAAGUGGUUGAGGAAAUAAUCAAGAAGAAAGCAAUAUGUUUGGUAGAUGAGUUGUUCUUGCACUGCAGAAACCAAUUAGAAGAAGUUGGUAAUGAUGAUGAUGAUGAAGAGGAAAAUGGAAGCCAAAAGAGGGCUUAUUGGCAAUGUUUGACAUUGUAUGGGAAGUUAAUAGAUGAAGGUAUUGCAGUGCACCAAUGGUGGAGUUGAAUCUAAGACACUUGAUUUAGCUUUGUCCUUUAUCAGUCUCUUGUUAUUGUUGUUCAUUUCAUGUAUCAUGUGUUCAGUGGUCAUCAGUGGCUUUGGCUUUCUUGUUUGAGCCAUUUGUUGUUUAAUUCUACUCUCUUUCUGUUGGCAUGAAGACUGUUGCCUCAUUUAUUUAAUGUUUUUCAUCUUCUAUCCUUUUAUUGCAAAGUUGGCAUCUUUGUCGUUAUCUUCAUAUAUUCCUAUUUUCUAACUGAGAAAAUCUGUUUCUUUUCUUUCUAUUAUUUCAUCUCUAGAUAAGAAUUUUUAAGUAUAAAGUUCACCCCAUCCACAAGUCAAUGUUAAGUAUAUAUGAUAAAUGAAGGUAGUAAUAUUGAAACAACGAUUAAUCAGUACAUAGCUUAGAUACAUAAAUAGCAACAAACAUUAAGCAACCAUUGCUUCAGUAAGCAAUUUGAAUUUAACCAAUAGAAAUACAUCAAUUAGAAGUUAAUUAUAAAGAUACGGAUAGUUGAGAGUCGUGUGUAUGAAGUUACAUUUCAAGGAGUAGUGGUUUGUGUGGCAUCAGCUGGAGUGUUGGGGAAUGGGGGAAAUGGAAAAGUAGGCAGACCACCAAAGGCGCCGCCACCAGUUGAUGGAGUAGGAAAACCUGGAGUCGUAGGCAUAGGAAAUGAGGGGAAACCACCACCAGUUGAUGGAGUCGUAGGCAUAGGAAAUGAGGGGAAACCACCACCAGUGGAUGGAGUAGUAGGCAUAGGGAAACCACCAAAUUGCUGAAGACGUCGAGCUGCUGUGGCUUGCUCAAUUGACAUUACUGAUACAACAAGCACCACAACGGCUAUCAUGACAUUUAUCUUCACCAUUUUUUGUUGUUGUAAAAAAAUACUACUCUUUUUGUUGAAUUUGCUUCUUGUUAAGUAUAUGUGCAGGGGUUUUGGGUAAGUUAUAUAGUAGUAUGUAUGGGAAUAGAAACAUAAUGAGCAUUCAAUUUGUUCACCCUCCUAUGUGGUUGAGAGUAUCAACUGAAAUCCAUCUCUCCUUAAUUAGCUGUCAAUUCAAUUAUUCUGUUUGAGUACGAAUCAUUGCUCCCUCCGUUUAACAUUACUUGAACACAUUGUUAGAAUUAUUUGUUACAAAUAAGUAAUUUACAAAAUCAUGUAAUUUUUUCUCUUGUUUUAUCCUUAAAAUUAGUUCUUUUUGCAAAGUUUAAACAGAUCAACAAAAAAAGAGUCUUGUUUAAUCUUUUUCACGUUAACAUUUAGUAAAUUGAUUAUUUGAAUAAGACACAUAAAUUGUAUUGAAAAGGGUUUAAAAAAGAUACACAAGUAAAAAUACUCUUUUAGUUUAUAAAUAGUUUUUAAAAAUAGAAAAGUAAGACAAAUAAUAUGUGGAAAACUAUUAUAUUUAUUUCUAUACUUUUGAGGAAAAAAUAUAUUUAUCUUUUGUUAUAUUUUUCUGAUAUACUUAUUUUUACCAUUCAAUUUUGGAUUCAUAAGAUAUUUAAAUAUUAUCUUAUCUACAUGGUACUCACGUAGAUAGAAUUUUUAUCUGAAUUAAAAAAAUACACAACUAUAACUGAGUCUAACUUGGUAAGCUAUCUAUAUAUUGCCUUCUUCUUUUUUUUUCCGUCAAAAACCACCUGUUUUUGGGUGGAUUUGUGGAUGAGUUGCGGAUUUUAGAUGGACUUCAAUUAAUUUUUAUAAAAGAUAAAAUAAAAUUAAGAACGGGUGAAAUGAAUUACAAUGUUGAGAAAUCAAAUUCUCACAUAUUAGAUAGAGAGUUUAGGUAACUACCCAAAUUAGCAGACUUCAAUCAGUUUAUUUUCCUAUUUAUUAGCAUUAAUUAAAAAGAGCUGUUUAACAUCCAACUAACCGAUCUUCAUUUUUUAGUUUUUUAUCAUAUUAUUUACCUCCCUUUAUUUAUUUUACACUUCUAAAAAAAAAUAAUUCAUGUUAUUUUCUUUCAAGCACUUGUUUAUAUACCUAACGUAAACUUCACAUCAUUCUUGUCCAGUGUAAUGCUCCAUCCAUUUCACAAAAUCAAGAAAAUGUUCAUUUUUCCUCUCAAUUUAUGCUUAUUUAAAUAGUACUAGCAUUUUUAAAGAGAUGCUCUUUUUUUUAAAGACACUUGAUUGAGGGAAAUUAAUAAAAAUACUUAAUUUUAUUUAAUGAAUAUGUCCAAGCAAAAUAUAUUACUAUUUCCGUUUUUUAAAAAAAAGACUUCCUUUCUUUUUUAGUUUGUUUAAAUAAAAAUGAUUUUUUUCUUUUUUGAUAAUAUUUUAAUUUUAGUUUUUCAUGUGAUAUGUUUAAUGCCACAAGAUUAAAAUACAAUUUUGUACAUUUGACAUAACUUUAAUCUAGAAUCACAAGAUUUAAAAAUCUUCUUUAUUUACUUAAACUCCGUGAUAAUUCUAAGCAGAUCAUUAUUUUUGAAACGGAGGAAAUAUGAAACGGUUGGAAUAAAUAGACAGACUCUUCUACUAUCGAAUGCUAAGAUUUACAUUUAUUUAUUAAUAAAAAAUUAUAUAAGUGAUCUUGACACUUGAUAAAAGUAUACACUUUAUCAAGCAGCAACUGUCAAAUCAAUCAUUCAACUAAUUUUCUCCUUCGCUCGCAUUAAUCUAUAAUUUGAUCAAAACCAUUGUAAAUUAGAUUUUAAUUAUGUUACUAUGAGACUCUAGGUAAAAUACAUUUGUUUUUAUAUUGAUUAAAAAGAAUAGUAAUCUAAAAUGCUAAGCUAAACGGUUGUUGAUGGUAGUUUAAUUUGGAGUAGAAAUUAAAUCGAUACAGCUUUAAUUUAUUACAAUGAAUCCAUUUGGUCCCUUAAAUGUGGCUAGCUGUUAUUAUUUAGAUGAGCGUUGAUGCCAUUAAAUUGGCUUUAACAACAACCAAAAAGCUGUCUAGAAAGGAACACAACAGACUAAAGAAAAGAUAAAAAUGAAAAACAGUGACACAUUAGGUAACCUUUUCUUAUCAAGUAAUUAGCUAUUUUUCAUUUUUUUUAUCUUUUAAUUAUUCACGUUCACAUUAGAUAACCUUUUCUUAUCAAGUAAUAAAUUAUCUAUUUUAAGAGUUUGAACUGUGGAUAAACGUAAAUAGUUUUUCAACCGUCCCACCAACCACAUCAAUAGGUAGAAUAUGAAUCAAUUUUCACAUACAAUUCAGCUCAAUUUGCUUCACAGGAUUUUUGGUUAAAUUAAUGUAGACCAACCACUACCUACAUCUUAUAACUGAAUCAAGCUAUGCACAUAAUCCUAAAACAUACAAUCAUGUAAUUUUUAAAUUUAAUUUUUUUGUUCUUUUUACACGAUAUUUUCAUUUUUACACCUAAAAGAGAUUUGAAAAGAUCAGUUUACAGAUGAUCAUAAGAGAUUUAUUUUCACGCUUACGUAAUUUCGUACACAUUGUUUAGUUGAAAAUGGGUUGCACGUACAAUAAGGACACCUCACAAAUUUCUUGGACAAGCUAAUUAAUUAUAUUAGAGCUGCUAUUAUUUUCUCCCAAAUUCUCUCCAUUUCACAUUAAAGUUUCCAAAACAGUUGAUGCAAUAAGCUUUAUAGCAUCAAAAAUUUAUUAGUCUCUCAUGAUUAUUAUGUCUUCAAUUAUUAUAAAAGAAAAAUAAUAUAAGGAAGAAGAAACGUAUAGCAGUUGGCCUUAGUGGUUAAUGAGUUACUUCUUACACUAAAAAGAUUUUAUUUGUUAAAAUUAGAUAAACAAUUUGAAACACAGGAAAAAGACAUUUUACUUUAUUGAACCACUUAACUAUUGUAAGUUGCAUUGAUUUGCUGUAGUCAUCCUCUACAAUAAUAGAGGAAUAACCACGUUUAUUAGUUAAGAAUUAUGAAUAAAGCUUAAUAAAGUCAUUUGGUUAUAAUUUUAUAUAUAUUUCAAAAUUCCUCUGAUUUUUUUUGUUACUAUGCACAUAUUAUUUUGUUUCAAAGUAGCUGAAUAUCGAAUUAUAGGACUAUGUAUGAUGUUGCUAUUUUCUAGUUUAAUUAAAAAAUCUCUAAUUUUAGCACCUAUAAUUUUAGCAUAAAAAAAUUUGGCCCAAAAGUUAGAAACUAUAGCUUCUAUAUUUUGAGUAAGAGAAAAACAAACAUCUAACACAGUGAUAACAAUGUAAGCUGGGUUAUAAAAAUAAUAAAAUUAAAGAAAAAGGAAGUACUUUGCUUUAUUUGAUAACAAAUUUAAGUUUUGUACAAUUUUUGAGUAGAUAAUAUGUGAUAUAUACAAAAAUAAUUUAUCAUUCAACUCAUUUUUAUUCUAUCCAUUUGCAUCUAACCAAUUCUCAACUCAUUCAUAUGCUAUCUAAUCCGUCCGUUAGCCAGCACAAGUCAUGACACAUAUAUAAUGUCGUAGUUCCUCAUGGAGAAGUUGAUAAUAUUGCUUUAGAAAGUUUUGGAAUUUCUGUCUUAACCACAUUUGAAUCUCAAGAUCUAUAACAAUUGAUAAUUUGGGCUUUGUAAAAGCUGGGAUCUCAGGUAUGGGGGUAGUUGGUAGCUCACGCUUUGGCACACUUGGCAAUUCGGGCUUAGAGACACUAGGUAUCUCGAGUUUUGGGACUUCUGGAAUCUCUGGCUUUGAAAAAUUAGAGGUGUUGGGGUAGUGGGCAUUGAAAAACUAGUGAUUGUUGACGUUGAGAAACUAGAAAUCUGAAGAAGAUGACGUGCUGAUAUAGUAAUUAUCAUGUGGUUAUGCAUGAUAUUUAUUAAUGCAAGCUAUAAGAUGGUGGAAAAACUACAAUGCUGAGCCAUUUUCUUUUGUAGAUUCAAGAAGCUCGGAGAAAAAUGUGGUAAGAUCAAUGCAAAUAAAAUUUUUAUAUUUUAAUAAUUUUCCAUUUAGAUAUAUAUAGAUUUUUAAAGACAUCUAAAAGGGAUAAUUUCAACAUUUGACAUGUCAGUUGAUCUAUUUAUUUGUCAAUAUUAUAAUAUCUAAAAUUUGUAUCGUGAUAAACAAUAUUAUAGUAUUUUGAAAAUCCCUAGAAUAAAGGAUGAUCAUAUUUACUAGCUUAUAUGAAAUUAUUAAGGAAGCAAACAUUUGUUAAGCUAUAUUUACUAAUCACUUCCAAAAUUGCAAUCACAAUAUCUGUUAUGUCCUUUCUUUAUUUAUAGCUUUUCUCUUUGAAUAAAUAAAAUUAAAAAAGAAUGGGUAUAAGUGAAACACAUCAUAUCAUAAUCAAACAUAAUUGAAAUUUUAAAUGCAUAUCACUUUAUCACAAUAAUAAUGACAAUGUUUAUUUUUCCUUGUAAUAAUUAAAAUCAUUACACUUUUCACUAAAUAUCUAUAAAAUCAACAUACAAACUCCCUUAGUCUUAUUUUAAGGCAUUGUAUGAUUAAAUAUCGAAUCGUAAUAUUAAAUUGAUUCAAGUGUUUGUAUUAUUACUAAAAUAUUAAAAUAAUUAUUGAUAAUUUAAUUUGAUGGAGAAAACAUUACAUUAUAUAUGAAUAUACCUAAAAGGUAUAAUCCACUAUCUACAAAAUAAUACUAUUUUAGUAAAAUAUGACAACAUUUGAGACGUAUCAGUCAAAAGAUAUAAAAGUUAUAUUAUAACUUGGAACAAAUAAACAAUACUUAUAUUGUUGCAGACAAAAUUAGGCACGGAGGAAAUAAAUAUUUUUAUUAUUCUUUAAUAAGAUGUCUUAAAUUUGAGCUUCGAAAAUAGAGUCAUUUUUUAUGGCACAAAUCACGAGUUGCAGGGUAACAAAGCAGACCAGGCAAGGGCAAAUACAACAUCAAAGGCUAGAUUCAUAUGAACCUAGUAAUUUUGUCAUAAAAUGAUCACUAAACUCGCAAUAAAUAAUAGGCCAAAACUCAUAUUUUUAAUUUACAUAUCAAAUAUGUUCAAUAUUAAAAAUCUAAAAAGUUGAACCAACAAAAUAGAAAAUUGGACUCUGUCAUUUAGAAGAUUUAUCACGUUUUCAGAGAGUUAAAAAAAUGGUAUUAAUCAAUUAACGAACAUAACACUCUAUUGAGGUAUAUCUGUGGAGCAAAAUAUUGAUCCAACACUUUAAUUUAUCCUUUAAAUUACUCUUGAAAUGCGAUGGAAUAAAGUGGUUACUAUUAUUAUUGUAAAUAAUAAAUUAUAACCCGACAGGAAGAGUAACCAAACAAUGUGUUAACAUUUGUUUUAGUUAUUGCAGUGAUUUUUAACAUAAUAAAUUUCUACUUUUACAACGAAUUUGAAUUUAGCUAUUGUAGAUUUUUUUUUUAAAAAAAAGUAAACUAGAAAAAUCUUUUGUUUUAAAUUGACCCAAAUUCUACGUUUAAACCUAUUUUUUAGUCAUGACAAACAUUUACCCUUUAAAAGAUCAAAAUUAUCAAAUUUGAUUAGCGAAAAUGAGAUAAUAUUUUUAAAAUUAUAAUUUGUGAAUGUUGUAAUGAAAGAACAUAUUCUGCAAUUCUAUCAUUGUCCAAAUUAAAGUACUUUUUAAGAAAAAAAUGAAAGUUCAAAAGCAUUAAAAACAAUUAACACUAACUUGAAAGGCAAUAUUUGAGAAAUUGCAACAACUAAAGCGAUUACAGGAGCUUCAUAGACACUUCCUGUCUUCUUAAAAUGAUGAGACAAAAUAGAGAGAAUUAUAAUAAUACUUGAUAUUAAACACAUAAGAAAGUAAGUGAAACAUAUAUAUUAUGCAACCAACGUAGCGCACACUUAAUUAAUCAUGUCCAUGCUUUCGAAAUCUGAUGUAAAAAAAUGGUUUAUUUGAUAAACACAGAUCAUGUCCUGCUAAUUGUAUGUGGUAAAAUAGAUCAAUCAUAGUUUCUACAUAUGUUGAUUAAGAAAAAAUAAACAUUUAACGACACAGUGAAAAACAAUGUAAGUUGGCUUAUCAAAAAAUAAAAUUACAGAAAAAAAUGCUUCACUUUAUUUGAUAGCAAAUUUCAUUUUUGUACAAUUUAUGAGUAAAUAAUAUGUGGAUACUAAAAUCAUCCAUCACUCAACUCAUUUUUAUUCACAUGACAAGUCAAAUAUUUAUCCAUUCACAUCUAACCCAUAUUCAACUCAUUCAGAUGCGAUCUAAUCCUCUGUUGGCUAGCCAACACAAGUCAUGACACAUGAAUAACACCGUAGUUACUCAAGGAGAAGUUGACAAUGUUUGUUUGGAAGGUUUUGGCAUUUCUGUCUUUAAUACACUUAGAAUCUCAGGAUCUGAUAUAACAGGUAAUUCAGGCUUUGUAAGUGUUGGGAUCUUUGAUUUUGGGGUAGCUGGUACCUCACGGUUUGGUGCACUUGGUAUUUCAUGCCUAGAAACACUUGGAGUCUCAGGUUCUGGGGCUGCUGAAAUAUCAGACUUUGAAGAAUUAGUGGUUUCGGGUUUUAAUAAACUGGGUAUCUCUGGAUUUAAGAAACUAGGUUUCUCAAAAUUUGGAGAUCUUAGGAUCUCAUGCUUCGACGAACUUGGCGUCUCAGACUUUGGGGAACUUGGUGUGUCGGGACAUAGUGAACUAGGAGUUACAGGUUUUGGAAAACUUGGAGUCUCAAAACUUGGGAUGUCAGGCUUUGAGGAGCUUGGCGUCUCGUGCUUUGGGGAACUUGGGGUCUCGUGCUUUGGGGAGCUUGGCAUCUCGGGUUGUGCGGAACUUGGCGUCUCAGGCUUAGGGGAGCUUGGCGUCUCAGGCUUUGGGAAGCUUGGAGUCUCUGGCUUAGGGAAGCUUGGCAUCUCGGGCUUUGCGGAACUUGGCGUCUCGGGCUUUUGGAAUCUUGGAGUCUCGGGCUUAGGGAAGCUUGGCGUUUCGAGCUUUGGGAAGCUUGGAGUCUCAGGCUUUGUGGAACUUGGGGUCUUGGGCUUUGGGGAGCUUGGAGUCUCGGGCUUUGGGGAGCUUGGCAUUUCGGGCUUUGCGGAACUUGGCAUCUCGGGCUUUAGAGAGCUCGGCGUCUCGAGCUUUUCGAAGCUUGGCGUCUCGGGCUUUGGGGAACUUGGAGUCUGGGGCUUUAGGGAACUUGGUGUCUCAGGCUUUUGAGAGCUUGGGGUCUCGGGCUUUGGGGAACUUAGCAUCUCCGGCUUUAGGGAGCUUGGCGUCUCAGGUUUUGAAAAUGUAGGAGUCUUGGGAUUCGGGGAACUUGAAGUCUCGGGCUUUGAGAAACUAGGAUUCUCGGUCUUAGGGGAAGUUAGAAUCUCAGGCUUUGAAAAACUAGGAGUCUCGGGUUUCGGGAAACUAGGGGUCUCAAGAUUCGGGGAACUUGGAGUCUCGGAUUUUGAAAAACUAGGAGUUUCAGGAUUUACGGAACUUGAAAGACUUAGAGAACUUGAAGUCUCAGGCUUUGAGAAACUUGAUAUCUCGGGCGUUGGGGAACUUGGUGCCUCAUGCUUUGGAAAACUAGGAGUCUCAGACUUUGAAAAACUGGGGGUCUCAGGCUUUAGGGAAUUUUGUGUCUUAGGGCUUGGAGAACUUGGCAUUUCAGGUUUUGUGAAAGUAGUGAUUUCAGACUUUGGGGAACUCGGAGUCUUAGGUUUUGAAAAACUCGGAGUCUCAGAUUUUGGGGAACUUGACAUAUCAGGCUUUGAAAAACUAGGAGUCUCAAACUUUGGGAAGCUAGGGGUCUCGGGCUUUGAGAAACUAGGAGUCUCAAACUUUGGGAAGCUAGGGGUCUCGGGUUUUGAGAAACAAGGGGUCUCAGGCUUCGGAGAACUUGGAAUUUCAGGCUUUGAGAAUGUAUGAGUCUCUAACUUUGGGGAACUUGGAGUCUCAGACUUUGAGAAAGUAGGAAUCUCAGGCUUUGAGAAACUAGGAGUCUCAGGCUUUGAGAAACUAGAGGUUUUAGGCUUUGAAAAACUUGGGGUCUCGAGCUUUGGAGAAUCAGAGGUCUCUGGCUUUGGGGAAUCAGAAGUGUCAGGCUUUGAAAAACUAGGAAUCUCGGGUUUUGUAGAACUAGGGGUCUCUGUCUUUGAGAAACUUGGGAUCCCAGUCUUUGAGAAAGUAGGAGUCUGAGGCUUUGAUAAAGUAGGGGUCUCGGGCUUUGGGGAAGUAGGAGUAAUAUGAUUUGAGGAUUUAGGAGUCUCGACCAUUGAAAAACUAGGGGUCUCAGACUUUGCAAAGGUAGGAUUCUCAGACUUUGGUGAACCAGGGGUCUUGGGAUCGGAGAAACUAAGAGAUGUGGGCUUUGAAAAAGUUGAAGUCUCAAGCUUUGGAGAACUAGAGGUAUCAGGUUUUGAAAAACUAGGAGUCUUGGGCUUUGAGAAACUACUAGUCUUAGGUUUUGAGAAACUAGGAGUUUCAGGCUUUGAGAAACUAGGUGUCUCAGACUUUGUGAAACUAGGUGUCUCUGGCUUAGAGAAACUAGGAGUUUCUGUCUUUGAGAAACUAGGAGCCUCAGGUUGUGAGAAACUAGGGGUUUCAGAUUUUGAAAAACUAGGAUUCUGGGGUUUUGAAAAUGUAGGGGUCUCUGAUUUUGAGAAAGUAAAGGUUUCAGGUUUUGAAAAACUAGGUGCCUCAGGCUUUGAGAAACUAGGAGUUUCGGGCUUUGAGAAAAUAGGUGUUUCAGGUUUUGAGAAACUAGGUGUUUCAGGUUUUGAAAAACUAGGGAUAUUAGGAUUUGCGAGACUAGGGAUCUCAGGCUUUGAAAGACUAGGUGAAUUUGAGAAACUUGGGGUAGUUGGUGUUGAGAAACUAGGGGUCUCAGGUUUUGAAAAACUAGAAGUUCCAGGCUUUGAGAAACUAGGAGUCUCGGGCUUUGAGAAACUAGAUGUUUCAGGUUUAGAGAAACUAGGGUUCUCAGGCUUUGACAAACUAGGUGUUACAGGCUUUGAGAAACUAGGAGUUUGGGGCUUUGAGAAACUAGGGUUCUCAGGCUUUGAAAGACCGGGGGAAUUGGAGAAGCUUGGGGUAGCAGGCAUUGAGGGACUAAGGGUAGUGGGCGUCGAGAAACUUGGGACAGCGGGCAUUGAAAAACUAGGAGUAGCGGAUCCUGUAAAACUAGGGGUUUGAAGAAGGCGACGUGCCGUUAUAGCAGUUAUCAUGCCGUCAUGGAUAAAGUAUAUAAAAGCAAACAAUAAGAUGGAGGACAAGUUGUAAUGCCAAGCCAUUCUUCAGCUGAUGCAAGAAACUUAGAGAAAAAUGUGGUGAGAGAAAAUAAAAUUUUGAUAUAUUAAUUGUUUCCCAUUUAGCUAUAUAUAGAAUUUUAAAGGCAUGUAAAAGGGAGGAUUUCAAUACUUGAUAGGUUAGUUGUCCUAUUUAUUUGCCAAUAUUAUAGUAUCUAGAAUUUGUAUUAUGAUAGCAAUAUUAUAGUAUCUUGAAUAUCUCUAGAAUAAAGAAAUGCUCAGAUUUUCUAGCUUAAUUGAGAUUAUUAAGGAAGCAAACAAUCGUUAAACUAUUUACUAAUUACCUUUAAAUUAUCAAUCACAAUGUCUUUUAAUUAUGUCCUUUCUUUAUUUCUAGCCUUUCACUUAGGAUAAAAUUAAAAUAAAAGUGGGAAUAAGAGAGACACGUCAUAUCUUAAUCAUACAUAAUUGAACUUAAUGUACAUAUCACUCUAUCACGAUAAAAAUGAUAGCGUUGAUUUCUUCUUGUAAUAAUUGAAAUCAUUACACUUUUCACUAAAUAUCUUUAAAAAUAAACAUAUAAACGUCCUUAGUCUUAUUUUAAAAGGCAUUGUUUGAUUGAAUAUCGUGCCAUGAUGUUAACUUGAUUUAAGUAUUUAUAUAUAACUAAAAAUAUUAAAAUAAUUAUUGAUAAUUUAAUUUGAUGGAGAAAACAUUACAUUAUAUGAAUACACUUAAAAGUUAUAAUCAACUAUCGACAAAAUAAUACUCCAUAUUUCAGUAAAAUAUGAUUACAUUUGGGAGCACUGGGAUGUCCCAGUUCAAAGAAAUAAAAAGUUGACUAUAACUCGGAACAAAAUUAGGCUUUGUAUGGAACAAUAGUGACACAAAGACUAGUUAUCAACAAGCGACAUGAAGGGGAAUAAAUAUUUAUUAAUUCUUAAUCAGAUUUCUUAAAUUCAAGCUUCGAAAAUGGAGUCACCUUUGGUGGCAUAAAUCAUGAGUUGCAGGGUGACAAGGCAGGCAAGGUCAAAUGUAACACGAAAAAUUAGAUUCAUCUAAACUUAGUAAUUUUGUUGUGGAGUUUAUGGGCAAAAAGAUCACUAAAAUUGCAACAAAUAAUAAGCUUGAAAUCAUACUUCUGGUUUACAAAUCAAAUAAGUUCAGUAUUAAGAAUCUUAAAAAUUUAACUAACAAAAUAUAAAUUCUAGAUUCAUCUCUAAAAAAAAUAUUUGACACCUGAUGAGAAAAAAAGACUAGUACAAUCCACAGAAAUGGCAUAAGAAAGAUAUAACUACACUUGAAAUAUUUAUCACAUUUUUAGAGAGUUAAAAAUAAUGAUAUCAAUCAGUGAACAAACACAACUCUAUAAUGGUGUAUUUAUGGAACAAAAUAUUCAACAGGCACUUUAAAAGGAAAAAUGUCUGAAAUAUAUUUGAACUUUGAUCGAAAUUUCUAUUACGAUACUAAAUUUUGGAAAAGACCUUUUACCGCACUAUUUAGUAGUGUAUUUUAAAGGCAUAUAUGUGUCACGUGGACAUAAAAAAUAUGCAUAAUUAUGAAUAUAAUGUGUCUAUGUCUGUAAAUAUAUACCUUUAAAAUAAACUAUUAUAUAGUUCAGGGGGUAAAAGGUCCUCCACAAAGUUUGAUAUCGUGACAAUAAUUUUGACUAAAGUUAAAAUAUUUUUUUUCCCAAUUUAAAAUAUGCUACAAGUUAUCCUUUAUAUCAUACUCUUGAAAUGUGAUGGAAGAAAGUGGUUACUAUUACUGUAAAUUAUUAAAGAAAACUGAGAAGGAAGAGUAGCCAAAUAAUGCAUUAACAUUUGUUUUAGUUACUGAAGUAUUUUAAACAUAAUAAGUUGUUACUUUUUACUUUUUAGAAUGAAUUUGAAAUAAAUUUACUUGCUACUCAUAAUAACUACAACACGAAAAGAAUAUCAUAACUGAAAGAUAACACCGAUAUAAAAAUCAUUAUCUUUUAAAAUAUUAAUUUGCAUUGUGAAGUUAGUUUCAAAAAAAUUUUAACAUUCAAUGAGUCAUUUGCAAGGUAAUUACCAAAACAUUAAUCUUGGCCUUGACAUCUUUAACAAAAUUACAUGUUAGAAACUUCUUCUUAUAAACAUAGUAAAUGAGUACAUCAAAAAAUUUACAGUGAAAUUCAGAGUGUUGAUGAAUUUUUAGAAAAUACGUAAAUUAUGGAGAUUUUUUGUGGUGAAGUUUUGGAGUCCCAAAAUGUGCUUAAAUAACGUGACAAUUACAGUGCUGAAAUAUCAACAAAUCUUUAAUCAUUUUACAAAAUAGUAUAGUGUAUGUUGUGAAGACAUUCUAUGAGUACACACAAGAAUAGACAAAAAUUGAUGCACAAUUAUUUUAUAAUAGAUCAUGCUAUAUUCAGAAGACAUUAUAUAAAUCAAAGGAAAAAAAUGUUACCAUCAGAAAACACUCAGUGCAUUAGAAGAUAAAAUUGAUCAAAAAGUACAAUAUUUGCAAUCAUUCAUCGUAGCUUUUUAAGAUAUGUGAUAAUAUCGAAUCUCUUCAUUUAUGUUCAAAAAUAUUGCAACGAUCAUUAAGUUAUUUAUAUUAUUUCUGAUAUUAGUUGAGAUAUGAGAAUUAAUAAUAAAGCUUAAUAAAGUCUAUCAUGUGGGAAAUUACCUAAUAUAUAUGUAUAUAUAACUCAAAAUUCCCUCUAGUUUUUUUUUUGCCAAUAUGUGUGUACUCUUUUCUUUCAAAGUAACUAAAUACUAAAUUAUAGAAGUAUAUACAAAGUACCCUUUUGUAGUUUAAUUCAAUGAGCUCUAAUUUUAGCAUCUACCAUUUUAGCAUACAAAAACUUCGUACCAAAAGUUAGAAACUACAACUUCUAGUAUAUGUAUUUAUUGACUAAGAAAAGAGAAAUAUCUAAAGUGAAAAGCAAUAUGUAGGUUGGCUUAUCAAAAUAAAAAAUUAAAUAAAAAGAAAGUGCUUCACUUUAUUUGAUAGUUAAUUUCAAUUUUGUACAAUUUAUGAGUAGAUAAUAAGUGGAUAUAAUAAUAUUAUCCAUCAUUCAACCCAUUUUUAUUCACAUAAAAUACCGUCUAGUCGAAUAUUUUAUCCAUUUGCAUCUAACCCAUUGUCAACUCAUUCAUAUGCGAUAUAGUUCGUUUGUUAGCUAGCAUAAGUCAUGACACAUGAAUAACACCAUAGUUACUCAUGGAGAAGUUGACAAUGUUGGUUUAGAAAGUUUUGGAUUUUCCGUCUUUAUCACACUAGGAAUCUCAAGAUUUGAAACAAUUGGUAAUUCAGGCUUUGUAAAAGUUGGGAUAUCAGGUUUUGAGGUAGUUGGUAGCUCACGCUCUGUCACACUUGGUAUUUAAGGUUCUAGGGUUCUGUUGGGGCUGCUGGAAUAACAGGCUUUGAAGAAUUAGAGGAUUCGAAUUUAAAGAAACUAGGUACCUCUGGCUUUGAGAAACUAGGAAUCUCAAAUUUAGGAAAACUUGGUGUCUCAAGAUUCGGCGAACUUUGCGUCUCAGACUUUGGGGAACUUGGUGUGUCGGGCUUUUGGGAACUAGGAGUUUCGGGUAUUGGAAAAUUUGGAGUCUUGAAUCUUGGGGUGUGAGGCUUUGGGGAGCUUGGCGUCUCGGGCUUUACGAAACUUGGGUUCUCGAGCUCUGGGAAACUUGGGUUCUCGGGCUUUGUUAAGCUAGGCAUCUCAGGCUUUGCGGAACUUGGCAUCUCAGGCUUUGUGGAGCUUGGCGUCUUAGGCUUUGGGAAGCUUGGCGUGUCAGACUUUGCGGAACCUGGGGUCUCAUGCUUUGGGGAACUUGGGGUCUCGGACUUUGAGAAACUAGGAAUCUCAGGCUUUGAGAAACUAGGGGUCUCGGGCUUUGGAGAACUUGGAUUCUCAGGCUUUGGAGAACUAGGGAUCUUGGGUUUUGAAAAAAUAGGGGUCUCGGGCUUUGGAGAACUUGGAGUCUCAAGCUUUGAGAAAUUAGGAGUCUCGGGUUUUGUGAUACUUGGUGUCUCGGGCGUUGGAGAACUUGGCGCCUCAGGCUUUGAGGAACUUGGAGUCUUAGGCUUUGAGAAACUUGGAGUCACGGGCUUAGAGAAACUUGGGGUAUCAGGCUUUGAAAAGCUAGGGGUUACAUGCUUAGGGGAACUUGGGUUCUCGGGAUUUGGAGAAAUGGGGUUUUUAGGCUUUGAAAAAGUAGGGAUCUCGAACUUUGGGGAUAUUGGAGUCUCAGAUUUUGGGGAACUUGGUAUCUCUGGCUUUGAGAAACUAGGGGUUUUUGGCUUUGAGUAGCUAGGGGUCUCAGGCUUUGGAGAAUUUGAGGUCUCGAACUUUGGAGAACUUAGGAUUUCAUACAUUGGGAAAGUUGGGGUCUCAGACUUUGGGGAACUCGGAGUCUCAGGAUUUGAGAAAGUUGGAAUCUCGAGUUUUGAUAAACUAGGGUUUUCAGACUUUGAAAAACUAGGGGCCUCGAGAUUUAGAGAAUCAGGAGUCUCGGGCUUUGGAGAACUAGGAGUCUUAGAUUUUGAGAAAGUAGGAGUCUCACAUUUAGAGAAACUAGGGGUCUUUGGCUUUGAAAAACUUGGGAUAUCGGGCUUUGAGAAAGUAGGAAUUUUGGGCUUUGGUGAAGUAGGAAUCUCAGGCUUUGAGAAACUAGGAGUUUCCGGCUUUGAGAAACUAGGAGUUUCGGACUUUGAGAAACUAGGGAUUUUGGGUUUUGAGAAACUAGGAGUCUCGGGCUUGGAGAAACUAGGUGUCUCGGGCUUUGAGAAACCAGAUGUCUCAGGCUUUGAGAAACUAGGAUUUUCUGGCUUAGAGAAACUAGGAGUUUCAGGUUUUAAGAAACUAAGAGUCUCGGAUUUUGAGAAACUAGGAGCUUUGGACUUUGAGAAACUAAGGGUCUGUGGUUUUGAGAAACUAGGAGUCUCGGGUUUUGAGAAACUAGGAGUUUCGGGUUUUGAGAAACUAGGAGUUUCGGGUUUUGAGAAACUUGGAGUUUUGGGUUUUGAGAAACUAGGAGUUUCUGGCUUUGAGAUACUAGGAGUUUCGGGCUUAGAGAAACUAGGAAUCUCGGGCUUCGAAAGACUGAGUGAAUUGGAGAAACUUGGGCUAGCAGGCUUUGGAAGACCGGGGGAAUUUGAGAAACUGGGGGUUGUGGGCGUUGAGAAACUAGGAGUUUGUAGAAUGUGACGUGCUGUUGUAGUAGUAAUCAUUUGGUCAUGUAUAAAGUAGAUAAAUGCGACCAAUAAGAUGGAGGACAAUUUGUAAUGUUGAACCAUUUUUUCAGCCGAUGCAAGAAGCUUAGAGUAUCAUAUGUUAAGAGCAAAUGAAGUUUUGAUAUUUCAAUAGUUUUUCAUUUAGCUAUAUAUAGAUUUUUACAAGCAUAAAAAGGAAGAUUUCAAUAUUUGAUACGUUAGUUGACCUAUUUAUCUGCCAAUAUUAUAGUAUAUAGAAUUUGUCUUGUAAGUAAUAUCAUAGUAUCUCGAAUAUGGCUAAAAUAAAGAAAUACUCAGAUUUACUAGCUUAUAUGAGAUUUUUAAGGAAUCAAACUUUUGUUAAAUAUUUAUAAUCACCUCUAAAUUUUCAAUUACAAUGUAUUUUAUGUUUUUUCUUUAUUUGUUGGUUGUCUCUUCAAAUCAAAUUAAAAUAAAAAGUGGGUGUAGAGACACAACAUAUCUUAAUCAAAUAUAGUUUAAUUUGGCAUGCAUAAGACUCUCACGAUAAUGAUGAGAAUGUUGGUUCUUCUUUAAAAAAAAAAUCAUUACACUUGAACUAAAUAUUUUUAUAAUCAAAAUAUAAACUCUCUCGGCCUUAUUUUAUAAAGCAUUUUUUGACGGAAUAUCACAUCUUAAUGUUAACUUGAUAUAAGCAUUUAUAUUAUUAAUAAAAAUAGUUAAAUAAUUAUUGAUAAUUUAAUUUGAUGGAGAAAACAUUACAUUAUAUGAAUGCUUAACAGUUGUCAUCUACAGAAUAUUACGUAAUGUAUUUAGUAAAAUACGAUAACAUUUGAGAUGUCCGAGUUAAGAGAAAUAAAAAGUGUGAUAUAACUUCGAACAUAUUAUAAACUAUAGUUAUAUUGAUUGCAGACAAAAUUAGGCUUUGUAUGGAACAAUAGCGAUAUAAAGAGUAGCUACAACAAAAAUAUCGUCAAUCAUUCUGGUAGAGAUGCGGAGAGAGUAAACGUUUAUUAAUCUUUAAUCAUACUGUUAAAUUUGAGAUUCGGGAAUGGAGUCACCUUUGAUGGCACAAAUCACGAGUUUCCGGGUGACAAAGCAGGAAGGGGAAAAAUACUAGAUUCAAAGGCAAAAUUUGAGAAGGAGCAACCAAAUAGAGUCUUUCCGUGGAUGCUGAGCCAUUUUUCUGCACAUCUUAGAAUUAUAAAGAAGAAUGUGUAGACUCAAUGUGAUUCGGAUGUGGCAUUGGUUUAAGUCUGUUGCUAUAUAUAGGUUUUAAAAUGGACUUUUGGAUUUUGUUUGUUUAGUAAGGAUCUGUGUAAUUGAACUUCUCAUCCACUUAGCUUUUAGUUGGUACCUCAAAAGCCAAUCUGGAUGACCUAAUUACAAAAUAGUGUAACUUGUCACAAACACAUAGGUUAUGAUGGCAACCCGAUAGAGAUUCAUUCCUUAUUACUCCCACCGUCCAAAAAUAAAUGAAUUUUUUGGGUUGUUACGCCACUAAAAUAAGCUAUUGACAUUAGUUAAAUAAUACUUCGUCAAUAUUUAAAUGGUAAAAUUAGCUUAUGACAUUAUUUUGGACCGGAUAGAGUAGCUUAUUUCAUUAUCUUGAAAAGAGAAAAAUCCUGAAUUCACAUUAUACCACAAAAUGUCAAUACAAUUCUCCAAGAAAUGAAACAAAAAAUAUAUCAGAUUCGUAUAAAAAAGUUAAUACCGAAAGAAUGGCAUACAGGGGCGGAUUUAGGUAGGAUGAAGGACUUCAGACAUCUUACAGACGUAUGCAAAAUGAAGUAUUUCAUUAUAAUAAAUAAAAAUAAAUGAAACCACUUCCCAUAGUCAAUUGGUUCACUGGCAAAGCACCUAAUUUCACACGGUUCUGCAAUCUUUCACUUUAAAAGUUUAGAGUUUUACUGCUUAAUAAAAAAAUGAUGCCCGGUUGAAUGGAUAUGACUUUCUACCUUUUAUAAGGAAAAAAUUGAAAUAUAUCAUCAACUUUUGCAGUACGAAAGGGACAAUAAAUAACUACAAACCGUAUUCUGAUUCAAUUACUUGGACUUGCUUAUUGCUUUCUCAGGGAUGAUGUUGAUUAAGAUCAUUUGUGAAAUCGAAUGAAUGAUGAGUUUUUGAGUAGUUGUUUGAUGUAAUAAACUAAUAUCUUUUAAUAUGACGUCUCUACAAUAUUUGUUCUUUGUUUACUCCUCUAAAUAUAGAUGCCGCUUUAAAAAAAAUUGAGUAUAGUAUAAGGUUGGAGAUUCAGGCUUCAACUAGGCCGAAAUAUUUGGGGGGUUUAGGGAAUGGCCUCUCUAAAUAGAACCUGUAGUUGCACAUGCUAACAGGCCAAGCAUGAAAGCAUAAUUUGUUCUCAUCUUUCUUUUAGAGCAGAGGUAACUGAGUCCAUUUGAUAUGCCCAAGGAUAAACGAAACAAAGGGCAAAAAUAGCUAAAUCAUCAAUUUUGUACUAUGCUUAAAUAUGCUAAUUCAUUCUUAUUCCACAUUCUUGAAAUGUAAUGGAAGAAAUUGGUUACUAUAAAAAACUAGAGGGAAAGAGUGUAUAGAUAAGGAAUGAGCAAAAACAGAGCUUACCAAUGAUACAAACUAAAUUUAAAUAACACAGAUCAAGCUUAUUUAUAACAAUUACAUAAAACACUCAUACAGUAUAAUGACACGUCAAACAUGGUACAUCAAAUUCAAACACUACUAUAGAAGAAUUACUAUUUCUACUCCUAGAAGAAAGUUUUCAAUACUAUCUCCAUAUCAUGGUUCAUGUCGCAAGUUUCAUAGACUGAGAUAGAAAUAGCAAAACAUCAGUUGGGUACUUUUAAUAGAGUGAAAGUAGCACAUAAUUACUCAUGGAGUUGCAGGUUUGUACGGUGGAGAGAGUGAAGGAAGAGUUCACAGAGGUAGUUCCGGGAUUUCAAGCUUUGGCAUAGUUGGGACUUUUAGCUUUGGAAGCUCGGGAACUUUUGGCUUUGGUAGUUCUGGGAUUUCAGGCUUGGGUAUAGUUGGGACUUUUAGCUUUGGAAGCUCGGGAACUUUUGGCUUUGGUAGUUGUGGAAUUUCAGUCUUUGGCAUAGCUGGGACUUUUAGCUUUGGAAGCUCUGGAACUUUUGGCUUUGGUAGUUCUGGAAUUUCAGGCUUUGGCAUAGUUGGAAGCUCGAAAACUUUUGGCUUUGGUAGUUCUGAAAUUUCAGGCUUUGACAUAGUUGGUACUUCUAGCUUUGGAAUUUCAGGGACUUUUGGCUUUGGUAGUUCUGGAAUUUCAGGUUUGUGCAUAAUUGGGACUUUUAGGUUUGGAAGCUCGAGGACUUUUGGCUUUGGUAGUUCUGGGAUUUCAGGCAUUGGCAAGCUGGAGGAUGCUCAAUCUUUAUAGCUGCUGGGAUUUCUGGCUUUUUCAAGGGACAGUUGGUAGUUGGGGCUUCGGAACAGCGGGGAUCUCAGGCUUUGGUAUGGUUGGCAGCUCAGGCUUUGGCAUAGUUGGGAUUUCAAGCUUUGGCAAGGCUAGAACUUUCGGUAGUUUUGGUUUAGGUAUCUCAGGGACGGGUGUCUCUAAGAGGUGGCGUGCAGCCGCACCAGUUAUGUUGCCAUGAAUAAAGAAUAAAUUAAGAAAUGCAAGUAGUAAGAGGGAGGACACGUGGUAAUGCUGACCCAUUUUACACAGAUUGUAGAAACGAAAAGAAGAAUAAUGUGUAAGACUCAAUGUGAUUGGGAUGUAACAUUGGCUUUAUGUCUGUUGCUUUAUACAGUUUUUAAAAAUGCAAUUACAAGGACUUUCAGGAUUUUGUUUGUUAGUCACGGACCUGAGUAGUUGAAUUUCUCAUCAAACUAAUUAGCUUCCAGCCUGGUACUUCAAAAAUCAAUAAAUUACUUAAAAUAGUCUAAACCUGUCACUUGCAUUUAGGUUAUGCUGGUAACCUGAUAAAAAAUCCUAGCUUAGCUGAUUUCAUUUCUUUGAACAGAGAAAAAGUAUCUACUUUUUACCACAAAUCUUCAUUCCUGUGUGGUGUACAUAAUAACUCAACGAUAUCGACAAAAACUACCAAAAAUCAAAACAGAAAGUUGAUUACUUUAGAGUUUCUUUUGGGCUUCAGGAUUAAUAAAAACAAAUGACACCACUUCCCAAAGAUUGCCUGUAAAUGGUUCGCUGGCAAAGCACCUAACUUAGUCAAUAAACUUCAACAAUUAUUACUGCAAUCUUUCAUUUUAAAUUUUUUGAGUUCUACUGCUUGAACACAUCAACUUUUGUGUAUGAAAGGGACAAUAAAUAGCUAUAAACGCUACAUGGAUUCAAUUCUUUCACCACUUGUAAAAUCCUACUUUGAAAACUACUCGGUCCAAUUACUUGAGACUUGGCGUAUUGCUUUCUCGGUGAUGAAGUUUGAUUAAGAUUGACUUGUAAAAUCUAAUGAAAAAUGAUCUUUAAAGUGGUUGAUGGGGUUUUCACCGUAAGACACUAUUUUUAAUACGACUGUUAUGAUUAAAAAAAUAUUUUUACUGUCAUGAAUACAUUUUAAAAAUGAAAACACGUUGAAGCAAAUUAUAGUAAUAAACUAAUGUCGCUACAAUAUUUAUUCUUUGUUUGCUCCUUUAAAUAUGGACGCUGCCUAUAAAAAUGUUUGCUUACGCCAUGGAUUCAUAUAGCUUUGGAACGCUGGAAAUAGAUAGUACUUCAGGUAUUGGUAUAAUAUAGGAUUUCAGGCUUUGGUAAGGCUGGAAUAUAUGGGGAUGGCGUCUCCAGAAGGUGGCUCGUGUAGUUUCACCAGCUAACUGAUCAUGCAUGAAGCAUAAGUUGUUUUUAUCAUUCUUUUGGAGAAGGUGAAACAGAGGUAAUUGAAUCAUUUAAUGUGCAUUAAUUAGGAUGAAUGAAACAAAAAGCAAAUAAGUUAAAUCACCAGUUUGGUUCUACAUAAAAAAAUGUUAGUGAAGAGAUUAUCACCAUCAAUUCAACUCCAUUGAUGAUCUCAUACGUGAGCUUGAAAGCUUAAGCUUGCAGCUUUAACUUGAGAGCAGAUUAAGGGAAGAAGAAGAGUAUUUUGUAUUGAUUGUGUAUUGAAUUAAAAUGAAUACAAUAUGAGUAUAUAUGUAACCUUGAUGAAUAGCAAAACUAACUUCUAACUAACUAUUGGAAAAUAACAACUUGUAACUAACAACUUAUAACUAAUAUCUUGUAACUUGUAACUAACUAAAGCCACUAAUUUGUUACUAACAGAAAGUUUGUUACAAACAGAAAGUAUAUUCUCAUCACCCCCCUCAAGUUGGAGGUGAUGUAAACACAGACAACUUGUGUAACAAAGAAUUGUGUUUAACUCCAGUUAAGGCUUUGGUGAGGAUGUCAGCCAAUUGUGAAUCUGUGGAUAUGUGAUGAAGUGUGAUCAACCCUUGAUGAAGCUUAGUCCUUACAAAAUGGCAAUCAAUCUCAAUAUGUUUUGUUCUUUCAUGAAAAACUGGGUUCUUGGCAAUGUGAACUGCUGCUUGGCUGUCACAAUGAACAUGUAUUGGCAGAGAACACUGCACAUUCAACUCACUCAGCAACCUCUCAAGCCAUACUAGCUCUCCCACAACCUGUCUUAUUGCCCUGUAUUCAGCUUCAGCAGAUGACAGUGAUACUGUUGCCUGCUUCUUGGAUUUCCAGCUGAUAGGACUAUCUCCCAUAAGAACUAAGUAACCACUAACAGAUCUCCUUGAUUCAGGGCAAGCAGCCCAAUCAGAGUCACAGUAUGCACUCACAGUAAGAUCAUCCUUGUUUGAAAUAAAAUUACCCAUAGUUGGAUCUUGUUUCAAGUACCUAAGUACAUGGUAGGCUGCUUUCAAAUGUGGUUCCCUGGGUGAUUGCAUGAACUGGCUCAAAUGUUGUACACUAUAGGAUAUGUCCAUUCUAGUGUUAGUUAGGAAAUUAAGUUUGUCAAUCAACUUCCUAUAUUGAGAAGGUUCAGUCAAUAAUUCACCAUCUGUGGCCUUCAAUUUUUCAGUGGAAUCAAGUGGUGAUGAAGUAGUUUUGCAACUCAACAUAUCAAAAUCUCUUAGAAGAUCAGAAGUGAACUUCCUCUGAGAAACAAUAACACCAUCAUGUCUAUACAAUAUCUCCAGGCCUAAGAAGUAAUGUAGUUUCCCCAAGUCCUUUAUUUUGAAUUGGUCAUGCAGGAAACACUUUAAGGAAUUGAUUUCAUCAACAUUAUUCCCAGUCAUAAUUAUAUCAUCCACGUAUAUAGCAACAAAUACUAAGGAACUACCCUUCUUCUUGUAAAACAAGGAAUAGUCACUGUCUGAAUGCUGAUAUCUCCUUGAACACAGACUGUCUGCUAGCUUCUCAUACCAUUGCCUACUUGCCUGCUUUAGUCUAUAUAAAGAUUUCUUUAACUUGCAUACCAUGUUAUCACAUCUUGUUGUAAGACCUUGUGGAGGUACCAUGUAAACUUCCUCAUGUAAAUCACCAUGCAAAAAUGCAUUAUUCACAUCUAGUUGAUACAAGUUCCAACCUUUCUUAACAGCCAAUGAGAUCAGUGUUCUCACAGUAGUCAUCUUUACUACAGGUGAAAAAGUCUCAGUGUAAUCUACUCCAGCUUGUUGUGUAUAGCCUUUUACUACCAACCUUGCCUUGAACCUUUCUAUACUUCCAUCAGCCUUAUGCUUUAUCUUGUAUACCCAUUUGCAGCCAAUAGCCCUUUUUCCAUCAGGUAACAUGACCAUUUCCCAAGUAUCAUUAGCAUGUAAAGCUUCAAACUCAUGUGUCAUGGCUUGCUGCCAAGCAGGGUGCAGUAUUGCCUCUUCAAAGGUGUUAGGUUCACAUUCAUGUGAAAUAGCUGUGACUAGCUGCUGGCUAUCAGAACAAAGACUAUUGAAGCAUACAUGGUUAUUGUGAGAGACAAAAGUAUUGAGGGAAUGUAGUUUAGGUAGAGUAUAUGUAUAAUCCUUUAGAUAACUAGGAGUAUUUAUUGUUCUGGAAGUUCUUCUAGGCUCUUGUGUUGUAGAAUCAGCAGAUGUUGUUUCAUGUAUGUUAGUGAUAUUGGUUACUUGAUUUUCAGUGACUUCAUGUGGUGUUAGAUUGUCCAGCAUUUCAUCAGUAGCAAAUAUGUUUGUAUUUCCAGGCAUACAAGGUAUGUUAGCAGAAUGAGUAAGCAUCUUUAAGACAGAAUUGAAGCUAGAGUCAUUAUCAGGAACAUGAACAAAAGGAAACAUUUUUUCAUGAAAAACAACAUCUCUGGAUAUAUGAACUUUCUUUGUAGCUAGAUUUAAGACUUUGUAUCCUUUUGUAUUGAAUGGAUAACCAACAAAAAUAUGAGGAAUGGCUCUUGGUUCAAAUUUGUCCUUGUGAGUUUUUAAAACAGUUGGAAAACAAAGACAACCAAAACUCUUUAGAUGAGAAUAAGUAGGCUGCUUAAGGUAUAAUAUCUCAUAUUGAGAUUUGUUUUGAAGGAGUUUAGUUGGUAGUCUGUUUAUUAUGUAUGUGGCAGUCAAAACACACUCUCCCUAGUAUCUCAAAGGCAACUUUGAUUGAAACAAUAGUGCUCUUACUGUUUCAAGUAAGUAUUUAUGUUUCCUCUCUACCACCCCAUUUUGUUGGGGUGUAUAUGGACAUGUCUUUUGGUGUAUAAUGCCUUUGGUUUGAAAGAAAUGUACAGCUUCAGAUGAGGUAAAUUCUAAGCCAUUGUCUGAUCUUAUGGUUUUUAACUUGGUUUGAAACUGUUUUUCUACGAGGGACACAAAGGCUUUAAUGGUUUGAAGGGCAUUACUUUUGCAUCUUAGUAGUUGUGUCCAAGUGGACCUACUGUAGUCAUCAACCAUGGUGAGAAAAUAAUGGUAACCAUCAUGAGUAGGAAUAUGAUAUGGUCCCCAUAAAUCAACAUGUAGUAGUUCAAAAAUUUUGGUAGUGAUAGAUGUACUUUCUGGAAAUGGCAUCCUAGUUUGCCUAGCCAUAGGGCAUGUGUUGUAUGUAAAAGGUUGUUUAGGAGAAAAGUUUACAGGUAUGGAUGUUAUAUUUCUCAUCUUUACAAAAGGUACAUGUCCUAAUCUAGCAUGCCAUAGAAGUUCAUCAUCAUUGUAUGUGUGACUAUAGACAUCAGUAAGUGAAAGACACUUAUUAUUAGGAUGAGAAGAAGACACAGUCUUACAAGCUGCUUUAUUUGCAGUAGAAAUUUGAGAUUGUCUUACAGAGGAUACAUUGUGAAACUUUGAGACAAGAUGACAUUUAGAGUGAGAUGACUUUUCUUCAGCAGACUUUCAGCAGUUGUGACACUUUUGACACAAGAAAUAUAGGCCAUUCUUGGCCUUACCAAGCUCCAGAGGGCUCUUCAGAGAAGGGCCCUGCAAUAAACAAGAAGAUUUAUCAAAACUGAUGACUCCAUUAAGUUGUAGUGCUAAACAAUGAACAGAAAUGAGAUUAAACUUGAAGCUGGGUACAAAUAGCACUUUGCUUAGAGUUAACACUGGAUUUAAACAAGCAUCACCAACUUGAGUCACUUUAACCUUGUAACCAUUUGGAAGUGAUAUUAAGAAAGGAUAUGGAAGUGUUCUAAUAUUUGUGAGAGUGGUUCUAUCAUAAGUCAUAUGAUGUGAUGCUCCUGAAUCUAUUAUCCAAGAGCCAGCAGUUAGCUUAACACAUUCACAAGAAAGAUCACCUAUGUCUUUUAUAGAGGAAUAACAAGCAAGUAUACCUGCAAAAUUCACAGCCCCAUUCAUCAUGUUGUUUGAAUCAUCAGAAUUGAAACCUCCAUUUCCAGCUUGUAUAUUUCCCAAUAUGUUGAGUAAUUGUUCAUACUGAUCUUUGGACAGGCUUAUUGGCAUUUGCUUUCCCAUUUGAGGCUCUUCCUCAGAUUGUUGUUCACUCAUAUUAGAAGGACACACAUUUGCUGCAGUACUUGUUCUUUUUCCCUUUUGAAACUUUGGAUUGGAUGGAUAUCCAUGGAGUUUAUAACAUCUAUCUCUCGUGUGUCCUGAUUUCUUGCAAUAAUCACAUACUAAAAUAGACCUGUUGAUACUUGAAUUCCCUCUAGACAUAUUGUUACCAGAACUGGAUCCAGCCCCUUUAGAUGAACUAUAAUCUGUUCUGAAUCCUUUGUAACCUGCAUUGUUAUUGUACUGUCCAUAAGCAUUGAGAGAAGUAGAAUCCAAGGCUGUAUGAUUAUGAGGCUUUACUUCUCUUUGCUUUUCUUCUUGGCACAGUAUAGCAAAAGCUUGAGCCAUACUAGGAAGAGUGUUCAUCAUGAGAAUACUACCUCUAACAGUAGUAUACAUUUCAUUUAACCCCAUCAAAAAAUGUAUCAACCUUCUGUCUUGCUCAGCCUUUUGCAGCUUUGUUUUACCUCCACAAGAACACACACAUGUGCAUUGAGAAUUAAUGUCAACUGUGCUCAUCUCCUCCCACAGCUUUUUCAUUGUUGUGUAGUACUUAGUAAUGUCUAGAGUACCUUGAACAAGUUCAUUUAUCUCCUUCUGUAACUGGUACAAUUUGCAUCCAUUUGUUUGAUCAUAUCUCUCUUCUAAUUCUGCCCAUAACUCCCUAGCAUUAUUCACAUAUUGCAGGCUAUCUCGCAACUCUGGAGACAAAGAAUUCAAGAUCCAAGAUGUGACCAUAUCAUCACAUCUUUCCCACUGCAUGAAGUUAGGAUCAGUAGAUGUAGGCUUCACGAUUGUUCCAUUAAUGAAACCUGUUUUACUUUUAACUGAUAGUGCUCUGAGUACUGCUCUUCUCCAAGAUUUGUAACCAGUACCAUCGAAAACUCCAGGUAACAAUGAUGAUCCUGCAUUCUCUGAAGGAUGCAGAUAAAAGGGACUGGAAAAAUCCAAACGAGAUGUGGUUGAACUAGAAGCAACAUCUCCAACUUGAGUGUCAGUCAUUGUAUUGGAAUAUCUGUGAUAGAUCUAACACAAAAAAAAUCUAGAACUUGCUAAAUUCCAGCUAUGAAUGUGUUUCCUCAAUCAGAAAGAAAGAAGAAGAAACCUUACAAUACAACCUCUCAAUCAGUCAAUCGAAUCAGUUGAUAACAACAACAAAAAAUGGCUCACAGUUCGACUUCGAAACAGGACAAAUUAGACUACCAUGAAGAGAUUAUCACCAUCAAUUCAACUCCAUUGAUGAUCUCAUAUGUGAGCUUGAAAGCUUAAGCUUGCAGCUUUAACUUGAGAGCAGAUUAAGGGAAGAAGAAGAGUAUUUUGUAUUGAUUGUGUAUUGAAUUAAAAUGAAUACAAUAUGAGUAUAUAUGUAACCUUGAUGAAUAGCAAAACUAACUUCUAACUAACUAUUGGAAAAUAACAACUUGUAACUAACAACUUAUAACUAAUAUCUUGUAACUUGUAACUAACUAAAGCCACUAAUUUGUUACUAACAGAAAGUUUGUUACCAACAGAAAGUAUAUUCUCAUCAGUUAGUUCACUCCAUUCCGUGGCACUUAAAUAUACUAGUUCAUCCUUCAUUCCACACUCUUGAAAUGUAAUGGGGAAGAUAUUGGUUACUAUAAAUUAUGAAGGAAAAACUGUGAGGUAAAGAAUGGACAGGAACUAAAUCAAAGUAAAAUAUAUCAAAGCUUUCUUACACGGUAUGUAUAGAAAUACAUAAAAUAUUCAUAUAAUAUAAUACUAUAAUAACACAACAAACUCGGUACAUCCAAUUCAAAUACUACUAUAAAAGAAUUAAAAUUUCUUCUCCUAGCAGAAAGUAUCCAAUACUAUCUCCAUGUCGCAGCUCAUGUGGCAAACUUCAUAGAGUGAGAUGGAAAUCUCAAAACAUCAGUUGGGUACUUUCAAUUAGAGUGAAAGCAGCAUAUAAUUUACUCAAGGAGUAGCGGGUUUGUAUGGUGGAGAAAGUGAAGGAAGAGUUGGUUUAGGUAGUUCUGGAAUUUCAGGCUUUGGCAUAGUUGGGACUUUUAGCUUUGGAAGCUCUGGGACUUUUGGCUUUGGUAGUUCGGGGAUUUCAGUCUUUGGGAUAGUUGGUACUUCUGGCUUUGGAAGUUCUGGGAGUUUUGGCUUUGGUAGUUCUGGGAUUUCAGGCUUUGGCAUUUUUGGUACUUCUGGCUUUGGAAGUUCUGGGAGUUUUGGCUUUGGUAGUUCUGAGAUUUCUGGCUUUGGCGUUGCUGGGACUUUUAGCUUUGGAAGCUCUGGGACUUUCGGCUUUGGUAGUUCUGGGAUUUCAGUCUUUGGCAUAGUUGAUGCUUCAAGCUUAGGCAUUGUUGGGACUUUUAGCUUUGGAAGUUCUGGGGCUUUUGGCUUUGGUAAUUCUGGAAUUUCAGGCUUUGGCAUAGUUGGUACUUUUGGCUUUGGAAGUUCUGGAAUUUCUGGCUUUGGUAGUUCUGGGAUUUCUGACUUUGGCAGAGUUGGUACUUCAGGCUUUGGAAUUGUUGGGACUUUUAGCUUUGGAAGCUCUGUGGCUUUUGGCUUUGGUAAUUCUGGGAUUUCAGGCUUUGACAUAGUUGGUACUUCUGGCUUUGGAAGUUCUGGGACCUUUGGCUUUGGUAGUUCUGGAAUUUCUGGCUUUGGCAUAUUCGGUAGCUCAGGCUUUGGUAAAGUUGGAACUUCAGGCUUUUUCAUAGCUGGAGGAACCUCAGUCUUUGGCACUGCUGGAAUUUCUGACUUUUUCAAGGGAGGAAACUCUAAUUUUGGCAUUGCGGGUAUCUCAGGCAUCUUUGGCUUUGGCAAAGUUGGUAACUGGGGCUUGGGGAAAGUUGGUAGCUCAGGUUUUGGAAUGGUUGGAAGCUCAGGCUUUGGCAUAGUUGGGAUUUCAGGCUUUGGCAAGGCUGGGAAUUUGGGGAGUUCUUGUUUAGGAAUCUCAGGGAGGGACGUCUCUAGGAGGUGGCGUGCAGUCGCUUCAGUUAUGUUGCCAUAAAUGAAGAAUAAAUUGAGUAAUGCAAGUAGUAAAAGAGAGGAUAAGUGGUAAUACUGAGCCAUUUUUCUGCAAAAUCUUAGAAGAUUAAAGAAUAUGUGUGACAUUGGCUUCAAGUAUGUUGCUUUAUAUAGUUUUUUAAGAAUGCAUGCAAUAUGGACUUUUAGGAUUUUGUUUGUUAGACAGGGACCUUAGUAGUUGAAUUUCUCAUCAAACUAAAUUACAGCUUAUAGUCUGCUACUCAAAAGUCAAUGUAGAUGACCUAAAUUACAUCUUUGUGUGAACCUGUCACAAGCAUAUAGGUUAUGCUGGCAACCGAUUUAUUUAUUUGAAAAGAAAAAAAUUAUUCAUUUUUUAACCGCAAAUCUUCAUUUGGGUGUGUACAUUAUAACUCGAUAACACCAACAUUAAUAUAAUGGUACUAACUUCUACUCUCUUCCUUGUUACAGAUAGCCCUCACAAUGUGUCUUCUGAGAAUACUGCUGCAUCCUCUACAUUUUCCUCGAACACCCAUUACAUCUCUCUACUAAUUAUUAUGCACAUGUUUUUUUAAAAUUUUAUUAUUAAUGUAAUUAUAAUUAAAAAUCCUACACAAUAAAAAUUUAUAGCUACUUUUUAUUUCUUAAUUUCUCUAAUUAAUUUCAGUUCAUGUUUUAAUAUAAAUUUUGUAAGAUUAGCUUCAAUUCUUUGAGAUGUUUUAUUUUUCAAGCUCAAACUAAUUAGAUUACCAAACAAUUAGAUUUUGAAAAAUAUUAUCUUAACUUUGAAGGUCUUCUAAGAGUAACAAUCAUUAUAAUAUUAGUUUUUUUGUAUUUAAAAGUAUUAUGAAAUAUUACAUAAGUGAAAAGUGAUACUCUAAUUGACAUAUUCAAUCAAGUAAAGUCUUAAAUUUUAUUUUUGAAUACUUUUAAAAUAAUCUUUAUAGUUUAUUUAAUAAUUGAUUCUAUUGAAAAAGUUUUCAAAACUAUAAUCAAUUAAAGAGAUUUAAACAUUUAUGUUGUUAUGUAAAUUACAAUAGUUAUAUAUAUAUAUAUAUAUAUAUAUAUAUAUAUUUAUAUUUUUACAAGAAAUAUUAUAUUAUCAAUUGAAAAAAAAAUAUUAUAUUAUAAUUAAUUGUAAUAUUCUUUUAGAAUUUAUAAGAAUAAAAUAUAUAAAAUAAAUUUUUUUUAUUUUUUUUAAAUGUUGACUUUAGGUGAUAGUAAGUCACCUUUGUAGUAUUAACAAAUGUCUUCUGUAUUCUUUCUUAAUUAAUAUCUGUGUGAUUGUAUGUGGAAGAAGAAAAUGGUGACGGAAGAUUUAAUAGUGAUAAAGUAGAGAAAAAAAAAUUGACGUGAGAGUUGAGAGAGGGGGCUAAUAAAUGUGAACUUCUAUUUAGAAGAUGUGGUUGGUGUAGUAAUUGUGUAGUUUAUCUUGUUCAUUUGAUUUGAUUUCAAAUGUUAUGAUAUAAACUAAUGAAAUUAUUGCGUUUCUUCUAGCUUUUUUUUGAAAAAAAAUAUCUUUUUUCUAUAAUUGUUUUUUUGUAUUUUCUUAAAAACAAAUUAUUCAUAUGUAUAUAUAGUAUGAUAAUAUUUGUGUAAUGAAGAAAAUGUAUAUGAGGUCAUUGAAAUAACUAUAUGUUGUAUAUUUGAAUUUCCUCCAUCUUUCUAGAUUCUCUAUACAAAUUCUUGUUUAUUUUUUUUAAUAAAAAACUUUUGAGCUUCUUAAUUAUGUCCUAAUUAUUAUAUUUUAUUUUAUUUUAAUUUUUUAAUAUAAAUUAAACAUUUUUAAGAAUUAUGAAAAUGAAAUACACAAAAAAUACAAAUGAUAUUUAAGAGAAAAUUAAUAUUAUAAGAUGACGAGAUAUCAAUUAUAACUAAUUUAAAUUUACAAUUUUAUUAAUGGAAGUGUUAAAUAGCUAUAAAAUUUGGUUAAGUUCGGCCAGAAAAUUUAAAUAUUAUAAAAAAAUUAUUUUAAAAUAAACUAAUUUUUUUUUCAUUUUUUAGUUAAAAGAGUAAAAAUGUUUAAAAUCUAAAAUAUCAUUUUGAUCAAAAAAAAAUUCUUUUAUUAAAUAUGAAAUACAUUAAUAAUUAUGUAUUGAUUUAUUAUAAAAUUAAAUAAAUGAACUGUCAAAAUUUAGAGCUUUUGAUUAACAAAAGCCUUUCUAGAUAAUUGAAUAGGAUUAUUGUUUGAGAAAAAAACAGCAGUAAGGAGCUUUUUCAGUUCUCCAACAUUCCUCAAAGUCGAGAGAAUAUAAUAAAAUGACCUCAAGCAUUAGUUAGAGACAAGGCUAAUUCAUGUAUUAUUUUGGGAAAAUUGUAUAAAAUAGCAAAUUAAUAACCUAAAUUAAAUUGAAUAGCUAAGGUUUGAUUUAAUUGUGCUCCAUAGCAAAUAUUGACAAAAAUUUGCCAGGUGUCUCUCUCCCAGAAGUCUCGCUCGCCACUCUCCCAUUCUCGCCUUUCUCGCUUUAUACACAGAAAGUGUAUAAUUUCUGUUUCUGUUUUGUAUAAAGCGAGAGAAAAUUGUAUAUACACAUGCAAAAUGUAUAUAUCUUCGUGUUAUACACUUAAUUAUAUAAUUUACAAACAUUUUACUUCAAAUAUUGCAGAGAAAAAGGCCAAAGAAUUAUACAAUUGUGAAUUAUACAAUUGCAGUGAAAUACAAUUUUUUCUAGCUUUAUACAACAAAAGUGUAUAUAUUGUGUUUCUGUUUUUGUAUAAAGCGAGAAAAACAUAUAUCUUCUUGCUAUACACUUAUAAUUAUGCAAUAUACAUACAUUUUAAUUCGAUUCAACUGUAUGCAAAGCUAAUUAUACAAUUGCAGCGAAAUAGGCCAGCGAAUUAUACAAUUUAGGCCAGCGAAUUAUACACUUUUAUAUAUAUAGCGAAUUAUACAGUUUUUAUAUUUGCUAUGGAGCGCAAUUAUGCAAAGUUUGCUAUAUUAUACAAAUAUAAUUUUUUUGUUUGCUAUAUGUGAAAGUUACCCUAUUAUUUUUUAUAAUAUAAUCUAUCACACGAUCUGUUAUGGUGAUCUUUAACUUGUCUCUGUUUAGAUGUUUAUCGUCCAUAGCCCUGACAGAAAGUGGGGAUCGAGUGGAUCUAAAGAAAGAUAACAAACAACAAUCUGCAUUGACAGAGCUGGCAGUAGCUAAUAAACUUGCCCACUGAAGGGGUUUGAUCCCAUGGACAUUGGCCCAUGCUCACGAACCAUUUGGAAUGCAACAAAAAAUAGUUUUUUAAUUGAGUUAAUGGGUAGUAUUGUGAAUAAAUUUGGAUCUAGUUGUAUGUGGAUCGAUAAAAGUUAUGGGACAUAUUUAAUUUAUGAUAAAAUUCUUAUUAAUAUAAUAAAUGCAUAAGUUAUAAUGAUUUUUACUAAUACAAAACAAAAGUUGGAUGAUUUUACUAGAUAAAUUUUAAAAUUUGUGUGAACUUUUGAAACAUUAGCCUGAACUAAACCAAAGUAACAUUAGAUCAGAGCUCUGUUACACAUACUGUAUAUAUAGAAAGUAAUAAAAUACUCAUAAUGACAUAUCAAACAUGGUACAUCCAAUUCAAAUACUAUUAUAAAAGAAUUAAAAUUUCUACUCCUAGCAGAAAGUAUCCAAUACUAUCUCCAUGUCACAGCUCAGGUCGCAAGCUUCAUAGAUUCAGAUGGAAAUCGCAAAAUAUCAGUCGGGUACCUCCUACUAGAGUGAAAGUAGCAUAUAAUUUACUCAAGGAGUAGCGGGUUUGUAUGGUGGAGAAAGUGAAGGAAGAGUUGGUUUAGGAAGUUCUGGAAUUUCAGGCUUUGGCAUAGUUGGGACUUUUAGCUUUGGAAGCUCUGGGAUUUUUGGCUUUGGUAGUUCUGGAAUUUCAAGCUUGGGCAUUGUUGGUACUUCUGGCUUAGGAAGUUUUGGGAUUUCAGGCUUUGGAAGCUCUGGAACUUUAGGCUUUGGCAGUUCUGGGAUUUCAGGUUUUGGCAUUGUUGGAAUUUUUAGCUUUGGAAGCUCUAGGGAUUUUGGCUUUGAUGGUUCAGGGAUUUCAGGCUUUGGCGUAGUUGGUACUUCAGGCUUUGGAAGCUCUGGGACUCUUGGCUUUGGUAGUUCCGGAAUUUCAUGCUUUGGCAUAGUUGGUACGUCAGGCUUUGGAAGCUCUGGAACUUUAGGCUUUGGUAGUUCUGGGAUUUCAGGCUUUGGCAUUGUUGGGACUUUUAGCUUUGGAAGCUCUGGGGCUUUUGGUUUUGGUAAUUCUGGAAUUUCUGGCUUUGGCAUUGUUGGUACUUCUGGUUUCGGAAGUUCUGGAACUUUUGUCUUUGGUAGUUCUGGUAUUUCGGGCUUUGGCGUAGUUGGUAUUUCAGGCUUUGGAAGCUCUUGGACUUUUGGUUUUGGGAUUUCAUGCUUUGGCAUAGUAGGUACUUCAGGCUUUGGCAUUGUUGGGAUUUUUAGCUUUGGAAGCUCUGGGACUUUUGGCUUUGGUAGUUCUGGGAUUUCUGGCUUUGGCAGACUUGGUAGCUCGGGCUUUGGUAGAGUUGGAACUUCAGGCUUUUUCAUAACAGGAGGAACCUCAGUCUUGGGCACUGCGGGGAUUUCUGACUUUUUCAAGGGAGGAAUCUCUAGUUUUGGCAUACUAGGAAGCUCAGAUUUUGGCAUGGUAGGGAUCUCAGGCAUCUUAGGCUUUGGCAAAGUUGGUAACUGGGGCUUCGAAAGAGUUGGUAGCUCAGGCUUUGGUAUGGCUGGAAGCUCAGGCUUCGGCACAGUUGGGAUUGCUGGAACUUUUGGGAGUUGUGGUUUAGGUAUCUCAGGAACGGGUGUCUCGAGGAGAUGGCGUGCAGUUGCACCACUUAUGUUGCCAUGAAUGAAGAAUAUAUUGAGAAAUGCAAGCAGUAAGAGAGAUGAUACGUGGUAAUGUUGAGCCAUUUUUCAGCAAAUGUUAGAAAAGCUAAAAGAAAAUGCGUGUAAGAGUGGAUGUGGCAUUGGCUUCAACUCUGUUGCUUUAUAUAGGUUUAAGAAUGCCAUUACUAGGACUUUUAGGAUUUUGUGAUCUGAGUAGUUGAAUUUCUCAUCAAACUAAUUAGCUUAUAGUUUGGUACGGUACGUCAAAAGUCAAUGUAGAUGACCUAAAUUGAACAAUAGUGUAAACCUGUCACAGGCAUAUAGGUUAGGCUGGCAACCUCAUAAAAAUUCUUAGUAUAUGUGAUUUCAUCUCUAAACUAGUUAUCAGAUUGUAAUACAAAAUAACUUCCUUUCUCGAUCAUAGUCAUUUCGUCCUUGAUAUUUUCUCUACAAAUAAAAACAGAGGUAGGCAAAAGAGUGACCCUUCAACUUUCAAGUCUACUGAAUCUAAAACAGAAAAUUGUCUGAGUUUACAGAUCAUAAACUAACUUGGAACACAUAAUUCUCUGCUAUCCUAUUCUACAUAGUACAUAAUAAUGGUGGAGCACUGCAAGUGAAACAUGUUGAACAGUAUUAUACAAUCCUCCAAGAAAUGAAAUGAAGUCAAUAGCUGAAAAAAAAUAUCAUAUAAAAGAACUGUUGAUGAUAUAAUCAAAUAGAUAAGUGUUUAAUGCCUCCGUCCAUUGCCUUAAAGUUUUGUGUUGGAGACAUAUUCACUCAUAUGGUGUCCAUAUUCAAAUUUUCGGUAAAUCAGUCUUCACAACUGUUUUUCUCUAUCUACUCUACGCUUAGGACAAAUAUCCUUCUACGGACCAUCAUCACGCCAUGCCACACUAGGCUUCUCUCUUCCUUCACUCUGCUUCAUAUCCACUCUUCAGCCUUCAUGGAAAAAAGAAAGUACAAAUAGCAGCAAAAAAUAAAAUACAAAUCAGUCAACUGGUAAACCAUAUAACCAGGCUACAUACGCAGGAUUGUGUUAAAUAUACUCGUCACUCGUUGUAUGUGUAAGGAUUUACAGAAAUGUUUAUAAUGUCCUAGACCACUCCACCCAUCAGCUUAAACUUUUUGGUCGAAUACUCAUAUUCUUUCUGAACUAGUAUCCUCAUGUGCCUAUUCCAUGCAGUCAUUUCAACUACCAAACCACAUUAAAGCAUGCAACACAAAAUGUUCAAUCCUGUUUACUACAACUGCAUUUGUCCAUGACACUUAUACCAGCAUCUUCCAUUUAAACCAUAUCGGCCCUACAUAGAGUAAAAUAUGUUAUUCUGAAACUAACCAUAGCCACUUACAAUUUUCUUUUCAAAGUUAAACCAAACAGAGAAAAGAAAUACUUGCUACUGAACCCUGAACAUAUUGCCACUGAACUCUGAACAUAUGAAAGAACGGCAGCCAUAUCAUUUUGAAGUUUUAACCAAUCAAAGUACAUAAACAUCCCUGGGAAUUUUAUGGUCCUAAUGGAAAAGAACUGCUUUUAUCUCCACCUGAGAUUUUGGUGGUUAUUCCUUGUGUGCAUUCAGUUUAAACCGACCCUCCGGAAUUUAUUUGUUAUUAAAAAAAGAAAAAGUGGAUUCCGUAUCACUGCAACAUAAAUGGAAUGAUAAGCAGAUUAUAACUUCUCAUAGAGGUUGUAUCGCAGGCUAAAAUUGAGGCUGGAAACAGCAACUUUAGUAACUUUAGACUUUCCCAUUACACCAACUCCAACUGAACCAAGUUGGAAGUAAUAUAAGAACUUAUCAGAACAAAACUGAGUUUAUAUCUGACUUAGCACACAAUCAUUGUGGGGACGUCACUUGCAAACACAUAAAUAGAAGAAAGAUCUAGCCAACCUUCAAAUUGCAUCAUCUACCAUGCUCAUUAAGUCAUAAAUGCCUACACAGCUCCUGCGACCAAUGACAAGUGUGUUCUCUACCUGCAUAGAAAUGAAAGUAAAGUUGAAAAAUCCUUUAACGGUCAUUUUAGAUGGAAAAAUGAACCAAACACGACAAUUCACUACCCGACCACCAUCUCCAAAACAAGAGCUCAGACAAAGAAACAAGGAAAGCAAAGAGAAGAAAGUAUAUAAAAAGAGAAUUUGAAUAGGAACCUCAUGCAACCUCAUUGUUAAUGAAUAAAAGUCAAUUAUCGUCAAAAAAUUUCCAAUUUCCGAUGUAAAUCCAUUUCACAAGUUCUUACCGUGAUUUUGGAUAUCAACAAAUUCCAAUCCAUAAUUCAUUUAUAGAUCUCCAAAUAAUCUAGUAGCAACAUCAUGCUAAAUACUGAUUGAGAAAUUACAUGUUGUACCAAAUUCCAUUCUCCUAAACAAUUAAAGAAUAUAGGGAAAAGGGACGGAUUUACCCCGAACUUUAAUAAAUGGUACGUCUAUGCCCUCCUUUAUACUUUGCAUACACAUAUGCCCUACCGCCCAAUUAUAGGUACAAAUAUACCCCUCUCACUAACGGAUUUCUAUUUUUUUACACGUGUCUUAAUCCUAUUAAACUACCCGUUUGACCUUUUUUUUAAACCCGUAACCCAAAUAUCCGCCCCAUAACCCAUAACUUACCCAAUACACACUAAAGGAAUCUUAAUUAGAAUACCCAAAUUAACAUUCAGCCAAGUAUCUCUUGCAGUGCCCUUUCCAAUUGGUUUAGAAUUAUUAGUAGUUCAGUACUUUAUAUGACAUAAUAAGAAAUGGAAGGAGAAAAAAAAACUAAAUACCGCACGGAGUUGCCACUGCUAGUAAAGGCAAUUUCCUGCGAAUGGAGAUGCCAGUGCAUUUACACUCAUAUCCAAAUCCUCUUUUUCAUUCCUUGUGGUAAUGCAAAAUUGAAUUCGUUCACAAGCCUUGCUUAUGCUAGCUCAAUUAUCACAAUAGCAAAAGGAAUUCCUGAGCAACCCCUCCUGCCAGCUUCGAACGGAAUCAACUCAAAGUUUAGUCCUCUGAAAUCAAUAUCACUAUUCAAGAAUCUCUUAGGCCGGUACACCUCUGGUUCAUCCCAUGAUAAUGGGUCUCUUCCAAUUGCCCAAACAUUAAUAAGGACUUGAGUUUUAGCAGGUAUGUCAUAGUCUAGUAAUUUUACGUCUUCCAUUGAUUCUCGAGGAACUGGUAUUGGAAACGGUGGAUUAAGCCUAACACUCUCUUCGAUUACUGCUUUGAAAUACUGCAGAUUUCCUAAGUCGUCCUAUGUUAUCUCUACUUUCCCUUGGGCUAAUCCUCGCACUUCAGUCUAUAAUUUCUCCAUGGCUCUUGGAUUCCUCAAAAGCUCAAUCAUUAUCCACUCUAAAGUUGUAUAUAUGAAUCCACACCAGCAAUAAACGAGUCCGUUGCAAAAAUUGUUGGUGUGUGAGAUAUUUGGGUGAAUGUUAAUAUUGGUGUCCUAAUUAGGAUUUCUUUUAGUGUGUAUUGAGUGGGUUAUGGGGCGGAUAUUUUGGCUAUGGGUUAAAAAAAAGUGGUCAAAUGGGUAGUUUCAUAGGAUUAAGACACGUGUAAAAAAAUAGGGAUCCGUUAGUGAGAGGGAUAUAUUUGUAACUAUAAUUGGACGGCAAGGGCAUAUGUGUACGCAAAGUAUAACGGAGAGCAUAAACGUACCAUUUAUUGAAAUUCGGAGGUAAAUCCGUCCCUUUUCCCAAGAAUAUAAGAUCUGCACAUUGUUACUGUAUGAAGGUGACAGGAAUGCAGAAUCUUGAAAAAAAAAAGGGGGAAGUUCUAGAAAGUACCAUGUCGGAAGAUAAAUGGGGGCAAGACUUACUCAUUUUAAAAGAAUUAACACCAAAAUGACUAUCUGAAUUUGUCACCAACGGACCAUUUCGGCACCAAAAGAAAGGAACCAAAAUAUAUGUACUGAGAAUGCAACCCAGAAUGUAUACAUCCUUGGCAAUACAAAACAUGAUUAUCAACAAGGAACAAAGGCAAAUAUUAGGAACAGCUACUUGUUCUUCAUAAGGAUUAAGAAGGCACUGGACUUGCCACACUGUGAAUUGCAGAGGCUUCACCUGAUUGGAAACCUUCCAUAGUUGACGGACACAUGCGAGAGUCCACACAAACAAGCAUGACAAACUUCCCUUCAAAUUGAAGGUUGAAACCUCAGCACUAAGCUAUGAAAUUAAAGUGAAUUACUGACUGAGUUUGAAUAACAAGAAAAUAUAUAACAGCUGCAGAAGAAAAGUUACCUUUCUUCUUGGGAAUAUGUAAGAUUUACUUCCCUCUUAAAGUCACUUGUUACACUUGGACUGCCCUUAGAGAGGCUUGCCUAUAACACAAGACAAUCUCAGGAGAAAAGGAAUAAUUCUCAUCAACAGAUGUUUCAUGUGCAAGCAGGAUAAUGAAACUGUAAACCAUCUCUUUUUGCACUGCGCUGCAAGCAGUUGGCUUAUGGAAUUUGUUUUACCCUUUAUCUGGGCUCCAAUGGGUAAUGCCCUUCUCCAUGAAAGAUGCCUAUGUAAGUUGGUCACUGUGGAGAGUAGAUAUAACCGUCAAAAGAAUGUGGAGAAUAAUCCCAGCAGUUGUUUUUCGAUGUCCCUGGAACGAGAGAAAUAGCAGAUGCUUUGAUGGAAUCUCAACUCCUACUAGCACACUCAUGGCUAGAUGUUUAGAAUGUUAUUCAGUUCGCACUUUCUUUCCCCAGUUAACAAUGGGGAUAACAAUUUAGAUUUUGUUAGCUCCAUGUCUUUAGCUUAGUAGAAUAUUCAGGAAAUUCUUUGGCUGUUUUACAGGUUUAGGCCUAAGUUUGCUUCACGUUUUGUUUGAAGCAACUUCUUUUUCUCUCUUGUAAUGCUAUUCUAAUAAGAUUUGAUUCCCUUACCCAAAAAAAAAAAAAAAGAUAGCACCUCUAUUGGUGAUGUGAAGCUCUUCCUUGUAAAUUGUCACGUCUCAAACAAACCUCAUUUGCUGCCAACCAAGAGACAUUGCACUUCGAAUGGAGCCUUAGUUUUUCCAGAUCUGUCUCCAUGGCCAAUUUUUUCCUUGAACAUUUUGUUGUCAAAGCUUUUAAAAGAUCCAAAACCAAGACUUAUAAUCAUGUAUAAAGAGAAAUGGGAUAAAAACAUGUAACAUUGUAUGCGGUAGAGGAGUCCCUUUUAUUUAAAUGGAAGCUUAGCAUAUAUCAAAAAUUUAUCCUAAAAGAUUCAAAAAUGUUGGCAUCAUUUCUCACAAGGGAAAAAAUCAAAACUAUAUGAAUCUAUUAGCAGUUAGCUCCAAACAAGUAACAAGGAUACAUAAAAGUAACCAAUUGCCUGAGAAAGUAGAAAAAAACUUGGUUUCAAGAAAACAGAGUUCAAGAUAAAGUUAAAACUUAUAUAGCACAACUGAAGGGAAAACAAGAACAGGCAAACAAGGCCCUCUGAGAACCUAUGUGAUCUUUUAAAAGAUAGAAACAUAGGACACUGAGGAUAAAUGAUUUAAGCUAUACAAUAAGAAAACCAAGAUUACUGAUGCAGUAUGGAGAUUAGAGCUAAAAGCUGAUUAUUGCAAUUACUUCAAUGCAAACUAGCAAUACAUUAGCAUUACAAUGAAAACAUCAAGGCCAAUGCCUGAGUAGCUUUUCAUCCCUUACUAAAACAUACAAAAGACAAAAGGAAGCUACAACUAGAACAAAAGAAAUGCCUUACUUUGCUAGGCAGCCUUAACCUUAUCAUCACCCACAGCAUUGAGUAUAGGAAGACUGCUUAGGAAUUCAUCAAGACCUUCAAAAAACUCAAUCCCUUCAAUGUUCCCAUCCUCCCCUGUUCCAGCUCCAUUGCCUUGGCCUACCCCAGGUGCAGGGGGCUCUUCAACCUCAUUACUGAAUUCCACAUUCAAAUCCAAUUUCCCAACAUCUUUGGUAACCCUUCCAGCUUGCCUUCUGGCAUUACCAGCUCUCUUGCUUGAUUGAGCUGUUGUAACAUUGGGCACUUCUACACCCCCUUGAGUCACUGAAACAUCUUGCACAUCAUCACCAGCAUUCCCUACAACAUUCUUUCCCUUGUCAGAUUUCUGCAUCUUGCCCUUCUUUCUCCUAAACCUUUUACUUUUUCGUUUCCCACUCUUUGCCUUCUUCAUCUUAUUAUCACCCUUCCAAUCCUCAUCUGACUCCUCACUCGACUCUGAUAAUCCCAGAAACACAUCCUCAUAAUCAUCAAUAUAAACUCUGGGAGCAGAUGGCUUUCUUACACCUCCAUGUUUAUUAAACAUGGGUGCAAACGGAGUCCAGCUCGAAAUAUUGCCUUUGUAUUUCUUAAAGAUCUCCAAGGAAAAUCCUAAAGGCAUAAAUCCCCAACAACAGAAAUAAGCUUCUUGUCCCUCUAUAAUUGGUGGUGGCGAGGCAAUCUUUACAGCCUGAAAUGCCCUCUUGCACUUUUGACACCUCAAAGUACAAUCCACGUACUCUAAAGGAUACUCAUACAUCAGAUAACAAUAAGGACAUGCAGUCCAGAAACUAGGAACAGCAGGACUUGACGCAUCUGCACCCCUCUCUUUUCCCCUGACAUUGUUGUUACUACUACUAACAGAAUGAUUUUGAUUGUUCCCAAAAAAAACCUCAUUGUUAACAUUGUUGUGACUAGUAUUAGCAGACUGAUUUUGAUUGCUCCCAAACAAACCCUCAUUGUUCACAUUUCUAUUGGUACUAGCAGACUGAUUUUGAUUGUUCCCAAACAAACCCUCAUCGUUCACAUUUUUACUAAUACUAGCAGAGUGAUUCUGAUUGUUUCCAAACAAACCCGCAUUGUUCGCAUUUUUACUAAUACUAGCAGAGUGAUUCUGAUUGUUCCCAAACAAACCAGCAUUGUUCACAUUUUUACCAGAGUGAUUUUGAUUGUUCCCAAACAAACCCUCAUUGUUCACAUUUCUACUAGUACUAGCAGAGAAAUUUUGAUUGUUCCCCAACAAGCCCUCGUUUCUUUGUGGUGCCUGCUUAUUACCUUGCUGAUGUACAGAAACUACUUCUUGUUGCUCUCUUCUCGACUCCAUAGACGCUACUCGAUGUUGCCCUCUUGUCGAGUCUACAGAAGCUACUUGCUGUUGCCCUCUGGUCGACUCUACAAAAGCUACUUGCUGUGGCCCUCUUGUCGACUCUGCAAAAGCUGUUUGUUGUGGCCCUCUGGUCGACUCUGCAAAAGCAACUUGUUGCUGCCCUCUUGUUGAUUCUGCAAAAGCUACUUGCUGUUGCCCUCUUGUGGUACUUGAUCCAAAGGUAAACGGGUGUUGUUCUCUGUCCGGGCUUAGCAUAGUAGAGCUUACUGGCUGUGUUUGAUUUCUGCUCAGAAAUGUUACAGGUUGCUGCUCUCUAGUCAAGCUAGUCACAGAAGUCAUUGGCUGGGGUUGUGGGUCUUGAAGAAAUGUUACAGUCUGCCGCUCUCUGCUUGAAGAACUCGGAACAGAACUCACUGGAUGCGACUGUGGUUGACUCUGAAAAAUCAUAGAACUUUGCUGCAUGAAACCAACUGGGUUAUUAGUCGGAGGUGGAGGAGACGAUACAGGGUUAAGGUUAAGAAAAAACCCAAUUUCUUUAUCAUAAACACUUCUCCUAAAAGCGUUUGAAAGAACAGACCAAGCAUCAACCACAAGAUGAAAAGCAUGGUCAGAGAAAGGGAAAUUGUUCUUCUGAGGGUUCAAUAGGAGCGCAAGACGUCGGUACUGAUUAGCGAUAAGUUCAGAAUCAUGAGUUUGGUUGGAAGGAAUUUGAAGAAUAGAGUAAUAAUCAAGAUGCUGGUUGUUGAUCCGCUUGUCGCCGGCGAUUAGGGUGUCAACGAUUGCAAGAAUUUGGUCGGCAGGUAAAAGGGUCGGGUCGGAUUCAUGGGCACGGGUCGCAAACGAUUUGCUUCCAACUAGGUCACGGUUAGUCAAUAGCUUCUCGGCAAUUGAUAACCACCGUAUCGCCUCCGCUCUCGACGUAUUUCCAGCGCCGUUCAUGAAGAAUGGAUGUUCCAUUUUUGAGUUUUUCAACUUCAGUUCCAAGAAAAGAAAGAAAUUGAAGUGAAGAAGAAAGAAAAGAGAGAGAAAUUAAGUGUAGCAGUAGUAGUAGUACUAUAUUAACUGCUAUGAAGAAGGACACAAGUUAUAAGAUACAAAAUGACAUAAAGGCCACGUGUUUGUAGACUUUAUAACCAUGAAAAUAUCCUUAGAUAAAAGGAUAAAAAGGGAAAAUUAAAAAUGUUUACUGUGGUAAAACAUAGAUUUACUUGUUAAUUACUAUCCGUUGUUAUUUGUUUCAAUAAGAUCAUACGAAAUCUGUUACAACUAUGAUAACACUUAAUUCAAAGUGAGUUAAAUUAAGUUAUCAACUUAAGUUUAUUAAAAUAUUUAAUUAAUAUUUAGCAGCAUAUAGGAGUUGAAUUUAUUGCAUAUACACACAGUUGAACAAUGAACGACUCACACGUGGCAGCUUAAGAAUGUAUAGUUUAAUAAUAGUAGAAAAUAAUUUACAAUAUUCUUCUUUUUUUUCUUUUCCCUAAUUGUAUAGUGUGGUAAUAUAUAGCUCUUCUAGAAAGAAAAAGAGAAGUGUUGUAUGGUUGACUAUUUUUCCAAUUCGAGAAAAGUAACCAAAUUUAUAUAUUAUCUUCGUUCACUUUUAAUUGUCGUAAUUUCAUUUUUCUUCGUCUAUAUUUAUCUGUCAUAAUUUUAUUUUUUAGAAUUAGAUAAUAAUAAUUUUAACUAAUAUUUUAUAAUGUAUCUUUUUAUUGUAUGAAUAUGCAAAAAAAAAAUAAUAUAUAUAAUAUUUUUUAUAUAAUUUUUGAAUAUCUCAAUUUUUUGAUUUAAAUAUUAAAUUAAUAUUAUCUAAUUUAACUUGAAAAUUAAUCAAAUUGACUUUCAAAAAAUGUAAAUAACAAUUAAAAGCGAAUAGAAUGAGUAUCAUUUAGCAACCAUAACAAUUAAGAGUGUAAAAAUAAGCGGGUUAAAUUUAAUUUGAAGGAUUAAAAUGAAUAAGUUAUUGAAUUGCUUAACUGUUAUUUGAAUUAGAAUUGGCUAAAAAUGUUUAAUGAUUCAGAACGUUUAUUACUUACCAGGUUUAAAUUUUUAUAACAUGUAUAACCAUCUAAUAUAAGUUUUGUGAUCUUUAUUAUGGUUACGGAAAAAUGGUAAAAAAUUACCUUUAAACUAUCCGAUAUAGCUUAUUUAUAUCCUCAAGCUAUAUUUCGGCAUAAAAUCUACCCUUUCUGACAAAUUAUUGGGUCAAAAGUAUUAUCUUAUUAACGAAAGUUGUUAAAUGUCAUGUAGAUGCUACAUUGCAUGCCAAUAGGGUUCCACUGCCAUGUACACUAAUAAAAUCUCUAAAAUCUAAUUUUCCCCUCAUUGCUUUCCAAACACGAUUUCAUCUAUUUCCCCUAAUCAUCCCCUCGUUUCUCCAUCUCCCUUAAAAACGAUUUCAAAUCAUCCAAGUCGUCAAAUUUAAAGCAUUGAGACAACAAUGAAUCUUCUUGCAUACGAUUUUUCAGGUGAAGAUUCUGACAUUAUCUCGAAUCUAUGUCAGCUUCGAAAUUGAUAAAUAAGUGAAAUCAUUUCUUACCCUAACCGUGAAAUGAGGGGAAAGGGGUAAGGUGAAAUCGUUUCUAAGGGAAAAGGAGAAUGAGGGGAAAAUUAGGGGAAAUGAAUGAAAUCGUAUUGAGGGGAAAAUUAGAUAUGGAAGUGGGAAAUGUUGGGCCUUAUGUGGCAUGCAAUAUGAUAUCCACGUGGCAUUUAACAACUUUCGUUAAUAAAAAAAAUACUUUUGACCUAAUAGUUUGAUGGGAAGAGUAGAGUUGAGCCAAAAAAUAGUAGGAUAAAUAUGAGUUGUUUCCAAUAGUCAAGGGAUAUUUUUGAGUCUUUUUCGUUAUGGCUGUUUAUUGGAUAUUGUUUUGAAAUAUAUUUUGAUAAAAAUUUCACCGAUCUAUUUGGUUACAUAUUUGUCCAACUUUUAGAUGUAUGAGUGUUAAUUUUGUGGUUUAAUUUGAUUUCGAAUGUUACUCGAUUGAUCUUAUUGAUUAUUAAUUCGUAGAUAUAUUAAACUAUUGUAAAUCAUUAAGAUAUUGAUUUUUAAUAUUUAACGACUUAAUAAUCAACUGUCGAAUUCUGAUUGUGAUAUGUGAAGUUGCUCCUUGUUUGUACCAUUGGAAACAAACUUUAUAGAAUUAACUAUAUGGCCUGAGAUUUGGUGAAGUGUCUGUAUAUAACUUAUCAGUUAACCAAUUAAGAAUAAAUCUUAAGAUGUGUUGUUAUGAGUAGAAAAAUAGUGCACACGUACAAAAUUGUAUUCAUUUUAUAUAAGGGCAAAGGCUUAAAUAUGCCAUUGAAUUUUCAAAAAAGGUAUAUUUAUGUCAUUAGUUAAAAGUUUGGCUCAUUGAUGUCAUUACCGUUAAAGAAAAGGCUCAUUCAUGCCAUUAUUUUUUAAGGGUGGUUUAGCAAAAUCAUUUUGACACAUGACUAAUUAUAAUUCGGUCACGUCAUCAAUUUAUUUAAUAAAAAAAUAAUUCAGAAUUAUGAUUUUUUUUAUUUAAAAAAUUGAUGAUGUGGCUGAAUUAUAAUUGGUCACGUAUCAAAAAUGGUUUUAAAACCAUUGUUAAAAAAUAAUGACAUGAAUGAGCCUUUUCUUUAACGGUAACGACAUAAAUGAGCUAAACUUUUAAUUGAUGACAUAAAUGAGCUUUUUUAAAAAGUGUAUAUAUUGCAGCAGAAAUUAACCAUACUUUUAAUUAUAUACAAAAACUAAUUGAAUGAAUACACAAUAUCUUAUGUAUACACAAUCAACAAAGUAUACAUAAAUUUAUGAUGUAUUCAUAAAUAUUCAUUGAGUGAAACAUUAUGAAUGCAUAUUGGACUGAUUGAAUACAUUACCUAAUAAACUCGUUACGUAAGUAUGUACAUAUAUAUAUAUAUAUAAAAUUUAUUUUAGAGGAUGCAUUAUGUAUUCAUAAUUGUUUUUUUAAUUGAUAAUACAUUGACAUAUUAAAAAUUUUCACUUUAAAUUGAAAUAUCAUUCGAAUAGAAUAAAUAUUUUUAUCACAGAUAUUUCAGAGAAAAAAUUAUUGUAAACUUGACAUUCUGUCAGUACAAUUUUAAUUUUGUGGUGUUGACACCAAUAGCAAUAAAAAUUGAUCGAUUUUAUAAUAAAAUUCAAAAGAAUUAGUAGAAGUAUCAACAAAUAAAGGAUUUGAAAUCAACAUCCAUGUUGAUAUUGAUAAUCACCACUUCUAUGAAACAAUUUACAAAUUAUUAUUACUAUCUCAUUCUCCAUUAUAAUGAAUCAAAACAAUUAAAGGUGUCACUUAUAUCUUAAUGCUUUUAUUUGCUCUAUGAUAUUUAUUUACUUUUAAGAUAUACUAAUAAUGGAGUUGGGUUUGGAAAUUUAAGGAAACCUGAAAUGCUAACUUUCGUAGCUAUAGGAAUUAAAACCACAUAAGAAAAAUAAAUCCACGUCUUCUAUUUAUUGCCAUUUGGUUGCCCGAUGAUUACUUUUGGGCUAAUACAUGCUAUUAUCUUUGGGCAACUUUCACAUAUAGCAAACAAAAAAUUCAUAUUUUUAUGCUAUAGCAAACUUUGCAUAAUUGCGCUUCAUAGCAAACAUAAAACUGUAUAAUUUGUUAUACAUAUAUAAUUGUAUAAUUCGAUGGCCUAUUUCGCUGCAAUUGUAUAAUUUGUUUUACAUACAGUUGAAUCGAAUUAAAAUGGAAUUAAAAUGUAUGUAUAUUGCAUAAUUAUAAGUGUAUAACAAGAAUAUAUAUGUUUUUCUCGCUUUAUACAAAAACAGAAACACAAUAUAUACACUUCUGUUGUAUAAAGUUAGAGAAAUUUGUAUUUCACUGCAAUUGUAUAAUUCGUUGGCCUUUUUCUCUGCAAUAUUUAAAGUAAAAUGUUAGUAAAUUGUAUAAUUAAGUGUAUGACACGAAGAUAUACAUUUUUGCAUGUGUAUAUAUAAUUUUCUCUCGCUUUAUACAAAACAGAAACAGAAUUAUACACUUCUGUGUAUAAAGCGAGGGAGGCGAGCGAGAAUGGAGAGUGGCGAGCGAGAUUUUUGGGAGAGAGACGCUGGAAAAUUUUAGCUAAUGCUUGCUAUGGAGCACAAUUAAAUCAAACCCUAGCUAUUCCAUUUAAUUUAGGUUAUUAGUUUGCUAUUAUAUAUAAUUUUCCCAUUUAGGCAAUUAAUUGCUAAAUUAAGUUGGGCUAUAAAUUGCUAAUUUUAUGUAGCAGUUGUACUUUUGUGUCAAUUCCUCAAGUUUCGGCCCACUUUUGAUGAUGCAAGGCCCAAUACAGAUUGAUCCAAGCCCAUUCUUGUUAUCGAGUGUUUUCACGAAUUGAGGAUGAUGAUCUUUAAACUUAGCUCUUAAAUAUGAUGGUCUUAGUUUUUUGUCUAUGCUUAUUAUUAAAUAAAAUUUACAGAUCAAAGUGCUUUUAUCUAUGAUUUAAUUCUCUUGAUAUAAGUUUGGAGAAUUUUUUAUUAUGUAGGAACUAAGUUUGCUCUGCUCGAUAUAAAUUUUUGCGUCAAAGUGAACCAAAAAGGUGGAUAAUCCAAUAAGAAAAUAACAUGUAGUAUUUUUAAAAAAUGAAGAAAGUGUUAUUAGUUUCAAAAAUAUAGGUGAACUUAAAAUAUCAUACCAAAAGAUGAAUAAAAAUAUUUUUAUAAUAGUUCAAAUAUAUUUUUAACUCUUUUCGAUAAAUUUUUUGAACCAUAUAUAUCAUGCACUUUCACAGAACUUGUCCCCAACUAAGAGUAAAAUCAAUUGCUAAAUAGGAAACGUGUAAUUAAAUGAAAAAUAUUCGUUAUCAAUAUUUCUUCGAUACUAAAUAGUACUAGUAAGUCCAAACAAAAGAUAUUUUUUUUUUUUGUGGGUGUGUUUCCAUGUUCUUUAUGUACCUAACUUUUUUUUUCCAUUCAAUUUCCAUGUACACUAAUAUCAGUGGAUCAACAUUGGUCCUGAGAUGGUCCUCCUCAAUGGUUCAGGCGGCACAUUUACUCUCUGACGAUCUUGCAAAAACUGGUUAACAAAGAAAAAGUUAUGUCAAAGUUCUUUAAGAAAUUGAUACUUUAUUCAAAUUGAAAUAACAAAAUUGUAAAGAUACGAUGCUUAAACUCAAAAGUUAGUUCACGAGAAAAGAAUUGUCUAAGUUUAUAUAAGCAGAUUAUUACUCAGCUAAUAUGAAACUUUAAUCCAUUCUAAGAUCCCGAUCUUUGCUCUAAUUGGGCCUAAGAGUGAAGGAGAUGUUACAAUGGGUUAAUGUUUAAGAAUGGGCUAGUAGUCUGUUUACGUAAAAUUAAACAAUCCUUCAUGAACUAUUUUUAAUGUUUGAAUUAGGUCUAAGUGUCAUAUUUGUACAAAAAUAGUGAAGAAGUGAAUGAUUAUCGAAUAAAUUUUACCGUAACCAUUUUUUUCAAGAAAUCAUUCUCCAUGAGAAGCUCCAAAUGUUGAGACUCCAAAUAUGCUUCACGAGCCUUAUAAACAUACAUAAUCAUGGACAUAAAAUAAAAACAAAGGAUCGUAGAAAAUCAUACAAAUUAAAUAAAAGAAAGCAUACCAGUCUCAUCUCAUGUGUUCUAGCAGCCACCUCUCUGUUUUUAAUUUUUUGUUUAGCCAUUUUGAGAAGCCUUUGUUCUUCACUCAUAACGACUCCUCUGUAUUUCCUUUUCUGUCUCUUUCUGCGAUGGUUGUUAGCUUUAGUUUGGCCACAGAAAAAAUACCUUAUAACAGGGCUCGACGAAUCAUUUGGAUUAUAAGAUGGAUGUGAAUUGCUAAUACUUGUGUAUUGCGAGGCCAUUUCCUCAAUCAUCCUUUCAGUCUCAACUACAUUUUCGAUAUUGUCAUUGGAAUUUAUUGAUGUUUUUGUUGCUGGAGUGAGUUUUGUUCGUUCAAAUGCUUCAAAAUCCUUGGAAAUUUGCAAUAUAGUACUGUUGGAUGGAUGCACAUUACUAGAGUCCAUUUCUUCGAUCAUCUUUUCAAACUCGUGUAUAUUUUCUUCCAAUGGAUCAAUAUCAUUAUUGACAUCUAUUGAUGUUUUGGUUGUUGAAGGCAACUCUGUACUUUCAAAAACUUCAAAGUCACUAGAUAUUUGCAUAAUAGUGGAUUGUGCAUCAUAGUGAAGAUAAUCAUAAUUAUUUUGGGCAAAGUAAUUGUCCAUAAAGUCUUUAAAAUCUACCUCAUCUAUGGACUUCUUUCUCUUAUAAUUAUUAAAAGCUUGAUAGAGCUUGUCAAGUUGAUCAUCCAUUAUCAACCUAUCCAAGUCUUUGUCUUCUUUUUUACAUGUAAAAUUCAAGUCCAUGGCUUUAUGAAGAAAGUUUUAGUCAACAAGCCUUAAUUUUUGUUGGUUAAUCAUGGUCUGCUUAGUUUCUAUUUCUAUUUAGCACAAGAUGUGAGUGGGGAAUAUAUUCUGCCACCAAGUAUUGAAGUUUUUGUUUUAGAACCCUUUUAUGCAAUAUUCCAGAAAUAUUUUGAAGUUGCAAAAUGUUCCAUUUUCUUGUCUUGAUAAAUGAAGGCUAACAAGGAACACGAAUAUCAUACAAUAAUUGUAGUCGGCAGUUGCAAAGCAUUGGGCCUUAAAAGAUGUCCUGAGUUGUGACUCCAAAGCACAUGGACUUAAGCCCAUUCCUAAAGUAGGUAAGGAUCGGGUUUAGCUUAACCUAUAAAUUUUUUAAUACGCUCUGCCUCGUAUAACAAUCUGUUGAAUCCACCCACCUCGUUCAGUAUAGAUCCGUCCCGCAUGAGCCCCGCAUAGUUUUUCUAAUAUUCUCUUUUUCUAGUUAAGUUUGAUACUAAAAGUAAAAUUUAUUUUUUUUCAUCAAGUUGUAUUAAUUUAAUAGAUAAUGACUUAGAAAUUUAUUUUUUAGAGGUCAAUUCGAAAACAAGAAAUUGUAUUAUUUUUUACUGAACCGUUUUUAUUUACUAUCUUAAAUAUUUUAAUAGCGUUAAAUAAAUUAUCUUAAUAAAUAAUAUUUUAUCACUCUUAUAACAUGUAAAAGGUUAAAAAUUAAGUUUGAACCCACAUAAAAUCACAUAUAUCCAUUACUCGCUCCACCUUGCAUUACAUUCUUAAACAACCCACUACAACCUGCCCGGCAUUCCUCUCUUCCCGCACAACCUUAAACCCACCCUCGCCCCGCAUAGCCUUAAGCACGCACCGCUCCGCAUGUGCCCCGCCGCAUUGCCAUCAUUUGAUAAAUUUCCAGCUUUGCAUAUUUAAAAAAAUGAUAAAACUUCGAUAACCAUUGCCAUCAUUAGAUAUAGGCUCAGGUAGUCUCUAAGUUUCCAGCUUUGCAUACUUGUGAAUCAUAAAUAUACAUGGUAAAAUAUUAUAAAACUUUGAUAACUAUAAGAUUUUGAAUUAGUAAAUAAACGAGUAAUUCUUAUUCAAGUGGUUCAGCAUUUUCACCAUUACUCAAUAAAUUGAUAAUUCGAGUCAGAGGCUACAUGAGAAAACUAUUGAUUCUCCUAAAGUAUAAAGAAAAAAAAAACAUAAGCUAAGAAAUAUGAUGGAAACUUUAAAUAUUGAAUCGUCAAUUAAAAUCUUAGAUUAAUUUUUUUUAUGAUCAGUAAAAAUAUUAAUUUACAUUUUAUUAGAAAUUACAUUCAUGACGUGUUUAAAAUCACAAAACUUGAAUAAUUGUAAUACUUUUUAUAUGUUACAUACACCAUUAUUUAAUAUUACUAUAUCAAACCAUUGUGUUGACGAUAUAAAUUUUUUUUUGGUUUUCAUAACUUGAACCUAAAAACUCUAAAGUAAUUAAAAAUAUCUUGAUGACGUUGCGUUCGAAGAUCUUGUAACCCAUUAGCUAAAUUAAAAAGUCAAUUAAAUUAAGUUGAAUCUUCGGCGCCAUCUUUAACUUCCCUAGUGGCCAAAUAAACAGAUAGUUUGCACCAAUGAAUUGGUAUAAAAAAAUUAGUUUAAUUAUGACUAAUCAGACUUUUAUAUUUCUUAUUAAGAUAAUUAUCUUGGUGUAUGUACUAAAUGGUCCCCUCCUCAUAAAGGAGAAACAAAAUCUCAGACACAGAUAACAAAAUUUUCGAUUAUAAAUUAUUAAAAUUCGAAUAUAUAAUUUGACAAAUACUAUAUGCCCUUUUGAUGGGCAUUAUAUGUAUAUACUUCCGUCCACGAAAAAUAGAUUAAUUCAAUCAAAUUAAAAAUUAUAAAAGAUCACAAAUUUUUUAUAUUCUUGCCAAUCAAGCACUAGAUAAAUUAUGCAUGAAUUAUAUUGUUGUACGAUCAAUUGAUACACUGCAUAAGUUAUGAAAUAGAAUUCUUUUUUCUAAAUUUUCUAGCCCAAGUAUAGUAUUAUAUAUUGUGUGUGUUUUAUUAAAUGUGUCAAUGAUUUUUAAGAAAAUCUAUUCGACCGGCCAAAUCAAUUUUAUGUUUUUUAAAAAUAAAAGGGAAAAGGAUCUGAUAUAUCCCCUCAACUUUGUUAUUUAGAACUGAUAUACCCCUUGUUAUGAAAGUGACUCAUAUAUACCCCUACUUGUAAACAAAUGGCUUACAUAUACCCCUUUUCUCUAACAAAAAUGAAAAAAUAAUAAUUUUAAUCUAAAUUUUUAUUAUUUUUUUCUAAAAAAUAUAAUCCUAUAUGAGUAAAUUUAAUCCUCGUCAAACAUAUUUUUUUUUUGACUUUUUUUUGUUUCAAUGACUAAUUUAUAAUUAUUAUUUCGAAUCAAAUUUAUUUAUGUUUCACUAAUAUUCUUGUAAAACUUAUUGUAGAUGACCAAAUUUUUUCUUCGAAUACAAAAUUAAAUUACAAUACACACAAAAAAAUAGUUUAAUUUUUUUUAAACUAAGGAAUGUAAGAAAAAGAAUAAAAAAACUCAAAUAAUUAUAAUAAAAGAAGUCAAAAAAUAAUUUAUGUAUGAAAAAAAUUAAAAUAUACCUUAAAACUUUGAUAGAAGAAUCAUAUAUACUCCUAAAUAUUUUUUUUAAAAAAAAAUUAGAACUAAUAAAUAUAAAUUUAAAACUAAUUUUUUAACUUCCAUUAAAUGAAGGGUAUAUGUGAGCCAUUUUGUAACGGCAGGGGUAUAUGUGAGCCGUUUGUAUAACGGUAAGGGCAUAUAUGAGCCACUUUUAUAACAAGGGUAUAUCAGCUCCAAAUGACAAAGUUGAAGAGUAUUUGAGACCCUUUUCCCAAAAUAAAAUAAAAUUUAAGGUUAGAGAGAGAACAUAUCAAACAAGAAAAAAUAUUUCAAAAAGAUAUUUUUAUCAGAUUUUUCAUUGACCAAUUUACACUCAUUAUAAACCAAUUUUUAUAUGCGCUUGGAUCGAAUUAUAUUGAGUUAAUAAAAAGAUAAAUUUAUAGUUGACUCAAAAUUGAAUGAGUCGAAUAAAUCAUAUUUUUACGAGUUAUUAUUACCACUAAAAGUUCUAGUGAUUUCCAAAUCCAUCCUUAAUUGACAUUUGACCAUGAAUUUUGAAUUAUAUUUUAAAUCUUUGCUUUUAUUUAAAAAUAUAAAUUGGAGAAAUUUUUCUUUUCACUGAAAAAGUUCAAAAAAUUCUGCUUAAAAUACAUGUUCCACCGAAACUUGAAAUUUUAAAAACCUAAAAUUUGAAACUGAAAUUUCAAAUUCAAAUAUACAGCCAACAAGGUAGCUUAGUGUGUUUUUUCUGAUUAAAUUUUUUGAAAAAUAUUUUCUUUUAAAAAAAACACCUUGAAAAUAAUUUAAAAUAAAUUUUCUAGUAAUAAAAUUAAAAAAAACAAGUUGAUCACAAUGUGUCGUGUACCUAUAGUACUACAACCACUCACCAACCCACCCCUCCAAACCUCCUCCACACCCACUCCUUCUCCCUCCCCCACCUCCAUCAAGAAGAAAAAAAUAGAUUUAUCUAUCAUUAUUAAAUACAUUAAAUCAUUAAUCACAUCAUAAAACUCCGUCACUACAUAUUAUAUAUCAUAUUUAAGAAAAUAAAUUUAAAAAUCCCUUAUCCAAAAAAAGAAAAAGAAAAAUCUUAUCUCAAAUUGAAGAGAAAAUUACAUGUAUUUUGUCUAUGGGGGGUCCUUAGGUUCGUGGGUCGUGUAAGAUUAAACGAGGAGAGUGGGGAGCAUUGACAGGUACGAGGGUACAAUAAAGUCAUUAAAUUUCUCCACUCAUCUCUCAUCUGUCACCUGUACGGUAAAGUUUCCCCACUUAUCUUACCUCUCUCUCUCACACACACAUUUAUAUCAUCUUUUCUACUACUCAAUUAAUUAUUAUUAUUUUUUUACUAACCAAAAUAUCUAUUGGUGAUAUUAUUUGAUUUGAUAUGAUAUUUAUAAAAUAAAAGGAUUUAAAAUACGAACUGAUACAAGUAUAAGGAUUUAUCAGAUCUUUUGCUUAUCUGGAGUAUGAACAAUUAAUUAUGGAGGUCAAACAUUUGGGAAUCUAUACUCUGUAAGUUAGAGGUAAGGAUUGUUCAUAUUGAAUAUGUCUCACUGAUAUCUUUUAUAUGAUACUAAAUCAUAAUUAAUUAGUACCUAAAGUAGUACUCUCUUCGUCUCAUUUUACGUGGCACCAUUUGACCCGGCAUGGAAUUGAAGAAAUAAAUGAAAGACUUUGAAUUGUUUGCUGACUUGUCAUCAAAAGUAGACUCACUUUUCGCUCUCCUCAUAAAUGUAUAAAAGUAUUAUUUAAAAUUAAAUGAGACCAACAAGUGUAAAAGAGGAAUUACACCUUUAAAUACUUAUCGUAUAAGAAAAUGUGACAUUCUUUUGGAACUGACCAAAAAGAAAAAAUGCCACAUAAAAUGAGACGGAAGGAGUAAUUUGCGUCGAUUCACAUAUUUACCACGUUAAAUUAUAUCAAGGUUUGGAAACAUCAGGUCUAGAUUAGUUUUAUUUCUUCUCUUUGUACCUAGUAUAUAUGAAUUGUUUUUGAUAUUUGAACAUGUUUAAGUUCAGGUUUCAAAAAUGAGCUACUAUGUAUAUAUUAAAAGUCAUUUAUUUAUCAAUUCUAACACAAAAUUCAGUAAAAUUUGAGAAAACCAACACAAAAAAAACUUGAAAAUACUAACUUUCUAAUGUAUAACUCAAUUUUUACUAUUUUUUAAAAAUGGAACAAAUAACUAUUCAAUUAAAAAGCUCCAACUCAAACUCGCAUGAAGAAAGUAAACAACCCUUCAUAUUAUUCCCUUUUCUCUACCAUUUUUAAUGUAUUUGAGUAUCUUUAAAUUGAGCGAAUUUUCUUGUUUAAAAUCAUAGUCAGUAACUUUUAUGAAAAUAAAUAAUAAAAAUAAUCACUUUAUUCUAAUUUACGUAACACACUUUUUUCUUUUAAUUGAUCCCAAACAAAAACAAAGAAGUGAAAAUGAUGUAGGGAAUGAAAUGAUAUUUAUUUUUAUUGAAUUACUACUAUUAGAGGAAAGAAAACGAAAAAUUACAGUGUGCUUGGCUAUAUAUGGGAAUUCUGUUGGUAUUUUUGGCCAUAAAAAGAAUCUUCGUACAAGACUCACACUAACUCAAAGUCAAGCAAAAAGGAAAAAAUAUAUCUUAAGAAAACGAAAGGAAGUACCCACGUCUCAAUUUGUAUAACUCAUUUUCGUUUUAAGCCUGUUCCUAAAAAUAUAACAUAUUUUUAUGUUUUGUAAUAAUUUAGUUUUAAAGUGUUUAUUUUACUUUUGAUAGAAUAAUUUAUAAUCGUACAAAUAUCUAUUAUCUAAAAUAUUUUAAAUAACAAGUUUUAAUAGUCGAUAUUUCUUAAAUUCUUGUGUCAUGUUAAACUAAGUCUAAAUUGAGACGGAGAGUGUGUAUAUAUAUAUAUAUAAACAAAAGGAAAAAAGACUAGUUAAAUUUAAUUGGCUGAUCUUAUGAUGUUGUUUCUCUCUCCAUAUAUUAUUGGUGUAACUAUUCCUAGAUAAUGUGUAGUACAAUUACUCCUUUGUAACCAAAAAUACCCUAAUUACUACUUUUUCUCUUUCUAUUGUAAUAACAUACCUUUUUUUUCUUUCUUCAGCUCACAACUUCAGAUCUCUUCUCCAUUUCUUGCAAAUUUCAGGUUUCUUUCCCUUAAAUCUUUCUUUUAUUUUUCUAGGGAUAAUUAAUUAAUUAAUUAUCACACCUUCUUUUCUUCUUCUAUAUAAAUUGUUAACUAGUUCACAAGUUUCUUAAUUUUUUUUCUUUUUUUAAAAUAACUCCUUAUCCAUCUAGAAGAGUUACAAACAUUCUGAAAAUUUUUAAUAAGAUAAUAUUAAAAAAAAAAAGAGAGAGAGAUUCUUGUCCUGAUUAUAGUCAAUUUUACACUGUGUUUUUUUUUUGUUUUUUGUUGAAGAUCUAUGCUUAAGUAAUUAAUGUUUGACUUUAAUUUGAAUCGGAUCGGUGUGAACAUUGAUAUUAAUUAGUCUUCAUCUAUAGGUUGAAGUAAGGAAAUGGUGAGACAAAAAUUCAGAUCAAGAAGAUAGACAAUUUGACAGCAAGACAAGUGACAUUUUCAAAGAGAAGAAGAGGGCUUUUCAAAAAAGCUCAAGAGCUUUCAACUCUUUGUGAUGCUGAUAUUGGACUCAUUGUUUUCUCUGCUACUGGAAAACUUUUUGAGUAUUCAAGCUCCAGGUAUGUUUUUCCUUUUUUUUUACUCGAGAAAUCAAUCCAAUCGAUCGAUCGUGGUUACGAUACAAUUUCAAGGACUAGUAAUAAUUAUUCAUAAAAUUAUAACAAAACAAACGAAAUUUGUAGUACAUAUGAUUAUGGUCUAGUUUCUUUUUAUUGGUUUGUUUCACUAAUUAAUUAAAAGUUUUUUAUUUUUCAUUUGGGAGUUAUAAAAAGCCCAUGACUUGUCUGUCAGAAAAAUCUCUUACUUUUCUUGUCUGUCAGAUACUUGGAGAGUUCCAAAUUUUUUGGGGAAAAAAAAAAGCUACAGUAAGAUUGAUAAUGCCAUAUUUGGUGUGUGUGCUAUUACUAUAAAAGAGAGAAAUAAAGUUUCUCAUAAAAUGUGAGUAUGUUCUAAAGCAAUUUGUUUAUAAACUAUUUAAUGCUUCGAUUUUAUGUAAUUUUUACCGUACGAGAUCUUUUAGAGCUUUAAUUUGUACUUGAAUUUUAUUUAAAAUACUUCUGCAUAAAUUAACACAUAUAAUCAUAGGUUGAAUUUUCAUGACUACUUAAUUUGAUAAGAUAUAUAUGUCGUUAGAACAGCAAAAGCAGCAUAGUUUUGUUUUGAUUAAUGUAUGACAUAAUCUAAAAAAAUUCUCUUAGAUUACUCGUGUACCAACGGUGAUAAGUUUUUAACUAGUGUCAUUGUAUGUAGAUGAUAAUUCAAGUGUCAGACAAUAUUGUGUGUUUGGUACGAAAGAUAAUAUUUUUUUUAUGAAAAAUAUUUUCUUGAAAAAUAAGUAAUUUUUUAAACUUAUUUCUAGUGUUUGUUAAGUAAGUAAAAAAAUGUUCUCUCAAAAGCAUUUAUAACUAAUUUAGCAAAAUCCUGUAGAGGUGAGGAGUGGGGCCUCGAGGAUGUCGGGGGUGGGAUGGUCAAGGGAUAGGGGUUCGGGGCUUUGGGUGAGAGAGGAGGAUAUACAAUGAAACAUAUAAUGUCAUUUAUCAAAUUAUUUUUCAUACUUCCAUUUAAGAAAAUCAUUUUCCUCAUUUUAAAAAACUUUAUUACUGAAUAUGUAUUCCAAAAUUUUUGUUCAACUAAACAUGGAAAAAUACAAAAUAUUUUCUUCCAUACCAAACACUUAAUGUCAAUUUCAAAAGGAUGUUUGGUUUGUUAGGCAUCUUGUGUUGAUCAGUACUGAUUUCCUCUCUUGGAUUUGCCUGUCUUACUACAAUUUUCUUAGCAGGUGGUUCAUGUUUAAUCCAUUGGGAUAGACUAAUUUGGGCUGAUGACACUUUGUAACGACUUAGCAUGUCUGUAAAAGUAGUGAAUUUAUGUUAUGGCUGCCCUCCGACUUUCCACAAUCUUUUCUGAGUUGUUCAAAUUGAUUGAAUCUUUAUCAAUUUAGUUAGAAUAAAAUUAUUGAUACAUAGUAUAGACUAAGUUAACUCAUACUUGAAAUCUUUACCGAGCUAUAUACCUAUAAUCAUAUAAGCAAAAUAAACAUAUUUCUUAGCUUAAUAUUCGAAAACAAUAGUAUUUAUUAGCUCAAAGAUACUAAAAACAUGCUUAUUUAUGACAAUGUGAUUCUUAGCGUAAUAUCGUAAAAACAAUAGAAUUAGCUCAAAGAAUACUUAAAAACAUGCUACCUUUAAUAAGAAGCUUAAAACAUGAAGCUCAUUUUUAAUUACCUCCUUCAUAUUUGACUUAUUGAACUUUUUCUUCCCUUUCCUCAGUUUUAGUGACUCCUAAUUAAUAAGUUGAACAUCAACAAGAUCCAUGAUGUGCAAACUAAUACUAAAUAGAAGUAAUAUAAGAAAGGAGGACAUAUAUCUUAACCUCCGCAACCAGAUGAAGAAUGAUGUGAAUUGGUACCUUUGACAUAUAGUGAGCAAAGAAUAGACCUAGCGGCUAGCACUACAUAAAAAAUAUCAUUAGUGACAAUUAAUUAACAACAAUAGAUUAAUUACCAUUAGCGACAAUUAAUAUCUAAAACCUUUAGUGAUAUUGAUUCUAACACUUAACUAAUGUCUGUACAGAUUUUAAUACUCUUUAUUGAUUUCUAUAUUUAUUGUAGCUAAAAAUAAUUUAUAUGAUAGGAUAAGUAGCAUCUCAAAGACUCCUUGGGAGUUCAAAUUUUUUUGUAUAAAAGGAUUAAUUAAAUUAACAAUAGAUUAUAUGAAGGAAGUAAAUCAUAUAAUCAACAACUGAAGAAUUUACUUUACUCUCUCUAUAUAUAGUGGAGUUAAAUCUACUUAACAAAGAGAAAGUAAAUAUUAGAAGAAAAUGACUCCCCAAAUCUUGAAUUUAAUUUGUUCCUAGAUAUCUUGAUAUUUUGUGAAGGUUUUUUCACAUCUUAUUCUUUGCCUCCAUGGUGUGUCACCAAAAUAAUUCCACCCAUCUCACCAUGAAAUUAUUCAUUCUUUUUUUUGAAUUUCAAAAUCAACGUUGAUAAAAUUUACAAAUUCAAUUUUUAAUUUGAAAAAAAAUGCUCCAAACAUGUUUCCCUCUCUAAUAUGAACUUUUAUAUAUUUGAAAUCUAUGAUCAAAUGCGUACGAUAAAUUCUAUUUACAAGCCCCACCCAAAAAUCCCUUGAAGUGCGUCCACUAAAGCAGAAAAUUCGAUUUUGGUGCUGCACAACUGAAAACUAGCUAUGAAGUGUCAUUUGCUGUCUGGGAAUAAUUUUCUAGUGUUUUUUACUGUAUGUCCAGAGCUAUUUAUUAUCCCUCCAAAUAUAAUAGUGUUCCUUUUCUUCUAUUAUCCAUAUUUUGCGUGCCAUAAAAAAAAAUUCAAAGAUAAAGUGGAUAUAUAUUCUAACCAUUUGAUCAAGUAAAGGAAAUAUUUAUUCCAAAAAUACAUAUAACUAAUAUCGGCUCAUAAUUCAUAACACACAUUUUCACCUUAAUUCGAUGGUGAUGGAGCGUUUUACGUUGAACUCUACAACUCCUUAAUACUUCUUUGAGCUGCCUCUACCUCUCUUUAUUUUCACUAUACCUAAAAUCUCACACCUCCUCAUUAAUGAGACAUUUAUGCAUCUCCGAUCGUUUUCAUAUUUCUGAACCAACUCAGUCUUGCUUCUCUCGUCGAGUUACUCCCAUCUAGUUCCAUGUAUCUGUGCUUUUAAUCCUAUAUCUCCUUAUAUAUCCACACUCAAUCUCAACAUUCUCAAUUUUGCUACUUUCAGUUUGACCACCACUUUAAGACUCAAACUUUUGUUUCU
rnacentral:lncRNA from 1 species